rnacentral:lncRNA from 1 species
GGAAAUGUGUGAUUUCAUCCAAACAUGUCUAGUUCUGAAUACAAAAAACGCAUGCAUAUUCAUCAUCCGCUUCCUAAUGUGAAACAAGUUUAUCCUUCCAACACAAGGUAUUAUCAAGGAGCUCAUCAACCUAGUUCAUCCUUCUAAUGAGCUGGUUGAUGUAGUUCUCACGGUUACCGGUCUCACCACUCUCAUCGUAGUGGUUCCUCUUACUCCUCGGGCCAUUGAGUGGUGCCUUCAUCUUGAAUGGCCACAAGAAGUUGUUUGCCUCCUUGAAGUGUGGGCCAAAAAUCAAGAUCUCAUGCACAAUGUCCGCGGUGCAGAUGAUAUUGUGCUUCCCCAAACCCUAGUGAGAACACAAAAAUGGCACUAAUUCUACUAAGCACAGAUUUAGAGCACAGAAGACCUACAGGGGCAUAUGGUUGAAGAAGCAGACCUCCUCGAUGACUUUGUUGUUGAUCAAUGGGAUCCUUUGCGUGCUGAGCUUUCUGUAACCGCUCUUGUAGAUCAACUCCAUGACAUCUUGAGGUUAGGGUACCUAGACAGAUAAUGAAAGUAUACAAGUCAGCAACACUGUAGCAUCAUAUCCACUUUCUAGUGAUCUGACUUGCAUCACUUCAGAUCUUGGUAGAUGGCCAUGCAUAUGUGAUGCUUGCAUAUAGUUUGUGUGAACAUUUAACAACACCAGCUAAAUAAGUAAUAUGCCACAUGUCUACAUGGUGUAUCCUUGAAAAGGGUGUAGUCAGUUGUCCUGAUUAAAUUGACUUGCAUUGACAAGUCGUGAACCUUAAACCAGUUAGGGUUUUUGGGAGCACAAGAGACGGCCAGAAAGAAUGUUCGAAAUAUCUUUGCCCUUUUUCGAAAAGGAGGAAUGCCCCCCGCCUCUGCAUAUCUUGAUGCACCCAAUCAUCUUAUUAAUAAUCCAUGUUCAAAACAAAGUCUUAAGAAGUAGUACGAAGCUGAAAACAAAAAAUUUGCCACAGCCAGCGAAAAUAGGGUAAGAUGACUAAACACAUAUCAUAUUAUUAGACUGCCAUCCAAACCGGUUGUAAGUAUCCCGUGCAACCAUCUCCCAUCGGUUGCACCCAAUAUCCAUAUGCUCCAUGUGGUCCACAUGGCUGAGUAAAUACCACAUACGGAUACAAGUAGAUGCCCUGAAGAUGACCUGCAAAAAAAUUGUGAUAGUUUGUCUGUUAAAGGCAACAUCAUUUCGACAGUUCCAUAUGGCCCAAAGUAAUGCACACACUACAACUAAAAUGUGUGUCGCUGUCUUAGGCUCUAUCCCAGUUAACCAAGUCCCAAAUAAAUGCGAUAUCGUGCUGGGCGGAACAACGUUAAAAGCAACCUGAAUUGUUCUUCACAAUAACUUAGCAAGUGGGUAUUGGAUAAAAAGAUGUUCUAUUAUUUCAUGUUGAUCACAAAAGUAACAUCUUUUACUUCCUUCCCAACUACGCUUGGCCAAAUUAUCCUUUGUCAAAAUUACUCGCUUAUGCACACACCACAUAAAUACCUUGAUUUUCAAAGGCACUUUAAUUUUAUCUUUGCCUUGACGAAGUCCAAUCCGAAGUCAUUGAUUGCCAUGUUCGGGAGUCGAGGCCAAGUAGGUUCUGCUAGUACUACUACUUGAUGGUGUUAUAAUGUUCUUAGAGCAACUCUAGGAGACCCCUCAACUCGCGCGAACCCGCAAAAAUUCGGCGAGUAUACGGGCUCGGCCCAAUUUUCUGGCCAGAGCAGAGCCCGUAUACCCGCCCGGCCUGUAAAAGAAUUUACAGUGGGCCAUAAACCGCCCCCCGGACCGGUAUAUGUACGGGUUUGCAGAGCAGAUAUGGGUCAAACCCCUAUCCCCCUCAAACGCGUUUCCCCGUGAUCCCCCAAGCCCACCUCCGAUUGGACGCUGUUGAUACGCCUCCAAUGUAUCUAUAAUUUUUGAUUGUUCCAUGCUAUUAUAUUAUCCAUAUAGGAUGUUUUAUAUGCUAUUUUAUAUGAUUUUUGGGACUGACCUAUUAACCUAGAGCCCAGUGCCAGUUUCUGUUUUUUCCUUAUUUUUGAGUAUCGCAAAAAGGAAUACCAAACAGAGUCCAAUUUUGACGUGCCAAUUUUUGAUGAUUUUUUAUGGACCAAAAGAAGCCGCCGGAGUAAAAGAGUUGGGCCAGAAGAGUCCCGGACCGUCCACGAGGGUGGGGGGCGCGCCCUACCCCCCUGGGCACGUCCCCCUAUGUCGUGGAUGACUCGGAGACCCCCUUGAUGUGAUACCUACGCCAAAAAUUCCUAUAAAUAAAAAAACCUCCAGAAAAUAACAUAGAUCGGGAGUUUCGCCGCCGCAAGCCUCUGUAGCCACCAAAACUAAUCGGGACCCUGUUCCGGCACCCUGUCGGAGGGGGAUCCCUCACCGGUGGCUAUCUUCAUCAUCCCGACGCUCUCCAUGACGAGGAGGGAGUAGUUCACCCUCGGGGCUGAGGGUAUGUACCAGUAGCUAUGUGUUUGAUCCCUCUCUCUCUCUCGUGUUCUUGAUUUGGCACGAUCUUCAUGUAUCGCGAGCUUUGCUAUUAGAGUUGGAUCUUAUGAUGUUUCUCCCCCUCUACUCUCUUGUAAUGGAUUGAGUUUUCCCUUUGAAGUUAUCUUAUCGGAUUGAGUCUUUAAGGAUUUGAGAACAAUUGAUGUAUGUCUUGCAUGUGCUUAUCUGUGGUGAUAAUGGGAUAUUCACGUGAUCUACUUGAUGUUUGUUUUGGUGAUCAACUUGCGGGUUCAGUGACCUUGUGAACUUAUGCAUAGGAUCAUGAUUGCAAUGUCGUUAGUAUGCAAAGCCACAAGCUUGGGGAUGCUAUGUUUGAUGAAGAUGAUAUGUUUAGUCCCCCAAGUUUUGAUGAGCAAAUUUAUUAUGAUGAAAGCAUGCCUCCUAUUUAUGAUGAUUAUUGUGAUGACAUGUAUGCUAUAAAGAAUAAAGAUAACCAUGAAAUUUGUCAUCAUGAUUUUAAUUUUCAAUUGGAUUAUGCUUCACAUGAUAGUUAUUUUGUUGAGUUUGCUCCCACUACUAUUCAUGAGAAGAAAUUUGCUUAUGUGGAGAGUAAUAAAAAUUCUAUGCUUGUAGAUCAUGAAAAGAAUGCUUUAUGUGAUGCUUAUAUGGUUGAAUUAAUUCAUGAUGCUACUGAAAAUUAUUAUGAGAGAGGAUCAUAUGCUUCUAUAUAUUGCAAUAAUAUCAAGUUUCCUCUCUAUGUGUUAAAAGUUUUGAAGUUAUGCUUGUUUUGCCUUCCUACGCUAGUUGAUUAUUGUUCCCAUAAGUUGUUUGCUCACAAAAUCCCUAUGCAUAGGAAGUGGGUUAGACUUAAAUGUGCUAGUCAUAUUCUUCAUGAUGCUCCCGUUAUGUUUCAAUUCUUAUCUUUUAUGUGAGCAUCAUUGGAAUCAUCAUGCCUAGCUAAAAAGGCAAUAAAGACAAGCGCUUGUUGGGAGAAAACCCAAUAUUUACCUCUACUGUUUUUGUGUGUCCACAUGAUUAAGUUACUGUAAUAAUCAUGUUUUAUAGCUUUUGUUUCAAUAAAGUGCCAAGUAAGACCUUUAGGAUAUCUUACGGUGAUAGUUGUGUUGAUCCUGCUGAAAAUCAGAAACUUUUGCGCCCAGUAAAUUAGUUUUGAUAAUUCAAAGAAACGUGAUUUUGAUCUGAUUCUUUUUGCUCUGGAUUGGUACACAAAUUUCUCAGGUUUUCCUAAUUUGGUAGAAUUUUUGGAGUUACAGAAGUAUGGAAAGUUACCAGAUUACUACAGACUGUUCUGUUUUUGACAGAUUCUGUUUUCUAUGUGUUGUUUGCUUAUUUUGAUGAAUCUAUGAGUAGUAUCGGAGGGUAUGAACCAUAGAGAAGUUGGAAUACAGUACAUAUUACACCAAUAUGAAUUUAGAAUGAGUUCACAACAGUACCUAAGUGGUGAUUUAUUUAAUUAUACUAACGGCGCUUACGAGUUUUCUGUUGAGUUUUGUGUUGUGAAGUUUUCAAGUUUUGGGUAAAGAUCCGAUGGACUAUGGAAUAAGGAGUGGCAAGAGCCUAAGCUUGGGGAUGCCCCGGAUGGCAUCCCCUCUUUCGUCUUCAUUCAUCGGUAACUUUACUUGGAGCUAUAUUUUUAUUCACCACAUGAUAUGUGUUUUGCUUGGAGCGUCAUUUUAUUUUCUUUUGUUUUGCUUGCUGUUUGAAUAAAAUACCAAGAUCUGAAAUUCUUAAAUGUUAUAGAGUCUUCACAUAGUUACAUAAUUAUUCAACUACUCAUUGAUCUUCACUUAUAUCUUUUGGAGUAGUUUGUCAUUUGCUCUAGUGCUUCACGUAUAUCUUUUUAGAGCACGGCGGUGGUUUUGUUUUGGAGAAAUAGAAGAACUCUCAUACUUCACUUAUAUUAAUUUGGGAGUCCUAAACAGCAUGGUAAUUUGCUUUGGCUAUAAAAUUAUUCCUAAUAUGAUGGUCAUUCAAGAUGGGUAUAAUAAAAACUUUCAUAUAGAGUGCAUUGAAUACUAUGAGAAGUUUGAUACUUGAUGAUUGUUUUGAGAUAUAAAGAUGGUGAUAUUAGAGUCGUGCUAGUUGAGUAAUUGUGAAAUUCAGAAAUACUUGUGUUGAGGUUUGCAAGUCCCGUAGCAUGCACGUAUGGUAACCGUUGUGUGACAAAUUUGAAGCAUGAUGUGUUCUUUGAUUGCCUUCCUUAUGAAUGGCGGUCGGGGACGAGCGAUGGUCUUUUCCUACCAAUCUAUCCCCAUAGGAGCAUGCGCGUAGUGCUUGGUUUUGAUGACUUGUAGAUUUUUGCAAUAAGUAUGUGAGUUCUUUAUGACUAAUGUUGAGUCCAUGGAUUACACGCACUCUCACCCUUCCAUCAUUGCUAGCCUCUUCGGUACCGUGCAUUGCCCUUUCUCACCUCAAGAGUUCGUGCAAACUUCGCCGGUGCAUCCAAACCCCGUGAUAUGAUACGCUCUAUCACACAUAAGCCUCCUUAUAUCGUCCUCAAAACAGCCACCAUACCUACCUAUUAUGGCAUUUCCAUAGCCAUUCCAAGAUAUAUUGCCAUGCAACUUUCCACCGUUCCGUUUAUUAUGACACGCUUCAUCAUUGUCAUAUUGUCUUGCAUGAUCAUGUAGUUGAGAUCGUAUUUGUGGCAAGGCCACCAUGUAUAAUUUUUCAUACAUGUCACUCUUGAUUCAUUUCCCAUCCCGGUACACCGUCGGAGGCACUCAUAUAGAGUCAUAUUCUGUUCUAGUAUCAAAUUGUAAUUCUUCAGUUGUAAAUAAAGUGUGAUGAUCAUCAUUAUUAGAGCAUUGUCCCGUGUGAGGAAAUAAAAAAAUAAAAAAAAGAGAAAGGCCAAAUAAAGGCCAAAUAAAAAAAGGCCCAAAAAAUGAGAGAAAAAGAGAGAAGGGACAAUGUUACUAUCCUUUUUCCACACUUUUGCUUCAAAGUAGCACCAUGAUCUUCAUGAUAGAGAGUCUCCUAUUUUGUCACUUUUAUAUACUAGUGGGAAUUUUUCAUUAUAGAACUUAGCUUGUAUAUUCCAACAAUGGGCUUCCUCUAAUGCUCUAGGUCUUCGUGAGCAAGCAAGUUGGAUGCACACCCACUUAGUUUCUUUUGUUGAGCUUUCAUACAUUUAUAGCUCAAGUGCAUCCGUUGCAUGGCAAUCCCUACUGCUCGCAUUGACAUCAAUUGAUGGGCAUCUCCAUAGCCCGUUGAUUAGCCGCGUCGACGUGAGACUUUCUCCCGUUUUGUCUUCUCCACACAACCUCCAUCAUCAUAUUCUAUUCCACCCAUAGUGCUAUGUCCAUGGUUCGCGCUCAUGUAUUGCGUGAACGUUGAAAAAGGUUUGAGAAUACUAAAGUAUGAAACAAUUUCUUGUCUUGUCAUCGGGGUUGUGCAUGAUGAGAGAAUUUUGUGUGACGAAAAUGAAGCAUGGCCAAACUAUAUGAUUUUGUAGGGAUGAGCUUUCUUUGGCUAUGUUAUUUUGUGAGGACAUAAUUGCUUAGUUAGUAUGCUUGAAGUAUUAUUAUUUUUAUGUCAAUAUUAAACUUUUUUCUUGAAUCUUUCCGAUCUGAACAUUCAUGCCACAAUAAAGAAAAUUACAUUGAAAAAUAUGUUAGGUAGCAUUCCACAUCAAAAAUUCUGUUUUUAUCAUUUACCUACUCAAGGACGAGCAGGAAUUAAGCUUGGGGAUGCUUGAUCCGUCUCCAACGUAUCUAUAAUUUUUUAUUGUUCCAUGCUAUAAUAUUAUCCAUCUAGGAUGUUUUAUAUGCAUUUAUAUGCUAUUUUAUAUGAUUUUUGGGACUAACCUAUUAACCUAGAGCCAGUGCCAGUUUCUGUUUUUUCCUUGUUUUUGAGUAUAGCAGAAAAGGAAUACCAAACGGAGUCCAAUUGACGUGCCAAUUUUUGAUGAUUUUUUAUGGACCAAAAGAAGCCCCCAGAGUAAAAGAGUUGGGCCAGAAGAGUCCCAGGCCGCCCACGAGGGCGGGGGCGCGCCCUACCCCCUGGGCGCGUCCCCCUAUCUCGUGGACGACUCGGAGACCCCCCCCCCCUGACGUGAGACCUACGCCAAAAAUUCCUAUAAAUACAGAAACCUCUAGAAAAUAACCUAGAUCGGGAGUUCCGCCGGCGCAAGCCUCUGUAGCCACCAAAAACCAAUCGGGACCCUGUUCCGGCACCCUGCCGGAGGGGGGAUCCCUCACCGGUGGCCAUAUUCAUCAUCCCGGCGCUCUCCGUGAUGAGGAGGGAGUAGUUCACCCUCGGGGCUGAGGGUAUGUACCAGUAGCUAUGUGUUUGCUCUCUCUCUCUCUCUCUCUCUCUCUCUCUCUCUAGUGUUCUUGAUUUGGCACGAUCUUGAUGUAUCGCGAGCUUUGCUAUUAUAGUUGGAUCCUAUGAUGUUUCUCCCCCUCUACUCUCUUGUAAUGGAUUGAGUUUUCCCUUUGAAGGAUUUGAGAACACUUGAUGUAUGUCUUGCAUGUGCUUAUCUGUGGUGACAAUGGGAUAUUCACGUGAUCUACUUGAUGUAUGUUUUGGUGAUCAACUUUUGGGUUCAGUGACCUUGUGAACUUAUGCAUAGGGGUUGGCACACGUUUUCGUCUUGACUCUCCGGUAGAAACUUUGGGGCACUCUUUGAAGUUCUUUGUGUUGGUCGAAUAGCUGAAUCUGAGAUUGUGUGAUGCAUAUCGUAUAAUCAUACCCGCCGAUACUUUAGGUGACAUUGGAGUAUCUAGGUGACAUUAGGGUUUUGGUUGAUUUGUGUCUUAAGGUGUUAUUCUAGUAUGAACUCUAGGAUAGAUCGAACGGAAAGAAUAACUUCGUGUUAUUUUACUACGGACUCUUGAAUAGAUCGAUCAGAAAGGAUAACUUUGAGGUGGUUUCGUACCCUACAAUAAUCUCUUCGUUUGUUCUCCUCUAUUAGUGACUUUAGAGUGACUCUUUGUUGCAUGUUGAGGGAUAGUUAUAUGAUCCAAUUAUGUUAUUAUUGUUGAGAGAACUUGCACUAGUGAAAGUAUGAACCCUAGGCCUUGUUUCCUAGCAUUGCAAUACCGUUUAUGCUCACUUUUAUCGCUUGAUACCUUGCUGUUUUUAUAAUUUCAUAUUACAAAAACCUAUAUCUACCAUCCAUAUUGCACUUAUAUCACCAUCUCUUCGCCGAACUAGUGCACCUAUACAAUUUAGCAUUGUAUUGGGUGUGUUGGGGACACAAGAGACUCUUUGUUAUUUGAUUGCAGGGUUGUUUGAGAGACACCAUCUUCAUCCUACGCCUCCCACGGAUUGAUAAACCUAGGUCAUCCACUUGAGGAAAAUUUUCUACUUUCCUACAAACCUCUGCACUUGGAGGCCCAACAACGUCUACAAGAAGAAGGUUGUGUAGUAGACAUCAGCCGUCGGCGAUCCCAAUCCCUCAGCCGAACGCCACCAUGUGGAGCUCCAGCUGCAGAUCUGGCGAGUGGGAUGACCCCGAGCGCCAGCGUUGUGUCUAUUCGGACAGCCGAGGAAGCGCGCGGCAUGAAAGUACACGAAGUGGGGCCUCAAGCCACCGGAGUCGCUCCUCCGUCGUGAGACGGAAGAGUACGACCUCCACCACAAGCUGAUCUCCUCCUCUACCGCGGGGUCCUCCUCUACCACGGGCAGCUUCGCCGCCGGGGGGGGAGUGAGGGAGUCCUGGACUAAGGGGUCCUCGGGCGUCCGACAUGUUAUCCAUGGGCCGGACUGAUGGGCUGUGAAGAUACGAAGGCCGAAGACAAUACCCGUGUCUGGAUUGGACUCUACUUGGCGUGGAAGGCAAGCUAGGCGGCCUAUUAUGAAGAUUCGCUCCUAUGUAACCGACCUCAUGUAACCCUAGAUCUCUCCGGUGUCGAUAUAAACCGGAGAGCAUAGUCCGGAUAGGACAGAUUCAUUACCAUAUACUCAUAGGCUAGACUUCUAGGGUUUAGCCAUUACGAUCUCGAGGUAGAUCAACUCUUGUAACACUCAUAUUCAGCAAGAUCAAUCAAGCAGGAAGUAGGGUGUUACCUCCAUAGAGAGGGCCCGAACUUGGGUAAACAUUGUGUCCCCCGUCUCCUGUUACCAUCGAUCCUAGACGCACAAUUCGGGACCCCCUACCCGAGAUCCGCCGGUUUUGACACCGACAUUGGUGCUUUCAUUGAGAGUUCCACUGUGCCGUCGACAAAGGACUCGAUGGCCCCUUCGAUCGUCAGUAAUGACGUGGUCCAGGGAGAAACCUUCCUCCCCGGACAGAUCUUCGUAUUCGGCGGCUUCGCACUGCGGGCCAACUCGCUUGGCCAUCUGGAGCAGAUCGAUAGUUACGCCCCUGGCCACCAGGUCAGGUUCGGAAGCUUAAACUACGUCGCGGAUAUCCGUGGAGACAUGAUCUUCGAGGGAUUUGAUACCACGGCGAUCGCUUAUUCUUUCUCCGAUGAACAUGACCUAAAUCUGUCAUCCGAGCACGCCUAGGAGAUGGAUCCUGUUGCUGCAACGGCCUCAGUACCAAAGCAGAUCGCGCCCUUCGAGGCCAUAAAGUCCGCGGCGUUGGAGCCGCACACGGACUCGACGUCCUGCAAUGCUUGCGUCAACGGAACCCCGGACUCGUUUCUGGCUGCACGUUCCGGACCGGAUACACUUACGGACACCGAGCUGGAUCGAUUGUCAAUUUUCGAAUUUAGCGCCGCAGACGUCUUCUAGCAUUUGCCUUUGGGUGACGUACUAAAUUCUUUGAAGAACUUGUCCUUGGAGGAAGACUCCCAGCCGAACUAUGUUCGGUUCGAGCUAGAGGCAGACGACGAGGAAUUUUGCUUCCCACCCGCCACCCACUUCAUAGCCACCGUCGACGACUUAACCGACGUGCUUGACUAUGGCUCCGAAGACAUCACCGGUAUGGACGACGAUGCCGACAAUGAGCAAGGCCAAGACCCGCUAUUCACUGGACGUUGGACGACCACCUCUUCGUACGACGUAUACAUGGUUGAUACACCCAAGGGAUCUGGCGACGACAAACAAGAGCCAGAUAAGAAUAGAACUUCCGAGACGCAGUCCAAGCAUCGGCGCCCCAAACGCCGUUCUAAGCCUCGUCGCUCAAAGGAUAGCAAUACUGGUACCGGAGAAAAUAGCACUCCGGGCGACGCUGAAAACAAUGAAGACCCUGUCGGAGCUGCAUCCGAACAGGAGGAACAUGAUGACAGGCAAGACAACCCUGAUGAGCAGGCCAUAGAAGAUGACUCGGGGGAUGAUAGUUACCGUCCACCCUCCGAAGAGGAGACAAGCGUCGGAAACGAAGAUUUCAUCAUGCCUGAGGACCCUCUAGAGCAGGAGCGCUUUAAGCUUCAACUCAUAGCCACUGCAAGGAGCCUGAAAAAGAAGCAGCAGCAGCUUCAACCUGAACAAGAUCUGCUCGUCGACAGAUGGACUGACGUCCUAACAGCGGAAGAAUACGGCCUCAAGCGCCCAACCAAGAGCUACCCAAAAUGCGACUGCUACCUCAAUUCGAUGAGGAGGCACCGGAGCACACAUCUCCCUCGUGUAAUGCGGAACGACCACCACAUGGUCGAGACAGGGUGGCCGACCGGCCACCACGCGGUCGGGAUAAAGCGGCAACUCAGGCCGAACAGCAGCCUGCCCAACCGCCCCGCAAAAAUAAAGACGGAAGAAUUCGGGGUCACACGUAUGACCUCCAGCAGACCCUGGACAGUAGAGCAGGACAUACAAGAUCGAUCUAUGAAUCGCGAGAACGUGCCUCGAGGCACGAAGACGGCUACCUAUUCGGACGUGACAAACCUAACCACGCCCGGUCCGAAUGCCGUAGACGGACUCCAUCAGAGCUAUGCCGCGACACGGCACGGUACAGAGGUGCCGCACACCCUCUCUGCUUCAUAGACGAGGUACUGGAUCACGAAUUCCCCGAGGGAUUCAAGCCGUCAAUAUCGAAUCAUACGACGGCACAACCGAUCCCGCAGUGUGGAUCGAGGAUUUCAUCCACCACAUCCACAUGGCUCGAGGAGAUGAUCUCCACGCCAUUAAAUACCUCCCACUCAAGCUCAAAGGGCUAGCUCGGCACUGGCUUAACAGCCUGCCUGAAAAUUCUAUCGGCACCUGGGAGGACUUGGAAGAAGCUUUCCUAGACAACUUCCAAGGAACUUAUGUCCGGCCACCAGACGCCGAUGACUUAAGCCACAUAGUUCAACAACCUGGAGAAUCAGCCAGAAAAUUCUGGACUAGGUUCCUAACCAAAAAGAACCAGAUCAUUGACUGUCCAGACGCCGAGGCCUUAUCAGCCUUCAAACACAGCAUCCGUGACGAAUGGCUAGCACGCCACCUCGGCCAAGAAAAGCCGAAGUCCAUGGCAGCCCUCACGGCACUCAUGACCCGCUUUUGCGCGGGAGAGGACAGUUGGCUGGCCCGUAGUAACAACACAGCCAGCGAGACAAGCCCCUCGGAGGCCAAGAAUAGCACUGGGAAGCUUCGGCGCAGCAGACACAAACGCCGAAGCAAUGACAACAACACCGAUGACGCCACAGUCAACGCCGGAUUCACUGGCUCUAAGUCCGGCCAGCGGAAGAAGCCCUAUAAAAGGAACAAUGAAGGACCUUCCAGCCUGGACCGCAUACUCGACCGUCCGUGCCAAAUACACGGCACCCCGGACAAGCAAGCCAAUCAUACCAACAGGGAUUGUUGGGUUUUCAAGCAGGCUGGCAAGUUAAAUGCCGAAAACAAAGAAAAGGGAUCACAAAGUGAGGACGAGGACGAAGAGCCCCGGCAGCCGAACACUGGGGAGCAGAAGAAAUUUCCCCCUCAAGUCAAAACGGUGAACAUGAUAUAAGCUACACACAUCCCCAAAAGGGAGCGUAAGCGUGCACUCAGGGACGUCUACGCGGCAGAGCCAGUCACCCCCAAAUUCAAUCCAUGGUCGUCAUUUCCGGUCACCUUUGUUCGUCGAGACCACCCAACCAAUAUCCGCCAUGGCGGUUCGGCCGCAUUGGUCCUCGACCCAAUCAUCGACAUAUUUCACGUAACACGAGUCCUAAUGGACGGUGGUAGCAGCCUCAACCUGCUCUAUCAAGACACAGUUUGGAAGAUGGGCAUUGACCCCUCACGAAUCAAACCAACAAAGACUACCUUCAAAGGAGUCACACCAGGCAUCGAGGUCCGCUGUACGGGCUCAAUCAUGCUGGAAGUGGUCUUCGGUUCUCCGGACAAUUUCCAAAGCGAGGAGUUAAUCUUCGACAUCGUCCCAUUCCGCAGUGGCUACCACGCACUGCUCGAACGAACAGCGUUUGCUAGAUUCAACGCAGUGCCACACUACGCUUAUCUCAAGCUCAAGAUGCCCGGCCCACGCAGCGUCAUCACAGUCAAUGGCAACACGGAAUGCUCCCUCCGAACAGAGGAGCACGCCGCCGCCCUAGCAGCAGAGGUACAUAGCGGCCUUCUCAAGCAGCACCAUAGUGCGGCUGCCGAGCCCCUGGACACCAUCAAGAAGUUCUGAACUACACUGCAGCAGGACAGCAAAGGUCGUCAAGAGCUCGACUAGCAAUUUGGCCUCCGUCCCAGUCCCGAUGAAGUAGUGGCAUUCGUACCACGCGUAUAUAGUUACGCACUCCAAAUUCCAUGGACAUCGACGGAGGCACCAGCUAACCCGGGAUCUACAAUUCGGCUAGACCGACCCCGGAUACACUUUUUCCUUUCUGUUUCAGGUUCCUUUUCCCGCGAGCCUGAUCACCAGCCCCUUCGAAGGAUCGGCAUACAAAGGGGGCAUGCAGCAUAGGUGUGCAGGGUAAACCCCAUACGUUCUUCUUGACGGUAUUUUUACUUAUUUCCCAGGACCCGCACGCUGCUCCCUCUUGAUCCCGGCAUGUUAAAUAGUCCGGGUGGCCUUCAAGGACCAUAUAAUUGGAUCAAGAUUGUUUAGAUCCCAUCCCGAACACCUUCGUACUAAUUAUGUGAGGGCAGAAGCCGAUGACUGGCCAACCCUCAGAUUGCAUAUAACACGGCCGCACAGGAGGAAACAAUUUAAAGCAUAACGAAAUUACAUUACAAAACAAAGCUUUGUCUUUAUAAUACAAGCCAAAGGACAACACGAAUGUAUUCAUUCAAAAAUAACGUCCUGCAAACAUUGAGCUGCCACAAGUCGAGACCCUUCUAUGACAUCCGUAAAAUAUUUCUCGGGUGUGCGGUGCUCCUUGCCCUCCGGCGGCCCGCUGGCCACUUCCACAGCGUUCAUCUUCGCCCACCACAUCUUGCAGCGAGCGAAGGCCAUACGGGCACCCUCAAUACAUGCAGAGCGCUUGACGACGUCCAGCCACGGACAGGCUUCCACCAGCCGCCUCACGAGUCCGAAGUAGCUGCCGGGUAUAGCUUCGGCUGGGCAUAGCCGGAUUUUCAAAUCCUUCAUGGCUAGUUCGGCCACCCUGUGCAGCUCCACCAGCUGCUUCAGCUGAUCGGUGAAGGACACGGGAUGCUCCGGCGUCGCAUACUGCGACCAGAAUAGCUUCUCCGUAGAACCUCCUCCUUCGGCUCGGUAGAACGCCGCAGCGUCUGAUACGCUGUGUGGUAGAUCCGGAAAAGCUCCUGGGGAACUCCGAACCCGGGUUAGUAAAAGGUACUGCCUCUCCGCAUACUUGCUUUGCAUCUUAAAAGCCUUACCCACCGUGAUUUUCCUGGCCUCCUGGAUCUCCUGGAUGAUGGCCCGGGCCUCAUUCCGCGCGGUUUUCGCGCCCUGACGAGCCUUGGUGAGUUCGGCCUCCUGAGCCGACGCAUCAUUCUCCAAGGUCUCACAUUUUUUCACUGCAUCUUGGAGCUCCUGCUGGAUUUCCUUGACACGGGCCUUGAGCUUCUUACGGGCGGCUUGCUGCUGGACAGCCUUCUCCUCGGCCUCGCCCAGGGCCUUCCUUAGGGCCUCGACCUCGGUCGCGGCCCCUGCAUACAUUUCGACAUUACAGUCAAUACAUAGCGUCUCCGCUUUUCAAACACACAGCAAGACGUUACUUACCUUGCUUCUCCUACAGCCGCACUCUCACCUCGCCGAGCUCAUUCUCGGUCCACUCCAGCCUCUGCUUCAGUUCAGAGACUUCGGCAGCAUGAGAGGUCGCGGCCAACAGCGACGCCUGUUCAUGCACACAUAUCACGCUAGUGUCCUACACUAGAGGAUUGAUCCUCCGUCCGGUUCCUCUUACCGAGCACCGGACAGUGUCUCAGGGGCUACUGACUAUAGGAGGUUUUUUCUCUGUCCCUUACCUCGAAACCUGUCAACAGGUUGCUGCAGGCUUCGUUCAGUCCACUCUUGGCGGACUGAACCUACUCGAUCACCGCGCUUAUAAGAACACGGUGCUCGUCCAUAACGGAGGCGCCUCGUAGCGCCUCCAUCAGGUUAUCCGGCGCCCCUGGAUGGACAGGGACCACCGGUGGAAGUGGCGCACCCCCCUCCUUCGAAGAGGGCUGCCUGCCCGACUCCGAAGCCAUAUGGGUCUCCGGAAUCGUAUUCGGCUGAGGGCCGAGCUGGCUGCGGGCCCCUUCACCAGUCCCCACGGGGAUCGUUUCCUCCAUGCGUCCGGCAGUGGAGGCUUCGCCUCGUGGCGCCUCCUGGACAGCGCACUGGGCCCUCCCCCGGUUUGGAUCGACCCUCCGGGACAGCACUUCGGUGUCGUCCCUGGCCAUGGGGGAAUAAGCAGGCGGUGGCGACUGGCUCACCAUCUCCGGCGGAGCCAACGAACUUCCAGACGAGGAUCGCUGGAUUAGGUCGCGGGCCGGACUGGAAUGGUACAGUUAACUACAUCAAGAUAAUGGAGAGAAAGUGCUGGAUGCGCGCAUAAAUAAGCCAUAUCACUUACGAUGCGGCCUGGGGCUUAGUGCGGGGGCGUCGUUUCGGACUACUAUCAACGUCCCACGCGGCGUUGGCCGCCGGAACGCCCUUCCCCUAUUUGGGAGCCUCCGCCUCCAGAUGCGCCGGAGCCGCCCUCUUCUUCUUCCUCUCCUCAGGGGGAGGAUUGUUUUCUUCCUCCUCCUCCUCUUCCCCAUCAUUUUCCUCAAGGACAGAGGAAUGAGUUUCGUCGUCUUCGGACGCCGCGUCCGAAAUACCCUUACGACGGAGGCCACUCUUGGCCCCCUUUGCCUUCUUCUUGGCCUUCUUCUCCGGCGCCUUAUAUGGCGCUGACACUAGCAUCUCCGCCAAGCGCGGGAUGACUGGUUCUUCGGGCAACGGAGCCGGACACUGGAUCCGCUUCGCCCUCUCCGUCCAGUCCUGAAAGAGCAGCAAUAAAAGCUCAGACAUCAUCCUCGAAACAAUUAGGUUGAGGACUCAUUCGAAAUAACCUAAGUGCUGGCGGGGUGUGUACAAUCGUGACCACGGUCUGAAUCCGUGGCCGGUGGUUUUUCAUUGCCCUUGAAGAGCAAUUUCCAUGCGCCUUCGUGCGUAGUCUCGAAGAGCCUCGCCAGGGUCCGGUGCCUCUUUGGAUUGAACUCCCACAGUGGGCGGCUUUGGCGCUGGCAUGGAAGGAUCCGGCGAACUAACAUCACCUGGAUCACGUCAACCAGCUUGAUGCUCUUGGUUACCAUGCUCUGAACGCGCGUCUGCAGCGCUAUCAGCUCGUCAGUAGAACUCCAGUCUGGACUCUUCUCGACCCAGGAGGUGAGUCUCAUAGGAGCGCCGGAGCGGAAUUCGGCAGCCGCGGCCCAGGUGGUGCCGCGUGGUUCUGUGAUGUAGAACCACUACUUCUGCCACUCCUUUACCGUAUCCACGAAGUUGCCUUUGGGCCAAGAGACGUUGGACAAUUUUCUCACCAUUGCCCCUCCGCACUCCACGUGCUGGCCAUCCACCACCUUCGGCUUCACGUUGAAGACUUUGAGCCACAACCCAAAGUGGGGUUGGAUGCGGAGGAAGGCCUCGCAUACGACGAUAAACGCUGAGAUAUUGAGGAAGGAAUUCGGGGACAGAUCAUGGAAAUCUACCCCGUAGUAAUACAUUAACCCACGGACGAAGGGGUGGAGUGGAAACCCUAGCCCGCGAAAGAAAUGGGGGAGGAAUACCACCCUCUCUGUGGGCUCCGGCGUGGGGACGAUCUGUCCCUCGGCCGGUAGGCGGUGGACAAUCUCCUUCGCCAAAUAUCCGGCCGCCCGGAGCUCAGUAAUGUCCUCCUCCGUCAUCCAUUUGCCCUGACCACCGGAUCCGGACAUGGUUGCUUGAGUGGAAAGGAGAUGAAAACUUGGGCGCUGGAGCUCGAGAUCGGGAAGGCGGAGACGGAGAGAAAGCGUGAGAAGAGGAAGAGGGGGUCCUUAUCCUCUUAUAAAGGCAGUAAACAUUAAACGCCUCCUCGCUCGCCUUAAGAUUCACCUAUUCCCAAAGGCUGUGCAAAUGGCACGGUUGGGUUACCCAUGCCCGCAUUGAUGAGAAUCCCGCAAUAAGGGGACACGGUCUUUGCUUCGACAAGAUGUGCCAAUAGCGACCGCGUCUCGAAACGUGGGACAAACGGUUCGAAAUUGUGAUCGAACGGACGUAAUGCAGAAAGCUGUUAGCGGAUGGAACUCGUGUAAAAUAUAUAUAUUCUCUCUGCGGUUGUGCAUGGUGUUUAACAGGUCCGGAUGCAAUCAUCGCGUCCGCAGACUACCUUGGAGUUCGGAAGAAGGGGAACCCGCCUUGCAAUGCCGAAGACAAUCUGCGCGCCGGACUCCUCGUCAUUGAAGCCAGGUUCAGGGGCUACUGAGGGAGUCCUAGACUAAGGGGUCCUCGGGCGUCCGACCUGUUAUCCAUGGGCCGGACUGAUGGGCUGUGAAGAUACGAAGGCCCAAGACAAUACCCGUGUCCGGAUUGGACUCUACUUGGCAUGGAAGGCAAGCUAGGCGGCCUAUUAUGAAGAUUCCCUCCUAUGUAACCGACCUCAUGUAACCCUAGAUCUCUCCGGUGUCUAUAUAAACCGGAGAGCAUAGUCCGGAUAGGACAGAUUCAUUAUCAUAUACUCAUAGGCUAGACUUCUAGGGUUUAGCCAUUACGAUCUCGAGGUAGAUCAACUCUUGUAACACUCAUAUUCAUCAAGAUCAAUCAAGCAAGAAGUAGGGUGUUACCUCCAUAGAGAGGGCCCGAACCUGGGUAAACAUUGUGUCACCCGUCUCCUGUUAUCAUCGAUCCUAGACGCACAGUUCGGGACCCCUUACCCGAGAUCCGCCGGUUUUGACACCGACAGGGAGUCCCCGCACGCCGCUCCGCACUCCAGUGAAAUGCGAGCUCGAUCCGUCGUCGGUGCUGCGGGGUGGCGGAGUCAUCGGGCCGGAUGAUUUCCUCCCUCCGGCCGAGGCGGACAUCUUUGAGCGGACAAUCAUGUCGCGCAGUGCCCGGGAGAAGGAGGAGGAGGAGGAGCGGCGCCGGCGAACCCUUGCCGUACUCGACGACGUCCUCCUCGAGCAGGGGCUCGUCAAGGAGAAGGAAUUCCUCGAGAGCGAGGAGGCGAGACGCCGCGAGAAGAAGGUGCAGGAGGCCAUCUACGUCGACGACGACGACUAAGGAUGUCCGCCGCCGCAGCGUUGCCACCAAACCCGAAUGGCUUCGGUGAGCCUAAUUUUGGCUUUAGGGUUAUGGUGGCCAUCGCCUAUCCUCAUCUAAUUAGUGUAAUUUGUAGUGUAUGUAUGAACUAUAUAUGCUGAUCAGUAUGAACAAAUUCUAUUUUCUACCGGGAAGUCCUGAAUUCAAAUUUUACAACUUUGUUUACGGUUUCUGAUCUUUCGCAGAGGUUUUCGGCCUGUAUCCGAGGUAGCGAGCGGACUGUAAACUGAGAUUACAAGUCUGUGAUUUGAGGGGUCUGCUAGAGUUGCUCUUAAUAGACACCUCUCGCUCCCGUGCUGCUCCCGAGCAGCACCGGAGCGCCCCCAUCCAGCGCCCGCCUCGUUCUGCCGUACUCCAUCCUCCCCUUGCCGCCACCGAAGGGCGCGGCCGGGCUUCUUUCUUUGGCGCAUCUCGCGGGUGUUCCGAUCUGGCGCGGAGGGUCGUGUGUGUGGUGGAUCUAACGAGGCUGGUGUGGCUGUGUGUGUUGGUCGCACUCUAGGGAGGUGGAGGUCCGGUUGUGGGCAUUGCAGCAGUAGCCAGGUGCAUCGGCUCUCCCGGAGGUUCCAUGGCGGGCGCGAGGGAGCACGGCUUUGGGACUCGGUGCGUAGGAGCAUGCGCAGGGAUUCGCGGGUGUCGGAUCUCUCAUCCCAAGCACGGAUCUGGGAGGCGCUCUAGUGAUGGCACCCAGGGGCAGUUCUUGGUUGCUGGUGGCGCGGACCUGGCAUCCUGGUCAGUGUUGAGGUCUACAGUGGUCAGUGCAGUGGUGGCUGGGCUGCCACAAGCUGCGGAAGGUGUGUUGUGGCAAGCUGCGUCCAUUUUUCGCUCGAGGAUGGUGGGGUUGGCGGCGUCUAGAGUCUAUGGUGGCCGGAGUGGUAUGCUGCGAAGAGGUGUCGCUGGGAUGUGGUUGCUGCUGAUGUUGGGGCCGGCCUGCCGUGGGCCGGUGCUGUGGCGUGGCAGCGUGGGACGAGGCUUUGCCUGCUCUGUACUCCCAUCCGUGCUCCCACGCUCAGAUUUUUUCAUCCAACGUCUCCACCGUUUUCUCUCGUCAGUGCUCCUUUCCUAGGAAUAGAAAGUGCAAACAAAUCACGAAUUCUAUUUCCUCCCGCACUUCUCUCUCUUGUACUCCCUUCGUUCCAAAUUACUCGUCGUGGUUUGGAGCAAACCACGAUGGGUAAUUUGAAACGAAGGGAGUACGUAUUUAUACUCCUUUCCUAGUUCCUUUUAUUAGACUAACUAUAUAUAAAAAGUUUCCAGUCCAUGCCCAGGCCGAGCUGAACGAUUUGUAGCCCCGUCGGUGGCAUCGUGACUCGAACGAUGGCGGCGUCAUCAUAUAGCCCCAUGCCGUUCACGGCCAUGUACGCAACCGUGCCGCCGCGGAUCCUGGAUGGACAUGGCUUCGUAUCCAUGCAAGCACGGCGGCGAUGGCGCUGGCCGUGGUGACUUUGAGGUGGCAAUCCCCCUCCGCCAGGUCCUAGGCUGACGCGGCCGACGCACGAGCAACUCGAAGCGCCGGAGCAUGACGUUCUGCCCGUCGAGCAAGUUUGCCGUAGUCGCCCAGGCGGAGCGCGGCCACGGGGGACGCGAACGGCGGCAUGUAUCACACGAUGCUCCUGUUGGCGUCCUCGGCGGACACGCCGGCCAGCUAGAGGUGCAGCAGGGUUUGCGGCCAGACGAAGGUCCCGGACGACUCGUCCAGCACGGCAAGGUAGUACCUGUCCUGCUGCGCCGUCGGGUUGUACACAACGUCGUCGACCUAGACCAGAGGAACACGCUGAGAGUGUCGAUGGAGAGGACGUACGACGCGGCGAAGUCCGGCAUGACGAGCUCCGCCUGAAUCGUGCGGCGUGCGGAGCCAGGCGUUUACACCUAGAAUGAGGAGGAAUAGGAGUGCACCGAUCGACGAUGGGGUCCCCACGGAACGGUCGGCUCAUGGUGGUGUCGAGACUGGUUGCCUCGGGCAGGUCGGAGAGGCGCCAUUGGCAAGAAGGUAGUAGUGGCGAGGGGCGGAGUGGAGAUCGACGUGACGAGGUACUUGCUCACUGCUACCUCCAGCAUCGGCUUGGGAGAGAAGAAGUACGAGAGAAGAAGAUUGGGAGAGAAGCAUAUACGUACGGGAGAGAAGAAGUACCGGAGGGAAUAUAAUUCGUGAUUUGUUUGCAUUUUCUAUUCCUAGGAAAGGAGCGCUGAGGAGAGAAAACGGUGGAGCCGUUGGAUGAAAAAAUCUGGGCGUAGGAGCACGGAUGGGAGUACAAGGAGGGGAGGGAGCAGGCAAGCCUCGUCCAGCCGCGUGAUGGUGCGGCGCCAUGGUUUGCGGGCGGCAGAGGGAGUUGGUUGGCAGCGGCGUGUGUGGAUCUUGUGUGGAUAGCCAGGUUGGCUGGUAGUGCCCCUUUGUGGGUUGUAACGGUUUUCUCCGGUUCUUCGUAAUUAACCGAGCAAUUCUCUUCUUCUUUAUUAAUGAAAUGAGGCAAAGCUUUUACCUCCAUUUAAGAAAAACUAUUUAAUGGUGUUUGGUUUUGUGCAUUAUCAUUAUCGAAACAAUUGACCUACCAGUAGGUAGGUUCGAGUCAUUUGGCCUAUUUAUGUUGUUGUCUCGUUGAGUCUGGUUCAUGAGUGUUCUUUGUAUAUAAGCACACUAGAGGGAGUAGCUUUGAGAUGUCAAUUGAGACGAAAUAAUAAAGAAAUAAAGGGCACAGUUCGUAUCAGCAUUGGUUGAAGCUGCAUGUUUUUUUUCUCGAAUACGCACGAGUGUGCGUACUAUGGCCCUGUUUGGUUCGGCUGUGGAUUUCUAAAAGCAGCUGUGAAAAAUCUGCUGUGGAAAAACAGCUGUGGAAAAUCUGAUGUGAAAAAUAUGUAGGUCAUUUGGCAAACCAGCUGUACAGCUUUUUCAGAUUUUGGCCCGCAGCAGAAUCAGAUUUUGGAAAUCACGUCCUGGUCUGCUUCCGCUUUUGGUUCAGAUUUUGGCAGCGGAUUUCUGGAAUCGGAUUCUGCUAGGUUUGCCCUUUGGUUCAGAUUCUACUACGCGGCAGCGGAAUCCAUCGAUAAAAGUUGAACCAAACAGGGCCUAUAUAUUCUAGAAGAAGGGGGAAAGUGCCCCUCCACGUUUGGUGAUUACAUCAUUACAUAAUCCCAACUCCACCCAUUCAAACACUUACAGACUAAUUCCUCACGACAUCUCCCACCUGCAAGGCCGCUAGAAAGCGAUCUAUAUCCACGUUAGGCAAACCUGCAGCCUUCCACGCUGCGCACUCUACAACUACCCUAUGCAUUACGUACACGAUCGACGGGGCAUCCCCCUCAAACACUAUGCCAUUCCGAUGUUUCCAUAGCUCCCAAAGCACCUGGAUGAUCAGCGUCCGCGUGUCCUUCUUCUCAACCGCGCCAUCUGCUGUGAUCACGCACCACUCUGCAAGACUUGAUGUUGCCGUCGGUGUCCAUUGUGGCUUACCCCAAGCCGUGCACACCCGCGUCCAUACCUCUCUGGCGAAGACACACUGGAGCAUUAGGUGGUUCAUACUCUCCUCAACUUGGUCACAAAACGGGCAUGCUUCCUCGUGCUCUAGUCUCCGGCUCGCUAAUCUAUCUGAUGUCCAACAUCUAUUCUGCAUUGCGAGCCAAGUAAAGAAUCUGCACCUCAAGGGGGGCUUAGACUUCCAUGUGAACUGCGCCGUUGGAUCUUUCUCCCGAGCCCAAAAUUUAGCAUGCUACGCCGACCUCGUGGAGAAGGAGCCGCUUGGCUCCCACACCCACCUCACUGAAUCCACCGAGUCCUGAUGCAACUGAACUCUCUCCAUUCAAUCCCACAAGCUUAGGUACUCCUGGAGCAUCUGAUUCGUCACUUCAGGUCCUAUGUCCAAAGCCCAAGCUCCGUUCAUCAAGCCUUGUCUAACUGUACGGCUGCCUCAAGUCCUUUGCCGUACCGUACUAUAAAGUGCUGGCGCCAGCUCCUCCACUCUGAAUCCGUCCACCCAUCUGUCCUCCCAAAAUAACGUGCUCUCUCCAUUGCCCACCGUCGCAUGGGUGGCAGCCUGGAAGAUUUGCAUCGAUCUUCGAGGGACUGAGAUAUCAAACUCUGCCCACGGCCUUGAUGGGUCCACUCUUUUCAGCCAGGGCCACCGUGCCUGCUUGGCCGUAUUCAGCCACUUUAGGUUGGGAAUGCCAAGUCCCCCUGCCCACCUCGGCGAGCACACUUUCUCCCAAGCCACUCUACACUGGCCACCGGAUGCCUGAUCCUUGGCACACCACAAGAACCCACGGCAAAUCUUGUUCAUGGCCUUUAUGACCUUUUGUGGGAUGUCCAAUGCCAUCAUCAUAUGUAUAGGGAUUGCACAGAGCACAGACUGGACAAGUGUCAUUCUUCCACUCUUCGGCAUGUUGACGGCCAUCCACCUAGGUAGGCAUCGAGCCAGCUGAUCCACCAUACCCAUCAGCUGAGCUGCCGUUUGCUUUCGCAGGGUGAGAGGGAGCCCCAAGUAUCUGCAUGGAUAAGUACCUUGCGGGCAGCCAAGCACCUGCACAACCCUCUCCAUGAUCACCAAAUUGCACCGUAUUGGCAGAGCAACACUCUUCUGCAGGUUGACUCUGAGACCAGAUGCUUCACCAAAGAGACGCAACAAGGUUGCACAAGUAGUGAGAUCUUCCACCUCCGGCUUGAGAAAGAUCAUGACAUCAUCCGCGAACAUAGAAACUCUCUCGGUUAAACAUCUCGAAGCGAGUGGGGAUAGGAGACCACGUUCGAGAGCAACACCAAACAUCCUCUGUAGUGGCUCCAUUGUGAGGAUAAAUAACAUCGAAGAAACAGGGUCUCCCUGCCUCAGGCCCUGGCAGUUGUAAAUAGGCUCUCCCGGCACACCAUUAACCAUCGUCCUCGUUGACAAUGUUGCAAGUAAUCCGCAGAUCCAGUCGAUCCACUUAGUGCUAAAACCCAUGCACCUCAUCACUUCCACCAAAAAUGGCCACUGAACCGAAUCAAAUGCCUUUGAGAUAUCCAGCUUGAGCAUGAUGGUUGGCUGUUUAAGCGUGUGCAGUCUCCUUGCUGUACUUUGCACUAACAUGAAGUUGUCGUGUAUGGAACGUCCCCUGACAAAAGCAGUCUGAUGUUUGCCAACCAGCCCUGGCAGCUCCAAGGCUAAUCUACCCGCGAGCAGCUUGUCAAUAAUCUUGAUCACCCCAUGAACUAGGCUCACAGGCCUGAAAUCUUGCACGUCGAUCGCCCCAUCCACCUUUGGCAACAGGGAAACAAUUGCCUUAUUGAUAGCAUGCAACCCAAUCAUAUCACCACGGAAGAAAGAGGCAAGCGCGGCCAUGAUGUCCUCUUUAAUAAUCUCCCAGCAUGAAGCAUAAAAGCGACCCGUGAAUCCAUCCGGACCGGGCGCCUUGUCCAUAGGCAUCGCAUUAACAACCCUCCGCACCUCCUCCUCAUUGAAGGCAAUGUCAAGGCCCGGCAUGUCCAAGCAAGGUGGCUGAAGCGUUUCAAGGUUGGUAGAGGUCAGUCGUUGUUGGGCUGUUCCAAACAGAUUCUUGUAGUACCCAUCUACCAUGCUUGCAAUCUCAUCCUGGUUUGUGGCCACUGAAACUCCAUCAGACAACGAGGUGAUCAUGUUCCGCCUCUGUCGGUGACACGUCGAUUGGUGGAACAGCCGUGUGUUACCCUCUCCUUCCCAUAAGAAAAGGAUCCUAGAUCGCUGCCUCGCGAUGGUCCGUUCAAGCGAGCAUAACCCCAAUAGCUUAUGUUUCAGAAUUCUCCGUAGCUCUCGCUCAUGCUCAGACAAAGCUCUCGUGUCCAUCGCCUUGUCCAGCCACUGGAUCACUUCCAGCGCGAUCGCGAUUUGAAGCUUCACAUUACCGAUCGAUCGAUCACUCCACCGCUUUAAGCUUUUCGCCGUGGCCCUCAACCUCAUAUCCAAAGUCUUGAAAGGAUUAUCCUGACGAGGAACCGAGGCCCGGGUUUCUGCUAAAGUAUCCAAAAAACCUUCUGCCUUCGUCCACAAAGCCUCAAACUUGAAGCGUGAACCCAUGCACAGGUCCGUGUUCACGUCGAGCAAUAGUGGGCAAUGAUCCGAUAUAGCCGAUCCCACCGCACUAAGGCAACAAGUCGGGUGUAGCUCUUCCCAUGACGCAGUGCAGAAAACAUGGUCCACCUUCUCGAGUGUUAUGUUUACCCUCUCAUUAGACCAAGUGUAACGACGUCCAUUCAAAUAGACCUCCUUCAACUCAAGCGAGUUCAGCUUAGAGCGAAACUUGCCAAUCAUUCUGCGGUUUAUCCUCUCAUUGCUCUUGUCCUCAGGGUUUACAAACAGGUUGAAAUCGCCCGCAACCAUCCACGGUCCAGCAUGAAGCUCACGGAUCUCUUCCAACUCUCGCAGGAAAAGCAGCUUCUCCUCGUCGAGCUACGGCCCGUAAACACCCGUCAACCACCACUGCGGGCCCUCCACCGGCAUAAUCAGGGCUGUAAGGGUGUAAUCCGUGUAGUGCGGGUUAGACACGCGCACUACCGACUCGUCCCAUGCUAACAGAAUUCCAGCACGUGUACCAAUCGCCGGUAAGUAAAAGAAGUUACCAAAUUUAUAGCCGAGGCAAUGACGAACUAUAUCAAGAGUUACAACCUCCAUUUUAGUUUCUUGCAGGCACACCACACUCGGAUUUGCCGUGGCCACCACCUGGGCUACCACAUUCCUACGUGCCGGGCUAUUAAGCCCCCGCACGUUCCACACCAGCGUUUUGAAAGGCGUACAAUUCAUGGCGCUAACCCACCAAACCACCAGUACCGCACCCUAGUGCAAGUCCUCCACGAGGGGCUCCCCUUCGAACACCGGCAAGACCGACGGCUGCCAACCGAAAAUAGCAAGGAUCGCCGUAAUGUGAGUGUCGGUCAGUGGUCGAUCAAACAGUUGCGCGUAAGCCUGCAACGCAGAGUCGCUAAUUGUUUCGCCUUCAUUUGCAAGACAGAGCCUCCGAAUCAGAACGUUUUGUUGCUUAGACGCCUUAGAACCCAGCCCCUUCCUGGCCAAUCGGACGCUCCUCCUCGGGUUGGACACCGGCUGCCUCUUCUGACUAGGCCUCUUCUUAUCAGCAGCAGCACCACGGCUGGGAACCACAGUCAAAAGUGGCAUCAAAUUGCGCCUCAAAUCCGCGCACAAGGAGUCCACCCUGUCCUGCAUCGCUACAGGAGUACGUGGCGAGUGCACCUCACCGCCCAUGCAUGGGCUGCAUGGACUGCAUGGCUCCCCACCCGUUGUUGCCGCACAUGUGGCAUCCUCGGGAUCCGCUGAGAGACUGACCAGGAAUGUGUCUCCCAUGUGCACCCGCGCCUGCGCUGGCCCACCACCCACAGGCGAAUCAGCCUCAGUUUCCGCCAACUCCUGUACCAGAUCCUCCUCGAACCCCACGCCUUGCCGAGACGCCGCUGCUGGGGACAGGUCCAGUUCCUCGCCCAAUACAUUCUCACUGCAAGUGCGGCCUAAUACAUGCUCACUGCAAGUGCGGCCCCACCAAACCUUGGAUCCCCAUCCUUGCUCGCCAUUGGCUCCUCGAUGGCCGGGCCGCCUAGCGACAAGGAAACAUCACCGAUCCGCACGCAAGCCUCCACGCCAGUCCCCGGGCUCCCAACCAACAGACAGGCUCCAUCCACGCGCGCCGGCCUUGGGAUGUUCACCGAAGCGGGCGAGCCCCUUGGAUCCCCUGCGAACCCGGUCAAAAAGCACGCUCCACCAGCGGACCUCUGACGCACCGGAUUAGGCUGCCCCAGCCUGCUCUGAGCGGUCAAAAGCGAAACUGUCUCCCCUGCAAAGGAGGAACACCUGACCUCAGCCAAGCAGCUGGAAGGCCAAGCUGCAUGUUUUCAUCAUCGCGUGUGUUUUACUAUUCUAAUGCAACCUGUUAGAGAUAUAUUUGGGAUACUUGUAUUUGGUAGUCUAGGUUUUGUAAUUCGUCUCCUAUCUUAUCUCCAGGAGAGGCGUCUUGCCCUCCAAGUCUUGUACUCAAUAUAUACUCGCCCUCGAGGCUCAAUAAUACAUUCAUCAUAUUCCGCAACAAUCCCUCUUUCUCCCUUCUAACAUGGUAUCAGCCUAACCGAUCCAAACCCUAGCCGUGCCGUCGCUUCCGCUCCGCGCCACCCCCGGGGCGGUCGGUCUCCAUAAUCGCCGCCGGGGGCCGCGCCGCCCGUACCUAGGGUUCGUCCGCCGGCCGUGUUGGUCGGCUGCCCUAGAGAGUCUUUUUCCCGAGCCCUUGCUCCGGGUUUUUUCGCUCUCUCGCCGGUCGUUUUUUGAUCGGCGUUUUUCUUUGUGGUUUUCCGAUCUAUUCUUGAUCGGUUUGCGUCGCCCGCCGCCGCCGUCGAUCCCCGUGCGCCUCUACUCCGACCCCGGCGUGACCAGCCGGCCUCUCCUCCGACCCGGCGGCCACGCGCGCCGAGGCGGCCCGUUCGGGCCAGCCACCGUCCGCGCGUCGGUCCGCUCGUCGCCCUGCGCCGGUCGUCACCGCCCUGUUUCGAACGGGACACCUGCAUCGCCGCGACCUGGCAGCCUCGCGCCAUGCGUCGGCCAAUCAUAGCCGACGCUCGCGCGCCGACCCGCCCAUCGAUCCACGUCACCCGCCUCCGCCGCGUCUGCACGGCGGCUUGGCGGUCUACCUCGCUGGCCUCGUCCUCGGCUACAUCAGGCUCGUCGGCCGCCUCAACUCGGGUGCCGCUGCUCCGUUGGUCGCUCGGGCCUCGCUGCCCGGGCGUCGGCGCUGCUUUGGUAGCCCGGGUGCCGGUGCAGACGUCCCCCACCGUCCGUCGUCGCCGGCCUCAUCCCGGACUCCGCCGCCACCACUCCUCCACCGAGCGGCGUCUCUGACGUCACGCGUGAUCGGCUUGAUCAUCCGCUCGCCGCCGCGAUCCGCCUCAUCUACGCCGCGCGACCGACCUGGCCCGUCGGUUACGCGCGCCUCCGCAGGUCCCGAGAAGAUCGUCCCCGAGUUCAGCGCGCCUCUCCACCGAUCGAGCAUCAGGCUGCCGCUGCGUCGCCCCGUCGGGCCGCAGCGCCGCCGCCCCGUGGUUCUCCUCGCGGCUGCAUGGACUCGUGCGUCGCCGCUGCGUCGCCCCUUCGGGCCGUAGUGUCGCGAUACGCGGUCCCCGCCGCCGCCCCGAGGCCAUCCCCGCGGUUGCACCGUCGCGAACCGCCGUUGUGUCGCCCCUUCGGGCCACAGCGUCACGGCCCGCGGUCCCCGCCGUCGCCCCGACCCGCCUGCCGCCGCUGCGUUGCCCCUUCGGGCCGUCGUGUCGCGGCCCGUGGUCCACUCCGCCUUCACCGCGCGUCGACCUCCCGUGGUAUGCGCCGCGCCGUCUCCCUUGGCGCGGGAACGCCACCGUCCGCGCCGGUUUUCGUCACGCUGUCAGGGUUCUUCGCCUACUUCGAGCACCUUCGCCGCACUCCUAACCUAGCCGCCGCCGCCGCCGUCAGGCUGCCGCCGCCGCUCUUCUUUGGCCGCCGCCGUGACUACCUUCGUAGCUGCCGCCGCCGCCCGUCCACCCCACUUCGUCUUCGUCCAGCACCAGCUCGUCGCCAGCGUCGCCGUCAUCUACCCCGACCGCUUCAUCUACUCCGACAACCGCGGGCGACAUUGGCCCCGCGCCGAUUGGCGCCGCAACCGUCGUCGAGUCCUUCUUUGCUGGCUUCUCCGACCUCUUCGACAUGGCGUACAGCUCGUGCAGGUCCCAGUCUACGCAUGCCCGGUGCUGGCAACACCGCCGCGUGCCUUCGUCCACGACGUGUCCCCGGGCCUGGCAAGCCUGGUGGGGCGCUUCGUCAACUUCGUCUUCGACCGUCUACGCAUGUCCGGUGCUGGCAACACCGACGUGUGCCUUCGUCUACGAUGUGUCCCCGGGGUUGGCAAACCCGGCGCGACGCGUCAUCAACACCAUUCUCCUUCCUGGCGCAUCACUUCUUUGGCACCACUGCGCCCAUGACUAACUCGGCGCCUCCUUGCGCCUGCGGCUCCACGGCGACUCCCUCGACACCGGCUACCCCGACUCGACAUCGACCACGGCGUUCUUCGCAGGGCUACCUCGACCACGGCUACACCACCCUACGCUCUCGACUACAUCGACAUCGGCACAAAGGGCUAUCAUCCGCUUGAGCAACUCGUCGGCUUCCUCUACAGUCAACGCGUCCGCGACGCGACGCCGUCCACGACGCUCCCUCUAGGACUGCGGGGGGAUGUCAGUCCGCCGGCUGCUAUUCUCUCCAGUCUGACCGUCUGCGACGCUCCUGUUGUUCGCAACGCUACCGCUACGACUGCGGGGGGAUGUUAGAGAUAUAUUUGGGAUACUUGUAUUUGGUAGUCUAGGAUUUGUAAUCCGUCUCCUACCUUAUCUCCAAGAUUGGCGUCUUGCCCUCCAAGUCUUGUACUCAAUAUAAUCGCCCUCGAGGCUCAAUAAUACAUCCAUCAUAUUCCGCAACAAUCCCUCUUUCUCCCUUCUAACACAACCGAUUCGUGAGAGAAAACCAACAUAUAGGAUCCAACUAUUAUGAUGCAAACGUUUUGUGAGAGAAAUCCAACAUAUGGGAUCCAAUAUAUUACGAACCUUUUGGGUUUGGAGGCAUUAGGAAUGACGCUUAAACAGCAGGACACCCGUGUUUGCCACUCGCGUUGCCCUGCCUCUUGCUCCCACAGAGCAGCUUCGACUCCCUUUCGCACUUAUGAAACAGUGCUCGCGGUUGCUGGAGUUUGUCGUCGAUCGAGGAUUCCAAUACCUCAGUUCCACUUUGUUUACAAGAAUCUUUUAAUAAUUCUAUAGGAAAAUUAUUUCCUACUCCCUUCGUCAGAAAUUAACCGUCGCGGCGGAGGUUGUAUUAGCAAUUGAGAUAUAUGUCCUCUUACUUCCCAUUUCCAAAGAGGCCUAAAAAUAUUCCUUUCGUUCACAAAUACAAGAUGUUCUAUCUUUUUUUUUCUAAAUCGGAUGUAUAUAGAUACAUUUUGUGUUUGUUCACUCAUUUCAGUCCAUAUGUAGUUUAGAUUAAAAUAUUCAAAACAUCUUAUAUUUAUGAACGAAAGGAGUACAUGAGAUUAGAAGUCGACUCUUGGUAAAAGCAAAAGUGAUACAAGUGACUCCUGUAUAUAGAGCAAAUUAGUACAAUUGACUACCAAAAAUGCCAAUGGAGCUUGAGCUACAGGGAGCUCAUUCCCAAAAUUCAAAUUUCCACAUCACAAUUUUUUUUGUAAACACACAUACACAUGUAUACUAUGUAUGUGCAAAUUUUCAAAACAUUACACUUUCACACAUGGCGUAUAGAAAAAAGAUAAAUAUGUAUUUUCAAAAUUGGCCCUUUAUGUAUGUUGUUGCGCAGAAUUUUGUGUUUUUACCCUACACAAUGACAAUAUUUUUAAACGAAAUUUCACAUAUUCGUGCGGAACACAAAUAUGUUUCCAUGGAAUUUUAGGAUUUUUUUACUUUUAAAUGUUUUCUGAUUCUUUUUAAAGAAAUACCAGGCUCCCGGGAGUGCGUUCACAAAAAGUCUGCACUCAAUUGACUUCUGCAUACAUAGCAAAUUAGUACAAAGGACUUGGACAGGAGAGUAGGCUGAAAGUGAAGGAAGAUUCAAGUUUCUUUAGCUCAAGGGGCACGUGAGAGGCAGAACGAUUAGCCAACUAUUAUAAUAUCAAAUUAUAUAGUAGAGGACAGAAACCAAAAUCAUGUUUGAGAUCCACAGUAAAAACAAGUUAAAUAAGUCAAAACCUCUACAAGAAAUGUGAGAUUUCAUCCAAACAUGUCUAGUUCUGAAUCCAAAAAGUGUAUGCAUAUUCAUCAUCCAGUUCCUAAUCUGAAACAAGGUUAUCCUUCCAACACAGGGUAUUAUCAAGGAACUUGAUGUCGCUUGAAGCUACGUCGAUAUUUCCUCAAAGAGGAAGGGAUGAUGCAGCACAGCGGCGGUAGGUAUUUUCCUCAGAUAUGAAGCCAAGGUUAUCGAACUAGUAGGAGAACCAAGCAACACAACGUAAACAGCCCCUGCACACAGAUCACAAAUCCUCGCAACCCGACGUUUUAAAUGGGUUGUCAAUCCCUUUCGGGUACGGUGCCUCAAGAUAUACAAACGGACGUGCGAUAAAAUUAUAGUAGAUUGAAUAAAUAGAUCACAAAUAAAAUAAAGUGCAGCAAAAUAUUUUUGUAUUUUUAGUUUAAUAGAUCUGAAAAUAAAUGCAAGGAAAAAGUAGAUCGCAAAGGCAAAUAUAUAAGAAAGAGACCCGGGGGCCGUAGGUUUCACUAGUGGCUUCUCUCGAGAAAAAUAGCAAACGAUGGGUGAACAAAUUACUGUUGGGCAAUUGAUAGAACUUCAAAUACUCACGACGAUAUCCAGGCAAUGAUCAUUAUAUAGGCAUCCUGUCCAAAAUUAGUAGACCGAUACCUGCCUGCAUCUACUACUAUUACUCCACAUAUCGACCGCUAUCCAGCAUGCAUCUAGUGUAUUAAGUUCAUGGAAAAAGGGAGUAAUGCAAUAAGAAUGAUGACAUGAUGUAGACAAUCUAUGUAGAGAUAGACCCCAUCGUUUUAUCCUUAGUAGCAACGAUACAUACAUGUCGGUUCCCCUUCUGUCACUGGGAUCAAGCACCGUAAGAUCGAACCCACUACAAAGCACCUCUUCCCAUUUCAAGAUAAAUAUAUCAAGUUGGCCAAACAAAACCCAAAUAUCGGAGAAGAAAUACGAGGCUAUAAGCAAUCAUGCAUAUAAGAGAUCAAAGAAACUCAAAUAACUUCCAUGGAUAAAAAAGAUAGAUCUGAUCAUAAACUCAAAGUUCAUCGAUCCCAACAAGCACACCGCAAAAGAGUUACAUCAUAUGGAUCUCCAAGAGACCACUGUAUUGAGAAUUCAGAGAGAGAGAGAGAGAGAUAUGAAGCCAUCUAGCUACUAACUACGGAGCCAAAGGUCUACAAAGAACUACUCACGCAUCAUCGGAGAGGCGCCAAUGGAGGUGGUGAACCCCAUCCGAGAUGGUGUCUAGAUUGGAUCUGGUGGUUCUGGACUCUGCGGCGGCUAGAUGAAUAUUUCGUCGACUCCCCUAGGGUUUUGGGAAUAUUGGGGUAUUUAUAGAGCAAAGAGGCGGUCCAGGGGGCACCCGAGGUGGGCACAACCCACCAGGGCGCGCCUCGGCCUCCUGGCGCGCCCUGGUGGGUUGUGCUCUCCUCGGAGCACCCCCUAGGCGUAGCCAGGGCCCAUUAUGUUCCUUCUGGUCCAAAAAAAUCUCCAUAAAGUUUCAUUGCGUUUGGACUUCGUCUGAUAUUGAUUUCCUACGAUGUAAAAAACAUGCAGAAAACAGCAACUGGCACUUGGCACUAUGUCAAUAGGGUAGUACAAAAAUGAUAUAAAAUGACUAUAAAAUUAUUGUAAAACAUCCAAGAAUGAUAAUAUAACAGCAUGGAACAAUAAAAAAUUAUAGAUACGUUGGAGACGUAUCAGCAUCCCCAAGCUUAACUCCUACUCGUCCUCGAGUAGGUAAGUGAUAAAAAUAGUAUUUUUGAUGUGGAAUGCUGCCUAACAAUGCAUAUCAUAUUCUUUUCUUUAUAGCAUGGACAUUUGGACUUUUAUGUGAUUCAAAGCAAUAGUCUAGUUUUGACAUGAUAAUUUAAAUACUCAAGCAUAUCAAUAAGCAACCAUGUCUUUCAAAAUAUCAACGCUAAAAUAAGUUAUCCCUAGCCCAUCAUGCUCAACCAUUGAUCCAUUCAUGAAACACACUCGCAUAUUAGUUACACCCAAUACUUAAGUACGAUCAUAUUGCCUCCUAGUUGGUGCUUUUGUAAGAUAAGAUGGAGACUCAAAUUCAAAAUAAAAAUUGCAUAAAGUAAAAGAAAGGCCCUUCACAGAGGGAAGUAGAGAUUUGUAGAGGUGCCGGAGCUCAAAGCGAAAAACUUAGAGAUAAAAACAUUUUGGGAGGUGUAUCCAUCCCACCAAUGAAAACAACAUAGAGUGCCCAACACUUUCCAUGCUAGAUAUAUCAUAGGCGGUUCCCAAACAGAAAAUAAAGUUUAUUCCUUUUUCCAUCAUACUUUCACUUUUCAUGGCUAGCCAUAUCCACGGUUGCCCUCCAUACCAAUAUUUUCCCAGGAAUUUAUUAUUUGACAACAUACAGUAAAUUCAUUUUUUUCAUUUUGGAACUGGGCAUCCCUAAAACCUUUGCCUUACUCUCGUGCAAUGACAAGUGAAUAAACACUCAUCAUGAGAAUAACACAUCCAGCACAGAAAAUAUUAGCCACCCUUCACCGCUCCGCGAGCGAAACGAACGCACAAAAGAGAAGUUUAUUUUGAAAAAUAGAGAUGGCACAUGCAAAUUUGCUUAGGACGGCAAAAGAAUACCGCAUAUAGGUAGAUAUAGUGGACUCAUGUGGCAAAACUGGUUUAAAGGUUUUUGGAUGCACAAGUAGAGAUCAUACUUAGUGCAAAACGAAGGCUAGCAAAAGAUUGAGAAGCUACCAACCAAGAAACGGAUAAUCUCAUAAGCAAGCAUUAAGCGUAAAUAACACUGAAUAACGCACCACAAGUAGGAUAUAAUUUCAUUGCAUGAAUUCUGACUUUCGUGCUUGCAUAAGGAAUCACAAACCUUAACACCAAUAUUCUUAAUAAAGCAUAAUUACUCAUCAACAUAACUCACAUAUCACAUCAUCAUAUCUCAAAACUAUUACUAAGGAUCAAGUUUAUUUUGUCCAAUGAUCUUCAUGAAAGUUUUUAUUAUAUCCUUCUUGGAUAUCUAGCACUUUGGGACUAAUUUUCAUGUGUUGCUUUUCAUAAACUCAAACAAAUAUAAGCGAAGAUCAUGAGCAUAAUUUUUCUUUCUUUCUCUCAAAAUAAUUUAAGUGAAGCAAGAGAGAAUUUCUUGGAAAUUUUACUAACUCUCAAAUAAAUCUAAGUGAAGCAAGAGAGCAUUUCUUCAAAAAUACUAAGCACACCAUGCUCAAAAAGAUAUAAGUGAAGCACUAGAGCAAGUCCAUAGCUCAUAAAAAAUUAAGUGAAGCCAUAGAGAGCAAUUCUAACAAGUCAUGACAUAAUUUUGGCUCUCCCAAAUACGUGUGUCCAGCAAGGGAUAAAGACGUAAAACACAAAAUGAAACGAGCAAAGACUCAUAUCAUACAAGACGCUCCAAGCAAAAAAACAUAGUAUGUGACGAAUAAAAAUAUAGCUUCGAGUAAAAUACCGAUGGUCGUUAGAAGAAAGAGGGGAUGCCACUCGGGGGCAUCCCCAAGCUUAGUUGGUUGCUCAUUUUUGGAUAAUAGCUUGGGAUGCCGGGGCAUCCCCAAGCUUAGGCUCUUCUACUCAUUAUUCCUUCAUCCAUCGUAAGAUAACCCAAAACUUGAAAACUUCAAUCACACAAAACUCAACAAAACCUUCGUGAGAUCCGUUAGUAAAAGAAAGCAAAUCACAACUAUAAGUGUUGGGGAACGCGGUAUUUCAAAAAAAAAUCCUACGAUCACGCAAGAUCUAUCUAGGAGAUGCAUAGCAACGAGCGGGGAGAGUGUGUCCACGUACCCUCGUAGACCGAAAGUGGAAGCGUUUAGUAACGCGGUUGAUGUAGUCGAACGUCUUCAAGAUCCAACCGAUCCAAGUACCGAACGUACGGCACCUCCGCGUUCAGCACACGUUCAGCACGAUGACGUCCCUCGGGCUCUUCAUCCAGUUGAGGCUGAAGGAGAGUUCCGUCAGCACGACGGCGUGGCGACCGUGAUGAUGAAGUUACCGGCGCAGGGCUUCGCCUAAGCACUACGACGAUAUGACCGAGGUGUGUAACUGUGGAGGGGGCACCACACACGGCUAAGACUAAUCUUGAGUGCCUUUAGGGUGCCCCCUGGCCACGUAUAUAAAGGAGGGGAGGGAAGAGGUGGCCGGCCAAAGGGGGGCGCGCCAGGUGUGGGGAAUCCUACUAGGACUCCCCAGUCCAAGUAGGAUUCCCCUCCUCUUUCCUAUUCGGAGUAGGAGAGAAGGAAAGAGAGGGAGAGGGAGAAGGAAAGGGGGGCCGCGCCCCCACCUCUUGUCCAAUUCGGUUUGGGCAGGGAUGAGGCGCGCGCCACCUCUUGGCCCUUCUCCCCUCUCUCCACUAAAUCCCAAUAAGGCCCAUUACUUCUCCCGGCGAAUUCCCGUAACUCUCCGGUACUCCAAAAAUACCCGAAUCACUCGGAACCUUUCCUGUGUCCGAAUAUAGCCUUCCAAUAUAUCGAUCUUUACGUCUCGGCCAUUUUGGGACUCCUCAUCAUGUCCGUGAUCUCAUCCGGGACUCCGAACAACCUUCGGUACAUCAAAUCACAUAACUCAUAAUACAAAUCGUCAUCGAACGUUAAGCGUGCGGACCCUACGGGUUCGAGAACUAUGUAGACAUGACCGAGACACAUCUCCGGUCAAUAACCAAUAGCGGAACUUGGAUGCUCAUAUUGGCUCCUACAUAUUCUACGAAGAUCUUUAUCGGUCAAACCGCAUAACAACAUACGUUGUUCCCUUUGUCAUAUGUGUGUUACUUGCCCGAGAUUCGAUCGUCGGUAUCCUCAUACCUAGUUCAAUCUCGUUACCGGCAAGUCUCUUUACUCGUUCCGUAAUGCAUCAUCCCGCAACUAACUCAUUAGUCACAAUGCUUGCAAGCCUUAUAGUGAUGUGCAUUAUCGAGAGGGCCCAAAGAUACCUCUCCGAUACACGGAGUGACAAAUCCUAAUCUCGAUAUAUGCCAACUCAACAAACACCUUCGGAGACACCUGUAGAGCAUCUUUAUAAUCACCCAGUUAGGUUGUGACGUUUGAUAGCACACAAAGUGUUCCUCCGGUAUUCGAGAGUUGCCUAAUCUCAUAGUCAGAGGAACAUGUAUAAGUGAUGAAGAAAACAGUAGCAAUGAAACUAAAAUGAUCGUAAUGCUAACCUAACGAAUGGGUCAUGUCCAUCACAUCAUUCUAUAAUGAUAUGAUCCCGUUCAUCAAAUGAAAACACAUGUCUAUGGCUGGAAACUUAACCAUCUUUGAUUAACGAGCUAGUCACGUAGAGGCAUACUAGGGACACUCUGUUUGUCUAUGUAUUCACACAUGUACUAAGUUUCCGGUUAAUACAAUUAUAGCAUGAAUAAUAAACAUUUAUCAUGAAAGAAGGAAAUAAAUAAUAACUUUAUUAUUGCCUCUAGGGCAUAUUUCCUUCAGUCUCCCACUUGCACUAGAGUCAAUAAUCUAGUUCACAUCGUUAUGUGAUUUAACACCAAUAAUUCACAUCACCAUGUGAUUAACACUCAUAGUUCACAUCACCAUGUGACCAACACUCAAAGUGUUUACUAGAGUCAGUAAUCUAGUUCACAUCGCCAUGUGAUUAAGACCCAUGUGUCUACAAUGCUCUCCACGGAGCUACUUUAGCUAAUUGCUCGCACUUUCAAUAUGUAUCCGGAUUGUGACUUAGAGUCAUCCAGAUCAGUGUCAAAGCUUGCAUCGACGUAACUCUUUACGACGAACUCUUUAUCACCUCCAUAACCGAGAAAUAUUUCCUUAGUCCUCUAAGGAUAAUUUGGACCGCUGUCAUGUGAUCUACUCCUAGAUCAAAAUUGUACUCCCUUGCCAAACUCAGGGCAGGGUAUACAAUAGGUCUAGUAUAUAGCAUGGCAUACUUUAUAGAACCUAUGGCUGAGGCAUCGGGAAUGACUUUCAUUCUCUCUUUAUCUUCUGUCGUGGUCAGGCUUUGAGUCUUACUCAACUUCACACCUUGCAACAAAGGCAAGAACUCUUUCUUUCACUGUUCCAUUUUGAACUACUUCAAAAACUUGUCAAGGUAUGUACUCAUUGAAAAAACUUAUCAAGCGUCUUGAUCUAUCUCUAUAGAUCUUGAUGCUCAAUAUUUAAGCAGCUUCACCGAGGUCUUUCUUUGAAAAACUUCUUUCAAACACUCCUUUAUGCUUUCCAGAAAAUUCUACAUCAUUUCCAAUCGACAAUAUGUCAUUCACAUAUACUUAUCAGAAAGGCUUUAGUGCUCCCACUCACUUUCUUGUAAAUACAGGCUUCACCACAAAUCUGUAUAAAACUAUAUGCUUUGAUCAACUUAUCAAAGCAUAUAUUCCAACUCCGAGAUGCUUGCACUAGUCCAUAGAUGGAUCGCUAGAGCUUGCAUAUUUUGUUAGCACCUUUAGGAUUGACAAAACCUUCUGGUUGCAUCAUAUACAACUCUUCUAUAAUAAAUCCAUUAAGGAAUGCAGUUUUGUUAAUCCAUUUGCCAUAUUUCAUAAAAUGCGGCAAUUGUUAACAUGAUUCGGACAGACUUAUGCAUCGCUACGAGUGAGAAAAACUCACCGUAGUCAACACCUUGAAUUUCUAGAAAACCUUUCGCGACAAGUCGAGCUUUGUAGAUAGUAACACUACCAUCAGCGUUCGUCUUCCUCUUGAAGAUCCAUUUAUUCUCAAUGGCUUGCCGAUCAUCGGGCAAUUCCACCAAAGUCCAUACUUUGUUUUCAUACAUGGAUCCUAUCUGAGAUUUCAUGAGCUUAAACGAUUUUGCGGCAUCUGGGCUCAUCAUCGCUUCCUCAUAGUUCAUAGGUUCUUCAUGGUCUAGUAACAUGACUUCCAGAACCGGAUUACCGUACCAUUCUGGUGCGGAACGUACUCUGGUUGACCUACGAGGUUCGGUAGUGUCGGCGUUCUGGGAACAGGGGUCCCCAGACUUGCCUGCCUGUGGUCCACGGCAUGGCUCUGCAUGUGGGCCCGUACGGCCCAUCUACACCAACAAGGCGUUCAAGACCCUCGCGAGGGGCCAAGCCUCGCGAGGCGGACGACACAAGACCUCCUCAGGAGCAGCCUCACCAGGUUGGCUCGCGGGGAGCGGAGAGAUCAAGGCAGGGCAAACCUCGCGAGGUUCUCGUGACGUGAGCCAUGACGAUCGAGAUCAGGCGGGUGCUAGCGUGCGGCAGUGUCCUUGUUUCCCCUUUGGUGCUAAGGAAGCAAGCGCAGGCGUGGAGUACUGAGGCAUCAAGCAAAGGUUUCCAUAUCGGUGCAACGGGACCGAGACUAGCAGGACGGCAAGACGGAGGUCACCAUGGAGCCUGAAGCGGCGUCACCACUAGAGCCUUUUGCAGGCGAAGACUACUUUUGUCAGGAUAAGAUGUACUAGUUGUCCCCUUUCAAAUUGGCCGUUGUUGGCUCCCUUCCCGCUCAGUAUUUGGGGAGAGGACCAGGGCCUCUAUAAAUAGGACUAGCCACUGCAGUAGAAGGCAAGCAAGCCCGAGCUGAUCGAGUACUCACACACACAAGUUCACCAAGCACAAGAACACCUCAACCUCAGGAGGCUGUUCUUCCCCUUGUACUGUUCAUCACCAGCCCAAGAGGCAAUCCACCACCACCACACUGGAGUAGGGUAUUACACCGCAACGGUGGCCCGAACCAGUAUAAAUCUUGUGCCUCUUGUGUUGUGAGUUCGUUGAGUUUGUCUGCGAGAUCUUAGCAAGCUAGGGCGUGGAUCGGUAGGGAAAGAACUUCGCGCGCACCCCAGAGUUCGAACCUCAAGGGUUUUGCCGGAACCCGUGAUCAGACAUUUGGCGCGCCAGGUAGGGGUGCGCCGGAGCCUCUUCCCCACCAGUCGAUCCACCGACGCUCCCCGGUUCCGAUGUCCGGCGACCCGAGGGCCGACGCCGACCGUUGGGUAGCCUGGCCCGCUCGGGCGGUGCCGCCCCGCCUGCCCAGGAAGACCUCAACCCCGCGCUCCAGGCGGCACGGGCGCCACCUAACGCUGCUGGGCGCGGGCGGCACGGCCAGGCGCCGUCCACCCUUACUCCACAACAAGCGCGAGCCGCUGCAAGGGUCGCAAGCCACGCCGCGGCAACGGCCCCACACACUCGGCGGGAGCAGGCGAACAUGCGGGCCGCACUCACACUGGUGCGGGACCUGCUGCGGUGCCGACUGAUGGAGAGCGGCCGGGAUGCGCUGAUGGAACGCGUCGCCGAGCUACUGGACGCAGCGGCCACGGGAGCGCCGCCCUUCUGCUAUCAGCUCACGCCUCAGGCGACGGCUGGGUCCCACGGUGGGCCACGCCACCCCCGCGUGCACCCGGGUGCACCCGGGGGCCUCGUCGACAUCAACACGAUCCACGAUGGGGGGCGCCCUGCCGCGCCCGCACCAUCCCAGGUGGGCGCGGGCACGAGCGUUGCCGCAUACGGCCCCAUCGGAGCGCUGCCCUGCCAUCCUCAGGACGGCAUGACGGGCCGGGCGACAUGGAGCAUGUGGCACUUCGGCGAGGUCUUCGGGGCAGCGGCCUCGGAGGCCUAUGUGCCCCGCAUGAUGGACCAGGAGUACACGCCGGAAGAUGACCCUGGCUCGUUCCUCGGGCCAGGUUGGGAGGAGGAGGCGUUAGGAGCUGAAGCCUUCCAGGAGCCGCCAGAGAGCCCCACCAACCGCGCCGUCGAUAACAGAUACAGGGUACCACUAAUCCCUCAGGAUCAAGCUUACACUAACGAUGAGUCGCAGGGGGAUCAGGUUACCACAGCGGCUGGCGGCCCCAGCUCGGCGGCCUCCCUUCCGCCAGGGGGGUCGCGCUGGAGGCUGCAGGAGAGGAGUCGGGAGGCAGAUCCCUUCCCGCGUCGCACGGAGCAAGGCGCCCCCUGGAGGUAGGCCCUCUGCUGGGGAGGUGCUGAAAAGCCUACCCCCGGCAGAGGACCCGUGGUCGCCGAGGGCGCCGCUAGCAUCCCCUUUGCCCCUUUGGUGGCGUCCUGGUUUCCGGUCGUCCCCAACGGUGGCCGAGGGAGGCGCAAGACGGGGCCCUCAUCUGGCGAUAUGAAGUAAGGCUCACGCCUGUGAAGAUCGCCGCCCGUGACACUCUCACGUAAUAAUGAGUGGGGUUGUACACGCCCCGGAGUCUCAGGAGUGCCGCCCUCGGGCCUCGGGGGCUCCCUCCCACGUCCUAGUGGCAGCACUUAGCUCCGCGCUGGUGAGAAGACUCGAAGACCAGAAGACUAGACUAGGCGCCGAAUGCGGCCAUUUGCUUUGGAUCUCUUUUCUGUAGCCUUGCCUUCUGGAUUUGGAUUUAAGUUGAAGUUGAAUUUUCAUUGAUGCACGCGGGGGGUGCCUUUUCUCGUUCGAGCGAUUUUUUGCUAUCCGUUUCUUACCUUGCCCUGGACCUUACGACCGCUGCCCCCCGCCCCCCUCGUGGGCUCCUCGCGAGCGGGGCAGGGCGCAGCAUACACGCCGCACGUCGGCACCACGAUCGGCGCCGGAUUCUCGCGAAGCCUUCUCGGGCGAGCCAGCAGACUCUUCAGGAGUUCCUCGGGAGUUCACGAUCUCAUGAUCCAGCACGGGGGCUUACCCGGCUAAGGUAAGCCGCAACGAGAAACUUGCCGCCGGACCCACGGAUUCUCGAAGGUGCAUACUCGGCUUGACAUAAAGGAAUAAAGAGAGUGGUUUGUUUACACGAGGGGCUCCCCCUCUCAAAAUGCUCUUACAGUCUUUAGGGGCCGCGCCCGAGUUUUUGCAUACAGGAUAAAACAGAAGGGGACAUGGGAUCAACCGGAUAUGUCGCUCACCGCAUCACCCUCGGACGCGUCGCUCACAUUGUCGUCACCUUCGCCGUCAUCGUCGUCGCCUUCGACGGCGCCUCCAUCACCGUCGUUGACCACGUCGCCUUCGUCUACUGCGACCACCACCGCGUCGUCUUCGGAAGCGAAGGCCCUGACCAGCGCAUCCACGUUGUCCUCCACCCACCGCGCCAGGUCGCCCCGGAUGGCCUGCGGUACGGGGGCAAUGGCGGCGUCGAAGUCGAAGUUGGGGAAGGUGUUCCAAAGAUGGUUGAAGACACGGGAGAACGCGCGCCCGAGCAGGCCCUGACUCCUCUCUUUCACGAGCUGGUGAGCCCUAUCCGACCGGGCUUCCGGGCGCGCCACCACGUCAGCGAAGAAGCGCAGGUGACUAGCGUAGUCAUUCGAGUGGGGAUGCGGUGCAUUCUCGUCACAGACAUGGCCCAGCGCCGCGUUGGCCCUGACCCUGAGGUCCUGGAGCAUGGGCGCGUGCUCACGCUCCAAUGUCCGCCACUGAAGCACUUCCUCCCAGUUCUGCCGCGCGACCGCCUCGGCGCCAUCAACCCGUUUCUGAAGAGAGAGCAGCUCGGCGCGGGCGGAAGCCAACUCUGCCGGCGCCGUAACCAGGGCGGCCGUUGUGGCCUCCUCGCGCCUCUCUACCUCAACCAGCCCGGGCCUAAGGGCAGCGACCCUACCUGCAGCCUCUGUCUCUGCAGGCUGCAACUUCAGAUCAUGCCAACCCUCAAGACCCGCGCAAACCUCGGCCACCCGGCGAUCGACCUCCUCCUGAGCUUUGGCCUCGCGUGCGCCAAAUGCAUCUUCCGCUUGGGCAACUUGACGCUCCCUCGUCUCCAGCCGCUCAAGCUCGACGCUACGCUACACGGCUUCUAGAGCCAACGCCUCCUUGCGCCUCCGGACCUCUUCUUCCUCGGCGGGCGUCCCCCUCAACGAUGCAAGGGCGGCUUUGCGCGCCUCCACCUGCUGCUCCAGGGACGAAUUCCAGGCUUGGAGCUCCCACGCGCGCUUCUCCGCAGCCUCGCGAUGGCGGUCAGCCUCACGAGCUUCCUCCAAAGCUCUGGAGCAAGCCUCACGAGAGACCUUAAGGUACGCCUCAGCCUUCGCAUUGUCAAGAUCACACUGACGACGGCCAAGGUUGAUAGCCACCUUCAACUUGUGCUACUCCUCCGCUAACCGAAGACCCUAGGCCUCAAGGCGCGCGUCGACACCCGCGAGUUCUUCACCGAGUCGGUUCAUCGCGCACAUCGCCUCCUAGAAGAGCUCAUGACGAACGACGCUCCGCCCGUGCUCGAACACAAGCGCACGGCCCAUCUCGCCCUCCGCCACGAGGGCUGUGGGCAAGGCCUGGAGCGGUGCACCCCCUCUCGGCAGGGGGCUGGGGGCUGGCGCUGCCCCAAGCGCCAGCCGGGCCUCGCGAGGGGCCCGAACUAUACGGGGCCCGCUGCCUGAAGAGGAGCCGAAGACCGAAGCCAACCAGCCACCGUCCAUGACCAGAGGAGGGGUUCUGGGGACGCCCGCCAAGCUCCAAGCAAGGCCGCCAAGGAGGGACCACAAGGCCGUGGGCUCAAGGCGCCAUGGAGGGAAGCCCGCCUCUCCAACCGACCCCGCGCCGGGAACGGCGCGCGGGCGCGGGGCGCUCAAGGCCAGCGGGGGAGUCGAGGAGAAAGGGGGCUGCCCCUCAGGAGAUGCAACGGCGUUGGCGGAAGGGACCCUGAAGAACUAACGUCAGGAAGGGAAGCGGCACUCAAGAAGACGCAAAGAUACAGUACUUACCCGUCAACGGCGAUGUACCUCCUCCGCUUCAACGGCCCGAAGAUACCGCUACUGCUCGGGGAUCCUUUCCUCUUGCGGAGCUCCUCGAAGUGCACGCAAAGCCGACCAAAGCGCUGGAUGUGGCAGCCGGCGCGGGGCGAGACCGGGGAAGCGCUCGGAGGGACAGCUUCAGGGGCGCCGAGCUGAGAAGAGCAGUCGGGCGCUGUCUGACCGCGACCCCCCGAGGCCUCCGGAGCUUCGGCCUCGGGAGCCGCGGGCUACGUCGCCUCCGCAGCCGACGCCCCAGGGGAGGAAUCAUGAGCUCCCGUGGACGACGCCCCAAGAUCCCCAAGUGGCAUAUGCACCUCAGCACUCAGGCCACCAGCCUCCGUCAGAGCUCGCCCCCUGCACCCACAGUCGGGACGAGCUCGGCACCGGCGGCGAAGAAGGGAACCACGUCGACGGGGUUCUCGCAGGGCCCCACCAGGCCGUUCGGGCGCAACCCCCACUCAUCAAAGGAAGGCAUGCUCUCUACAAAUUCAGCCUUGUUCGUGCAGCGGUACAGCAGACAGCUCUUCCCAGGCAUGUUGUCCGGCGAAGGGACACCCGUCAGGAACUCGAGCACUGUUUUCCGCGUCUCAAGAGGGAGCCCGGACUCCUGAAGCCUCAUAUGGUCAUGACUGCUGAGCAAAGCCCACAUCAUGCGAGAAUGGCGCUGAAGCGGAGCGACUCGGCGCCUGACGAACUCCUUCACCACCAUAGGCGCAGUCACGCCACGGUCCUUCAACCUCCUCAGCCUGAGCCAGACGGGGACAAGACAGGAGCUCGCGAGCCUCUCGUGGCCCCAACCGGAGGAACGGCAGGUGCUGAUGGACAAUGGAGCAGAGGGCUGAGCACCCCGGCGUCGACAAAUACCCACCGUGUCCGAAACUCGCUCAUGGAUAGAGGAAGCUCGAAGUCGAUCCCCGCGCUUGCCGUCGCAGCCACAGCCUGGAAGCUCACGCACCCCGAGCUUUCCAGAGGAUCCAUCAGAUGCAAUGAGAAGAAAUGACGGAGAAGGGCCACGGAAGGAGCAAUGCCCGCCAUAGCCUCACACACAAAGGCGAAAACGGCAAGGAGAGUCACGGAUUGGGGGUCGAGAUGCAGCAUGUGUAUCUGGUAAUGUUCAAGCACCACGUUGAAGAAGGCGGAGAAAGGGGGAAUCAGGCCGGCCCAAAGGGCAUCGAUGAAGAUUGGGACCUCGGUGGCUGCCCGGUCAAUGCGAGCGCGAGACGCAGGCCAAGACACCGUCUUUUCCCACUUGUUGAAGCUGGUGGCGAGCAUGGGACACACCUUGCCCAUAGCCUCAUCGUUGAGCACCAGCGCUCGGCCAACUGCGGGCUUGACGGCUGAAGGCGCACAUGGCGAAGACAAAGGCUUCUUCCCCUUGUCUACUUGUUUCGGCACCAUGGCGAUGAAGCGGGCAGAGCACAGGUCAGAUUGGAGAGGAGGAGCAGAGCCUCGGGGAAGCAGAGGAAUUGGGGAAGUAAGGCCAGGGCGAUGUAAGAAUAAUUGUGUAGGUAGCAGGGGCCGCAUAGCCAGGCAGACUCCAAGGCAGCGUGGGGAAGCGGAGACGCCCACGUCCAAUCAACCGCCAUGCGUCGACCAAGGCCGCAGGCUUUUGGGGCCCGCGGCGCUCCAUGCUUGACCUUUAGCUUUGCCUCGAAGCCAAGCCCAAGCGCGCCUUGGGCCCGGGGGAUACUUUCGGCGUUCUGGGAACGGGGGUCCCCAGAGUUGCCUACCUGCGGCCCAUGGCGUGGCUCUGCGCGUGGGCCCGUACGGCCCAUCUUCAUCAACAAGGCAUUCAAUACCCUCGCGAGGGGCCAAGCCUCGCGAGGCGGAGGACACAAGACCUCCUCAGGAGCGGCCUCACUAGGUUGGAUCCCGAGGAGUGGGGAGAUCAAGGCAGGGCAAACCUCGCGAGGUUCUCGUGACGUGAGCCAUGACGAUCGAGAUCAGGCGGGCGCCAGGCAGCCGCCAGCGCACGCAGUGUCCUUGUUUCCCCUUUGGUGCUAAGGAAGCAAGCGCAGGCGCGGAGUACCGAGGCAUCAAGCAAAGGUUUCCAUAUCGGUGCAACGAGACCGAGACCAGCAGGACGACAAGACGGAGGUCACCAUGGAGCCCGAAGCGGCGUCACCACUAGAGCCUUUUGCAGGCGAAGACUACUUUUGUCAGGAUAAGCUGUACUAGUUGUCCCCUUUCAAAUUGGCCGUUGUUGGCUCCCUUCCCGCUCAGUAUUUGGAGAGAGGACCAGGGCCUCUAUAAAUAGGACUAGCCACUGUAGUAGAAGGCAAGCAAGCCUGAGCUGAUCGAGUACUCACACACACAAGUUCGCCGAGCACAAGAACACCUCAACCUCAAGAGGCUGUUCUUCCCCUUGUACUGUUCAUCACCAGCCCAAGAGGCAAUCCACCACCACCACACUGGAGUAGCGUAUUACACCACAACGGUGGCCUGAACAAGUAUAAAUCUUGUGCCUCUUGUGUUGUGAGUUCGUUGAGUUCUUCCGUGAGAUCUUAGCAAGCUAGGGCGUGGAUCGGUAGGGAAAUAACUUCGCCCGCACCCCAGAGUUCGAACCUCAAGGGUUUUGCCGGAACCCGUGAUCCGACAGGUAGUAAAUUGAUGUGAAGUUUCAUGAUCAUCAUCAUUAACUUCCUCACUAAUUGGUGUAGGCAUCACUGGAACGUAUUUCUAUGAUGAACUACUUUCCAAUUCAGGAGAAGGUACAAUUACCUCAUCAAGUUCUACUUUCCUCCCACUCACUUCUUUCGAGAGAAACUUCUUCUCUAGAAAGAAUCCAUUCUUAGCAACAAAGAUCUUGCCUUCAGAUCUGUGAUAGAAGGUGUACCCAACAUUUUCUUUUGGGUAUCCUAUGAAGACGCACUUCUCCGAUUUGGGUUCGAGCUUAUGAGGUUGAAACUUUUUCACAUAAGCAUCGCAACCCCAAACUUUAAGAAACGACAGCUUAGGCUUCUAGCCAAACCAUAGUUCACUGGAUUAGACGGUGCCCUAUUUAACAUGAAUAUUGCUGUCUCUAAUGCAUAACCCCAAAACGAUAGUGGUAAAUCGGUAAGAGACAUCAUAGAUUGCACUAUAUCCAAUAAAGUACGGUUAUGACGUUCCGACACACCAUUAUGCUGUGGUGUUCCAAGUGGCAUGAAUUUGUGAAACUAUUCCACAUUGUUUUAAUUGAAGACCAAACUCGUAAUUCAAAUAUUCGUCUCCGCGAUCAGAUCGUAGAAACUUUAUUUUCUUGUUACGAUGAUUUUCCACUUCACUCUGAAAUUCUCUGAACUUUUCAAAUGUUUGAGACUUAUGUUUCAUCAAGUAGAUAUACCCAUAUCUGCUCAAAUCAUUUGUGAAGGUCGGAAAAUAACGAUACCCGCCGCGAGCCUCGACACUCAUCGGACAGCAUACAUCAGUAUGUAUUAUUUCCAAUAAGUGAGUUGCUCGCUCCAUUGUUCCGGAGAACGGAGUCUUAGUCAUCUUGCCCAUGAGGCAUGGUUCCAAAAGCCCAUCAGCAUGGAGUUUCUUCAUGCACUUUACACCAAUAUGACCUAAACGACAGUGCCACAAAUAAGUUGCACUAUCAUUAUUAACUUUGCAUCUUUUGGCUUCAAUAUUAUGAAUAUGUGUAUCACUACGAUCGAGAUUCAAUAAACCAUUUGUAUUGAGUUUAUGACCAUAGAAGGUUUUAUUCAUGUAAAUAGAACAACAAUUAUUCUUUGACUUAAAUGAAUAACCGUAUUGCAAUAAACAUGAUCCAAUCAUAUUCAUGCUCAACGCAAACACCAAAUAACAUUUAUUUUAGGUUCAACACUAAUGCCGAAGGUAAAGGGAGUGUGCGAUGGUGAUCUUAUUGAUAACCCACAAGUAUAGGGGAUCGCAACAGUUUUCGAUAAGUAAGAGUGUCGAACCCAACGAGGAGCUAAAGGUAGAACAAAUAUUCCCUCAAGUUCUAUCGACCACCGAUACAACUCUACGCACUCUUGACGUUCGCUUUACCUAGAACAAGUAUGAAACUAGAAGUACUUUGUAGGUGUUGGUGGAUAGGUUUGCAAGAUAAUAAAGAGCACGUAAAUAAAAUCUAGGGGCUGUUUAGAUAGAGACACAACUAAAUUAGUUUUAGUAGAGAGCUUUUUGUUACGAGAAAGUUAUUUGUCCCUAGGCAAUCGAUAACUAGACCGGUAAUCAUUAUUGCAAUUUUAUUUGAAGGAGAGGCAUAAGCUAACAUACUUUCUCUACUUGGAUCAUAUGCACUUAUGAUUGGAACUCUAGCAAGCAUCCGCAACUACUAAAGAUCAUUAAGGUAAAACCCAACCAUAGCAUUAAAGUAUCAAGUCCUCUUUAUCCCAUACGCAACAACCCCCUUACUCGGGUUUGUGUUUCAGUCACUCACGCAACCCACUAUAAGCGAAUCAUGAACGUAUUGCAACACCCUACAGCGGGGAUCCCUCACGCUUGCGCGGCACGGAGAGCACCAUAGGACAGCACCAAUAAUAAAACAUGCAACUCAAACCAAUCUUGAUCAUCAAAUAACCCAUAGGACAAAACGGAUCUACUCAAACAUCAUAGGAUAGCCAUACAUCAUUGGGAAAUAAUAUAUAGCGUUGAGCACCAUGUUUAAGUAGAGAUUACAGCGGCUAAGAGAGAGGUUACACCGCUGCAUAGAGGGGGAAGAGUUGGUGAUGAUGGCGGUGAAGUUGUUGGUGGAGAUUGCGGUGAUGAUGAUGGCCCCCGGCAGCGUUCCGGCGCCAUCGGAAGCAAGGGGGGAGGGGCCCCCUUCUUCUUCUUCUUCUUCCUUAACCUCCUCCCUAGAUGGGAGAAGGGUUUCCCCUCUGGUCCUUGGCUCCCAUGGCGUGGGAGGGGCGAGAUCCCCUCCGAGAUUAGAUCUGUCUCUCUGUCUCUCUCUGUUUCUGCGUUCUGAGAUUCUGCCCUGGCACCGUUUCUUUUAUAUCUGGAGAUCCGUAACUCCGAAUGGAUUGAAACCUUCGCCCAGAUCUUUUUCCAAAAAUUAGCUUUCUUGCGGCCAAAGUAGAGCAUCAACCGCCUUACGAGGGGCCCACGAGGGUGGGGCGCGCCUGCCUGGAGUGGGUGUGGGCCCCACCCUUGUGGCCACCUCGGGCACCGUCUCGCGUUGAUUUUCUUCCCAAAAAUCACAAAUAUUCCAAAAUAAUUCCCCGUCUGUUUUUAUCUCGUUUGGACUCCGUUUGAUAUGGGGUUUCUGCGAAACAUAAAACAUGCAACAAACAGGAACUGGCACUGGGCACUGGAUCAAUAUGUUAGUCCCAAAAAUAGUAUAAAAAGUUGCCAAAAGUAUAUGAAAGUUGUAGAAUAUUGGCAUGGAACAAUCAAAAAUUAUAGAUACGACGGAGACGUAUCGGCAUCCCCAAGCUUAAUUCCUGCUCGUCCUCGAAUAGGUAAAUGAUAAAAAGGAUAAUUUUGAUGUGGAAUGCUACCUAGCAUAAUCUUGAUCAUGUAUCUAAUCAUGGCAUGAAUAUUAAGACACGAGUGAUUCAAAGCAAUAGUCUAUCAUUUGACAUAAAAACAAUAAUAUUUCAAGCCUACUAAUAAAGCAAUCAUGUCUUUUCAAAAUAACAAGGCCAAAGAAAGUUAUCCCUACAAAAUCAUAUAGUCUGGCUAUGCUCCAUCUUCACCACACAAAAUAUUCACAUCAUGCACAACCCCGAUGACAAGCCAAGCAAUUGUUUCAUACUUUUGAUGUUCUCAAAACUUUUCAACUUUCACGCAAUACAUGAGCGUGAGCCAUGGACAUAGCACUAUAGGUGGAAUAGAAUAUGAUGGUGGAGGUUGUGUGGAGAAGACAAAAAAGGAGAAAGUCUCACAUCGACACGGCUAAUCAACGGGCUAUGGAGAUGCCCAUCAAUUGAUGUCAAUGUGAGGAGUAGGGAUUGCCAUGCAAUGGAUGCACUAGAGCUAUAAGUAUAUGAAAGCUCAAACUGAAACUAAGUGGGUGUGCAUCCAACUUGCUUGCUCAUGAAGACCUAGGGCAUUUGAGGAAGCCCAUCGUUGGAAUAUACAAGCCAAGUUCUAUAAUGAAACUUCCCACUAGUAUAUGAAAGUGAUAACUCAAGAGAUUCUCUAUAUGAAGAACAUGGUGCUACUUUGAAUCACAAGUGUGGUAAAAGGAUAGUAACAUUGCCCCUUCUCUGUUUUUCUCUCUUUUUUUUCUUUUUUUUCCUCCUUUUUUGGGCCUUCUCCUUUUUUGUGGCCUUUCUCUUUUUUUAUUUUUUUAUUUUUUUAUUUUUUUCGUCCGGAGUCUCAUCCCGACUUGUGGGGGGAUCAUAGUCUCCAUCAUCCUUUCCUCACUGGGGCAAUGCUCUAAUAAUGAUGAUCAUCACACUUUUAUUUACUUACAACUCAAUAUUACAACUCGAUAUCUAGAACAAAGAUAUGACUCUAUAUGAAUGCCUCCGGCGGUGUACCGGGAUGUGCAACGAUCUAGCAUAGCAAUGACAUCAAAAAAGGACAAGCCAUGAAAACAUCAUGCUAGCUAUCUUACGAUCAUGCAAAGCAAUAUGACAAUAAAUGCUCAAGUCAUGUAUAUGAUGAUGAUGGAAGUUGCAUGGCAAUAUAUCUCGGAAUGGCUAUGGAAAUGCCAUGAUAGGUAGGUAUGGUGGCUGUUUCGAGGAAGAUAUAAUGAGGCUUAUGUGUGAUAGAGCGUAUCGUAUCACGGGGUUUGGAUGCACCGGCGAAGUUUGCACCAACUCUCGAGGUGAGAAAGGGCAAUGCACGGUACCGAAGAGGCUAGCAAUGAUGGAAGGGUGAGAGUGCGUAUAAUCCAUGGACUCAACAUUAGUCAUAAAGAACUCACAUACUUAUUGAAAAAAUCUAUUAGUCAUCGGAACAAAGUACUACGUGCAUGCUCCUAGGGGGAUAGAUUGGUAGGAAAAGACCAUCGCUCGUCCCUGACCGCCACUCAUAAGGAAGACAAUCAAUAAAUACCUCAUGCUCCAACUUCGUUACAUAACGGUUCACCAUACGUGCAUGCUACGGGAAUCACAAACCUCAACACAAGUAUUUCUACAAUCCACAACUACCCACUAGCAUGACUCUAAUAUCACCAUCUUUAUAUCGCAAAACUAUUGCAAGGAAUCAAACACAUCAUAUUCAGUGAUCUACAAGUUUUAUGUAGGAAUUUAUGACUAACCAUGUGAAUGACCAAUUCCUGUCAUCUCUCUAAAUAGAUAUAAGUGAAGCAAGAGAGUUUCAUUCUUUCUACAAAAGAUAUGCCCACGCUCUAACAAAUAUAAGUGAAGUAAAAGAGCAUUCUACAAAUGGCGGUUGUCUAAGUGAAGAAAAACAGGCAAUCCAAACUUCAAAUGAUAUAAGUGAAGCACAUGAAGCAUUCUAUAAAGCCAUACUCAAAAGAUAUAAGUGAAGUGCAAAGAGCAUUCUAUAAAUCAACCAAGGACUAUCUCAUACCAGAAUGGUGCAUAAAAGAAAAGUUAAAACUAAAUGCAAAGGACGCUCCAAGAUUGCACAUAUCGCAUGAACGAAACGAAUCCGAAAACAUACCGAUACUUGUUAAAGAAAGAGGGGAUGCCUUCCGGGGCAUCCCCAAGCUUAGACGCUUGAGUCUCCUUGAAUAUUUACUUGGGGUGCCUCGGGCAUCCCCAAGCUUGAGCACUUGCCUCUCUUCCUUCUUCUCACAUCGAGACCUUCUUGAUCAUCGAACACUUCAUCCACACAAAACUUCAACAGAAAACUCUGUAAGAUCCGUUAAUAUAAUAAAGCAAAUCACUACUCUAAGUACUGUUGCAAACCAAUUCAUAUUUUGUUUAUGCAUUGUGUCUACUGUAAUAUAGCUUUUUCAUGGCUUAAUCCACCGAUAUAAAUCGAUAGUUUUCAUCAAAACAAGCAAACUAUGCAUCAAAAACAGAAUGUAUCUAAAACAGAACAGUCUGUAAUAAUCUGAACAUUCACCAUACUUAUGAUACUUGAAAAAUUCUGCCAGAAUUAGGAAAAAUAAACAAUUUGCAUAGAAAGACAUUUCAAAAAGAAUCAUAACCAUUUGAAGUUACAGUAAAAAUGUAAAAUCGUGCACUACAGCCAAAGUUUCUGUCCUGCACCAUACAAACCAACAAGCAUUGUAAACAUCCUAAAGGCAAACCUUGGCACAUUAUUUUUAUAAUACAAUGUAAUUGUACAAGGGGAUAAUUAUUUUAUUGAAAAGUUUCUGUAAUCAAGAUUCACAAAGUUUCCAUGAGCAUGAACAAAGUUCAAGGCUAGCUCCCACUUUAACAAUGCUUGUCUUUCUCACUGUCGCUUUUCUUUUUGAAAAAGUUUUUAGGUUCCCCUCUUUAUUUUAUUUUGUUUUUAAACUAUAUGAAAGCACUCAACAGAAAUAAAUGACUCUCUAAAACUUCCGGGUUGUCUCCAUGGCAGCGCUUUCUUUAAAGCCAUUAAGCUAGGCAUAUAGUGCUCAAGUAGUGAAUCCACCCGGAUCCCAAGGUAUAUCAAAGCCAAUUUUAAUUUAGUAGUGAGAACAAAGCAACAUAUAUCAUGUAAUGACGAAGUCUAACUCUCUUCCUAUGCAUCGGCAUGUCAUAAAAGAACAAUUCAUGCACACCCAGUAAAGGCCAAUGCAUAGUAUAAACAGUUUCUUGCAAUUUUAUCGUAUUGGAAACAUAGAGAGGUGGAGAUAUAGUUCCUCUAUCAUAAUAAUUGCAAGUAGGAGCAGCAAGCACAUGCAUAUUAUACUCAUCAAAAUCAUCAUGUGUAGUAGUAGAAGGCAACCCAUCAAUAUAAUCCUUAAUAAGCACAAACUUCUCCGAUAUAUUGUAGUUUGUAGAAUUGAAAAAGAUAAUAGGACUAUCAUAUGUGGGUGCAAUAGCAACAAUUUCAUGUUUAACAUAAGGAACUAUAGCAAUUUCAUCUCCAUAAGCAUAAUUCAUAUUGGCAUCUUGGUCACAAGCAUAGCAGGCAUCAUCAAAAAGGGAUAUUUCAAAAGAAUCAAAGGGAUCAUAACAGUCAUCAUAGCAAUCAUCCUUCGGUAAGCACGAAGGGGAAUUAAGAAAUGUAUGAUUUGAAGUGUUACUCUCAUUAGAAGGUGGGCACGGGUGAUCAAUCCGCUCAUCCUCCUUUUGUUCUUCGCUCUCCUCCUCAUCUUUUUCAUCCAAUGAGCUCACAGUUUCAUCAACUUCUUCUUCCAUAGAUUCCUGCAAAAUAUUAGUCUCUUCUUGGACAGCGGAGACUUUCUCAAUAAGUGCAUUAAUUUCGUAAUUGUAUUGAUAAUUCUCAUAACAAUAUUUGAGGAUAGCUAAAUUUUCAGGUCUAUAAACAGCAUCAUCAAAAUCUUCAAACUCUUUAAACAUAGAUUCAAUUUCAUAAGCACCCAUAAAAGCAACAAAUUCUUCUAUUUGUUCCACAUCAUAGUAAUCAUAUAUACCAUUAGCAUAAGAAGCUAAGGUUUUAUUAUCAUUAAAUUCGCAUGAAAAGGGAAGGUGUGGAGACUUCAUCCUAGAGCAACAAGUAUAAUCAUAUCUCGAGCAUAGUUGCCUAGCAUACCAAUAUAACAUAUAAAUUUGAUCCCAUAAUAGUUUCCCUUUUUGUGUCAAGCGAUAAUACCUAAAGUAUUCACUUGAUCCAACGUUACUCCCAUUACCAAAUUGAAUGGGGUUUUCUCUGGAUUAUCAAAGUAGUACAUAAUAUCUGUCACAUAACGAGCAUCGAGGGUUUUAGGAGGUUCCUCAUCUCCAUGAGCAGCAAGUACACCUAAUUUUUUUGGUAUUUUGUGUUCCAUAUCCAUAACUAAAGAUAAAGAACAACUAAGAACAGCAAAUAAGAAUUACUUAGUGAUAAAGCAAACAAGCACACACGAGAAUAUUCACCCCACGCUAUGACUCCCCGGCAACGGCGCCAGAAAAAGGUCUUGAUAACCCACAAGUAUAGGGGGACGCAACAGUUUUCGAUAAGUAAGAGUGUCGAACCCAACGAGGAGCUAAAGGUAGAACAAAUAUUCCCUCAAGUUCUAUCGACCACCGAUACAACUCUACGCACGCUUGACGUUCGCUUUACCUAGAACAAGUAUGAAAAUAGAAGUACUUUGUAGGUGUUGGUGGAUAGGUUUGCAAGAUAAUAAAGAGCACGUAAAUAAAAUCUAGGGGCUGUUUAGAUAGCAACACAACUAAAUUAGUUUUAGUAGAGAGCUUUUUGUUACGAGAAAGUUAUUUGUCCCUAGGCAAUCGAUAACUAGACCGGUAAUCAUUAUUGCAAUUUUAUUUGAGGGAGAGGCAUAAGCUAACAUACAUUCUCUAUUUGGAUCAUAUGCACUUAUGAUUGGAACUCUAGCAAGCAUCCGCAACUACUACAGAACAUUAAGGUAAAACCCAACCAUAGCAUUAAAGUAUCAAGUCCUCUUUAUCCCAUACGCAACAACCCCCUUACUCGGGUUUGUGUUUCAGUCACUCACGCAACCCACUAUAAGCGAAUCAUGAACGUAUUGCAACACCCUACAACGGGGAUCCCUCACGCUUGCGCGACACAGAGAGCACCAUAGGACAGCACCAAUAAUAAAACAUGCAACUCAAACCAAUCUUGAUCAUCAAAUAACCCAUAGGACAAAAUGGAUCUACUCAAACAUCAUAGGAUAGCCAUACAUCAUUGGGAAAUAAUAUAUAGCGUUGAGCACCAUGUUUAAGUAGAGAUUACAGCGGGUAAAAGAGAGGUUACACCGCUGCAUAGAGGGGGGAAGAGUUGGUGAUGAUGGCGGUGAAGUUGUUGGUGGAGAUUGCGGUGAUGAUGAUGGCCCCCGGCAGCGUUCCGGCGCCACCGAAAGCAAGGGGGAGAGGGCCCCCCUUCUUCUCUUCUUCCUUAACCUCCUCCCUAGAUGGGAGAAGGGUUUCCCCUCUAGUCCUUGGCUGCCAUGGCGUGGGAGGGGCGAGAGCCCCUCCGAGAUUUGAUAUGUCUCUCUGUCUUUCUCUGUUUCUGCGUUCUGAGAUUCUGCCCUGGCACCAUUUCUUUUAUAUCUUGAGAUCCGUAACUCCGAUUGGAUUGAAACCUUCGCCCAGAUCUUUUUCCAAAAAAUAGCUUUCUUGCGGCCAAAGUAGAGCAUCAACCGCCUUACGAGGGGCCCACGAGGGUGGGGGCGCGCCUGCCUGGAGUGGGCGUGGGCCCCACCCUCGUGGCCACCUCGGGCGCCGUCUCGCGUUGAUUUUCUUCCCAAAAAUCACAAAUAUUCCAAAAUAAUUCUCCAUCCGUUUUAAUCCUGUUUGGACUCCGUUUGAUAUGGGGUUUCUGCGAAACAUAAAACAUGCAACAAACAGGAACUGGCACUGGGCACUGGAUCAAUAUGUUAGUCCCAAAAAUAGUAUAAAAAGUUGCCAAAAGUAUAUGAAAGUUGUAGAAUAUUGGCAUGGAACAAUCAAAAAUUAUAGAUAUGACGGAGACGUAUCACUUAUCAACCUUGGAAUCACUUCCAACACACAUCAUCACCUCGCCCUUAACUAGUCUCUGUUUAUUUUGCAACUCCCGUUUCGAGUUACUACUCUUAGCAACUGAACCAGUAUCAAAUACCGAGGGUUUGCUAUAAACACUAGUAAAGUAAACAUCAAUAACAUGUAUAUCCAAUAUACCUUUGUUCACUAUGCCAUCCUUCUUAUCCGCCAAGUAUCUAGGGCAGUUCCACUUCUAGUGACCAUUUCCUUUGCAGUAGAAGCACUCAGUUUCAGGCUUGGGUCUAGCUUUGGGGUUCUUCAUGGGAGUGGCAACUUGCUUGCCAUUCUUCUUGAAGUUCCCUUUCUUUCCCUUGCACUUUUACUUGAAACUAGUGGUCUUGUCAACCAUCAACACUUGAUGCUUUUUCUUGAUUUCUACCUUCGCCGAUUUCAGCAUCGCGAAGAGCUUUGAGAAUCGUUUCCGUUAUCCCUUGCAUAUUAUAGUUCAUCACGAAGUUUUAGUAACUUGGUGAUAGUGACUAGAGAACUCUAUCAAUCACUAUCUUAUCGGGAAGAUUAACUCCCACUUGAUUCAAGUGAUUGUAGUACUCAGACAUUCUGAGCACAUGCUCACUCGUUGAGCUAUUCUCCUCCAUCUUGUAGGCAAAGUACUGUCAGAGGUCUCAUACCUCUUGACACGGGCAUGAGUAUGAAAUACCAAUUUCAACUCUUGGAACAUCUUAUAUGCUCUGUGGCGUUCAAAACAUUUUUGAAGUCCCGGUUCUAAGUCGUAAAGCAUGGUGCACCAAACUAUCAAGUACUCAUCAUACCGAGCUUGUCAAACGUUCAUAGCGUCUGCAUCUGCUCCUGCAAUAGGUCUGUCACCUAGCGGUGCAUCAAGGACAUAAUUCUUCUGUGAAGCAAUGAGGAUGAUCCUCAGAUCAUGGACCUAGUCCGCAUCAUUGCUACUAUCAUCUUUCAACAUAGUUUUUCUCUAGAAACAUGUCAAAAAUAAACGGGGAGCUACAUCGCGAGCUAUUGAUCUACAACAUAGUUAUGCAAAUACUAUCAGGACUAAGUUCAUGAUAAAUUAAAGUUCAAUUAAUCAUAUUACUUAAGAACUCCCUCUUAGAUAGACAUCCCUCUUGUCAUCUAAAUGAUCACGUGAUCCAAAUCAACUAAACCAUGUCCAAUCAUCACGUGAGAUGGAGUAGUUUUCAAUGGUGAACAUCACUAUGUUGAUCAUAUCUACUAUAUGAUUCACGCUCGACCUUUUGGUCUCCAGUGUUUUGAGGCCAUAUCAGCACAUGCUAGGCUCGUCAAGUUUAACCCGAGUAUUCCGCGUGUGCAAAACUGGCUUGCACCCGUUGUAUGUGAACGUAGAGCUUAUCACACCCGAUCAUCACGUGGUGUCUCGGCACGACGAACUGUCGCAACAGUGCAUACUUAGGGAGAACACUUAUACCUUGAAAUUUAGUGAGAGAUCAUAUUAUAAUACUACCACCGAACUAAGCAAAAUAAGAUGCAUAAAGGAUAAACAUCACAUGUAAUCAAAAUAACAUGAUAUGGCCAUGAUCAUCUUGCGCCUUUGAUCUCCAUCUCCAAAGUACCGUCAUGAUCUCUAUCGUCACCGGCGUGACACCGUGAUCUCCAUCAUCUUGAUCUCUAUCAACGUGUCGUCACAUGGUCAUCUCGCCAACUAUUUCUCUUGCAACUAUUGCUAUCGCAUAGAUAAAGUAAAGCAAUUAUUUGGCGCUUGCAUCUUAUGCAAUAAAGAGACAACCAUAAGGCUUCUGCCAGUUGCCGAUAACUUCAACAAAACAUGAUCAUCUCAUACAACAACUUAUAUCUCAUCACGUCUUGACCAUAUCACAUCACAACAAGCCCUGCAAAAAUAAGUUGGACGUCCUCUACUUUGUUGUUGCAAGUUUUACGUGGCUGCUACGGGCUUAGCAAGAACCGUUCUUACCUACGCAUCAAAACCACAACGAUUUUUCAUCAAGUGUGCUAUUUUAACCUUCAACAAGGACCAGGCGUAGUCACACUCGAUUCAACUAAAGUUGGAGAAACAGACACUCACUAGCCACCUGUGUGCGAAACACGUCGGUAGAACCAGUCUCGCGUAAGCGUACGCGUAAUGUCGGUCUUCAUCCAACAAUACCGCCAAAUCAAAGUAUGACAUGCUGGUAAGUAGUACGACUAUUAUCGCCCACAACUCUUUGUGUUCUACUCGUGCAUAUAACAUCUACGCAUAGACCUGGCUCGGAUGCCACUGUUGGGGAACGCAGUAUUUCAAAAACAAUCCUACGAUCACGCAAGAUCUAUCUAGGAGAUGCUUGGCAAUGAGCGGGGAGAGUGUGUCCACGUACCCUCGUAGACCGAAAGCGGAAGCGUUUAGUAACGCGGUUGAUGUAGUUGAACGUCUUCGGGAUCCAACCGAUCCAAGUACCGAACGUACGGCACCUCCGCGUUCAGCACACGUUCAGCUCGAUGACGUCCCUCGGGCUCUUGAUCCAGUUGAGGCCGAAGGAGAGUUCCGUCAGCACGACAGCGUGGCGACGGUGAUGAUGAAGUUACCGGCGCAGGGCUUCGCCUAAGCACUACGACAAUAUGACCGAGGUGUGUAACUAUGGAGGGGGGCACCGCACACGGCUAAGACUAAUCUUGAGUGCCUUUGGGGUGCCCCUAGCCAUGUAUAUAAAGGAGGGGAGGGAAGAGGUGGCCGGCCAAAGGGGGCGCCAGGUGUGGGGCAUCCUACUAGGACUCCCCAGUCCAACUAGGAUUCCCCUCCUCUUUCCUAUUCGGAGUAGGAGAGAAGGAAAGAGAGGGAGAGGGAGAAGGAAAUGGGGGUCGCGCCCCACCCCUUGUCCAAUUCGGUUUGGGCAGGGGUGAGGCGCGCGCCACCUCUUGGCCCUUCUCCCCUCUCUCCACUAAAGCCCAAUAAGGCCCAUUACUUCUCCCGACGAAUUCCCGUAACUCUCAGGUACUCCGAAAAAUACCCGAAUCACUCGGAACCUUUCCGAUGUCCGAAUAUAGCCUUCCAAUAUAUCGGUCUUUACGUCUCGACCAUUUCGAGACUCCUCGUCAUGUCCGUGAUCUCAACCGGGACUCUGAACAAACUUCGGUACAUCAACUCACAUAACUCAUAAUACAAAUUGUCAUUGAAUGUUAAGCGUGCGGACCCUACGGGUUCGAGAACUAUGUAGACAUGACCGAGACACAUCUCCAGUCAAUAACCAAUAGCGGAACCUGGAUGCUCAUAUUGGCUCCUACAUAUUCUACGAAGAUCUUUAUCGGUCAAAGCACAUAACAACAUACGUUGUUCCCUAUGUCAUUUGUAUGUUACUUGCCCGAGAUUCGAUCGUCGGUAUCCUCAUACCUAGUUCAAUCUCAUUACCGGCAAGUCUUUUUACUCGUUCCGUAAUGCAUCAUCCCGCAACUAACUCAUUAGUCACAAUGCUUGCAAGGCUUAUAGUGAUGUGCAUUACCGAGAGGGCCCAGAGAUACCUCUCUGAUACACGGAGUGACAAAUCCUAAUCUCGAUAUAUGCCAACUCAACAAACACCUUCGGAGACACCUGUGGAGCAUCUUUAUAAUCACCCAGUUACGUUGUGACGUUUGAUAGCACACAAAGUGUUCCUCCGGUAUUCGGGAGUUGCAUAAUCUCAUAGUCACAGGAACAUGUAUAAGUCAUGAAUAAAGCAGUAGCAAUGAAACUGAUCGUAAUUCUAAGCUAACGAAUGGGUCUUGUCCAUCACAUCAUUCGAUAAUGAUGUGAUCAUGUUCAUCAAAUAACAACACAUGUAUAUGGCUAGGAAACUUAACCAUCUUUGAUUAAUGACCUAGUCAAGUAGAGGCAUACUAGGAACACUUUGUUUGUCUAUGUAUUCACACAUGUACUAAGUUUCCGGUUAAUAUGAUUCUAGCAUGAAUAAUAAACAUUUAUCAUGAAAUAAGGAAAUAAAUAAUAACUUUAUUAUUGCCUCUAGGGCAUAUUUCCUUCAAUAAGUACGGUACCAAACCAAUUCAUAUUUUGUUUUUGCAUUAUAUCUACUAUAUUCCAACUUUUCUAUGGCAAAAACUCAUAAAAGAAAACCAUAGAGCCAUCAAAAUAAGCACACAACGCAAAGAAAACAUAAUCUGUCAAAACAGAACAAUCUGUAGCAAUCUGACUAUUUCAAAUACUUAUGGAGCUCCAACAAUUCUGAAAAACUAGGACAGCCUGGGUAAUUUGUAUAUUAAUCUUCUGCAAAAAGAAUUGGCAUUUUAUCACACUCUGAUAAAAAAUGAGAAUUGUUUUCGUGAGCGCAAAAGUUUCUGUUUUUCAGCAAGAUCAAACAACUAUCACCCAAGAAGAUCCUAUUGAUUCUACUUCGCACAAGCACUAAUUAAAACACAAAAAACACAAUCAUAACAGUAGCAUAGUUUUGUCUUCCAAAGUUUUGGCAACUUUUGUAAGGGUUUUCUCAAACCCAGGAGGCUCUUUACGCUUCCCUAAAUUCUCCGAGAAAGAAAAAAUCUUAAGAUCCAAAAUAUCCAAUCGCUUAUUGCAAAGAGUAACCAGGGUAUUCAUGCGAUUGAUACUACCAUUGAGGUGUUUGAGGGUUUCAUUAUAUUUCUCUAUUUCAACCAUAUGUUUAUGCAAAACACCAAGUUUGUCCAACAUUUUGGCUCCCUCAGGGGUAAAAGGAAACCCCUUCUUUUGAGGUGGAAUUCCCAAAAUUCCUUCUAAAAUUUCAUAGGGAGCAUUACCAUCAAGCUCAAUGAAAUUUCCUUUAGCGGCAAAAUCUAGAAGUUUUCUAUGAUGCAAAGCCAAUCCUAUGUAAAAAUUACGAAGCAAAACUUUAGCGUCCCCCUUUAAAUUGGAAAUACGAUAUGAUUCCAUAAGCCUAUACCAUGCAUCUUUCAAAUUUUCUCCUUGUCUUUGAUUGAAGUAAAGAACUUCAAAAUCGGGUGACAAAGGAGGAGUAGGAACGUUAGCCAUCAAGACUGGAAAGCAAGAAACCGGCAAAAGAAAAAGAGAGGCGAAUAAAACGGCAAAUUUUUGUGAACUGGGGGAGAGGAAAACGAGAGGCAAAUGGCAAAUAAUAUAAAUUGUGAGGAGAUGAGAUUCGUGAUUAGGAACCUGGUAUAUGUUGAAGAUCCUCCCCGGCAAUGGCGCCAGAAAUUCCUUUUGAUGUCGCUUGAAGCUACAUCGGUAUUUCCCCAAAGAGGAAGGGAUGAUGCAGCACAGCGGCGGUAUGUAUUUCCCUCAGAUAUGAAACCAAGGUUAUCGAACCAGUAGGAGAACCAAGCAACACAAUGUAAACAGCCCCUACACACAGAUAAGAAAUCCUCGCAACCUGACGUGUUAAAGGGGUUGUCAAUCCCUUCCGGGUACGGCGCCUCAAGAUACGCAAACGGACGUGAGACAAAAUUGUAGUAGAUUGAAUAAAUAGAUCACAAAUAAAAUAAAGUGCAGCAAAAUAUUUUUGUAUUUUUUGUUUAAUAGAUAUGAAAAUAAAUGCAAGGAAAAAGUAGAUCGCAAAGGCAAAUAUAUGAGAAAGAGACCCAGGGGCCGUAGGUUUCACUAGUGGCUUCUCUCGAGAAAAAUAGCAAACGGUGGGUGAACAAAUUACUGUUCGGCAAUUGAUAGAACUUCAAAUACUCAUGACGAUAUCCAGGAAAUGAUCAUUAUAUAGGCAUCACGUCCAAGAUUAGUAGACCGACUCCUGCCUACAUCUACUAAUAUUACUCCACACAUCGACCGCUAUCCAGCAUGCAUCUAGUGUAUUAAGUUCAUGGAAAAACGGAGUAAUGCAAUAAGAACAAUGACAUGAUGUAGACAAGAUCUAUCUAUGUAGAGAUAGACCCCAUCGUUUUAUCCUUAGUAGCAAUGAUACAUACAUGUCGGUUCCCCUUCUGUCACUCGGAUCAAGCACCGUAAGAUCGAACCCACUACAAGGCAACUCUUCCCAUUGCAAGAUAAAUAGAUCAAGUUGGCCAAACAAAACCCAAAUAUCAGAGAAUAAAUACGAGGCUAUAAGCAAUCAUGCAUAUAAGAGAUCAAAGAAACUCAAAUAACUUUCAUGGAUAAAAAAGAUAGAUCUGAUCAUAAACUCAAAGUUCAUCGAUCCCAACAAACACACCGAAAAAGAGUUACAUCAUAUGGAUCUCCAAGAGACCAUUGUAUUGAGAAUUGAGAGAGAGAUGUGAAGCCAUCUAGCUACUAACUACGGACCCGAAGGUCUACAAAGAACUACUCACGCAUCAUCGGAGAGGCACCAAUGGAGGUGGUGAACCCCAUCCGAGAUGGUGUCUAGAUUGGAUCUGGUGGUUCUGGACUCUACGGCGGCUGGAUGAAUAUCUCGUUAACUCCCCUAGGGUUUUGGGAAUAUUGGGCUAUAUAUAGAGCAAAGAGGCAGUCCGGGGGGCACCCGAGGUGGGCACAACCCACCAGGGCGCGCUUGGGCCUCCUUGCGCGCCCUGGUGGGUUGUGCACUCCUCGGAGCACCCCCCAGGCGUAGCCAGGGCCCAUUAUGUUCCUUCGGUUCCAAAAAAAUCUCCAUGAAGUUUUGUUGUGUUUGGACUCCGUCUGAUAUUGAUUUUCUGCGAUGUAAAAAACAUGCAAAAAACAGCAGCUGGUACUUGGCACUAUGUCAAUAGGGUAGUACAAAAAAUGAUAUAAAAUGACUAUAAAAUGAUUAUAAAACAUCCAAGAUUGAUAGGAUAACAGCAUGGAACAAUCAAAAAUUAUAGAUACGUUGAAGACGUAUCAAAACUCAUUCAAACUAGUUCAUCCUUCUAAGUAGCCGGUUGAUGUAGUUCUACUAGCGUCACCACCCUCGACGUAGUGGUUCCUCUUCUUCUUCUGGCCACCUAGGGGUGCCUUCAGCUUGAAUGGCCACAUGAAGUUGUUCGCCUCCUUGAAAUGGGGUUGUUAGUCAAGAUCUUGUGCACAAGGUCCUCGAUGCAGAUGAUAUUGUGCUUUCCCAUGCCCGGAUAAGAACGCUGACAUGGCAGUAAUCAACUUAGUAUGUAUUUGUACCAUAGAAGAGCCUCAGACGCAUAUGGUUGAAGAAGCAACCCUCCUCAAUGACUUUUUGUUGGUCAAUCUGAUCCUUUGCUUGUUGAUCUUUCCAUCAUCCCUGUUAUAGAUCAUCUCCCUGUCACUCUUGACGUUAGGGUACCUACACAAAUAAUGAAAUUAAACGAGUCAGCAAAACUGCAACAUAUCAACUCUAUAGUGCUUUGAUAUGAAUUCUUAUAGGUUUUUCCAAGAUGUAACAAUGCGAGCAAAGCAAAUAUAAUGGCAAGGAGGGGUCAAUCAAGCUAAGGAUGGUUUAGUUUUGUACUAAAAUUUUCACAAGACUUUGCAAAGGAAUGGCUAAACAAGAUCACCUGAAGUAGUAAAAUGGCAUAGUAGAUAGUAGAUACCACACUGGUAAAUUCGUCAAACAAAGACCAAGUACAUUUUUUCUAUUAGGAGAUGAGGGGGGACAACAAGAGUGCAUUUAAUUAAACUACAAGAAAUGUAUCAUACUCGAAAAGUAGAACAAGAUCACUUAGGAAAUACAUUUAUCAUACUCUAAUGUAUCAUUUUUCUUGUGACACUAGAGCUAAGUUUUGACUCGUGAGCAAGAGCAAUCGUUGCAAAUCUUGAGAUUAAUCAUGUAGUCAUGGCUUCAUGGUACAUGAAUUAAUUAUACCAGCCUAGCUUUUUUUGAACAUGUGAAGGGACCUGAAGGGACCAGAAGAUGGCAUAUAUUAUAUCACAAUUGAUACAGCACUACAUGAAUGACCUUUAAAGAAAUAAAAAUUACAUCCAUCAUUCAUUUUUGGACAUAGGACCCCAAAGGUAAAACAUAUAUUGCAAUCUAGUCCUAUAGCAUCUAGCGACCUCAUCGGUGAUGCUCGGGCCACCAUUACCAGCAUAAACCAAGCCAUCUACGAGCAAGGAGGAAAGGGCCUUGCCAUGGAAGUUGAAAGAAGCUCAAUGGACAAUCUUACUCUUUUGAUCUGCAGGUCCACUUGUUGAGGUCCAAGUAGUGGAUGAAGAAGAAUCGAAGAACGACCAUGCCAACUUCCAAAUCCCAUCAAAAGCCAUAUUCAGGCGGGCAGCGCACGGAUCCACCGUCCUCCUUCCUUCCAUCUCCACGUGGUGAAGAAAAAGGGGAGAGAAUGCUAUGUUUACCCGAUAUCUAGUGUGAAAUUCCAUAAUACCAACACACCCAGGUGGAAGCCCGUGGUGAACUAACCUGUGGUUGGAUGUUUAGUAGGAUAGUGGUAUCCCCAGCCCAUCCGGGUUCAAGUCUUGCUGCUCACAUUUUUCUGGAUUUAUUUUAGGCUUUCUGGCGAUGCUCGUUCAGUCGAAGGAGGCAUUCCCGUCGACAACAAGGCGCCUAUGGUGAUUUCAUCAAUCUCAAGAUGAAAUGUCGGCUCAGUCUCUUGGAGGUUCCAUAGGGUAGCGUGUGUGUGUGUGGUGACUGUAUGUGCGUAUAUGUGAGCGCAUGCGUCUGUACUGUGUUGAAAAAAAGGGAGAAGCCCGUGAAGAGGGCCUCACAUUGUUCGAAAUCCCAAGGGUAACGACUACUACCAACCAUCAUGGCCGCAACCGAACCCACGAGGAGAAAAGCCGAAGACAAAUAUGGUUCACUAGAGGCGGGAAGGAACCUACUAUACAUACUACAGGGGUCGAGCCUCCCUCUCCCUCCUCUCUGGUGCUCCGAGCCGCUGGAGGGGAAGAGCGAGAGAGGGAGAGAGAGAGAAAGAGAGAGAGAGGCCGAGGCGGAUGGUGUGGAAUUUGGGUCAAGGGAGGAAGAAACGAUAGGUCACUAGUCCAGCACUAGUCCAGGUCAAAAAAAUCACUUGGUAGCCUAGCUGAGUGGGCAUGUGGACAAUAUCGACUAUUUGACUUUAUCUAUAAAUAAUUAUGGAUCAAUAAGUGCAGCAUAGAGAGCAUGUCAUGAAUACUCUAUGAAUCACAUUGUUUUGUUGUUCGAUGUUGUUUUUAACUUGUAUAAGCAUGAAGUUUUCUUCUUCUAAGUAGCUAAACUAAUGGGGAAAUUUUUGUUUUUUCCACUCUAGAUUUUGCCAAUUUUCCUUAUGCCACUCUAGAUUUUGACAUUUCUCUUUUGCCACUCUUAACUUUUGACAAUUACCAGAAUUUCCAUUUCGUGGCAAAAUCAAAAAAAUUAGAGUCCGUUCUCAAAAGCUAACAGUGGCAAGCGUGAAAUAAACUUAUUUUGCUUUUGCCAUGGAAUGGCAACUAUGAUAAUUGUCAAAAGCUACGAGUGCCAAAAGUGAAAUGUCAAAAUCUAGAGGGGCAUGAAAAAAUUGGCAAAAACUAUAGUGGCAAAAACAAAAUUUCCCCAAACUAAUGUGGAGUAGAUGGGGCCAAAAGAUUUAUAAGUAAUUCCAUAUCAAUGGUGAAAUAAAUUGUUUAUCCCAGCUUAUCUAUUGUGCUUGGUUAAAUAAAGGGGGUUGCAUAGUCAUCCAUACAUAAAGUUGUGCAUUUGUGUGUGAUGGUGAUUUUUUGGUGUGACCGGUCCAUGAGAGAAAACUAAUAUUUUGUAUCACAAGAAGGUUUUAAGGUUUAAAUCCAUGCUUCCAGCAUAGAGGAAAACCCUGCAAGCAUUUGAGGUGGUCGGUCACUGUUCGGUAGAUUGACAAGACAAAGAUAGCAAGAAUGAUGUCAUCAGUGAGGCGCAAGCCUCAUCGGUGGGAGUGUGCCAAGAUUGUUUUUGUGCGGAAUCAGAUAAAUCAAGGAGUCAUGUGCGUGCAUACUAGCUCAUCCAAUCGAUGUCAUGUCAAGUGUUCAUAUCCAAGUGCAUUCUGAUUUUUGGUUCCAAUGCAGUUGAAGCGUAUCACGGUUGAACCACUAUCCAGUGAGGUGUAUUACUCUGGGCGAAACGCGUGUGGAAAAAAUAUGCCUUGUGGUUGUAUAUGUGUCUCCGCGAGAAAUCAAGCUUGAGAAGUAGUGGAAUGGUAAUUAAUGAAGGCGAGUAUGUCGAAUGAGGUCAUAUCUCUACGUGAGCCCGUGUGAUCAUCAAACGAUAUGUAACGAGGGAGCUAGUGUAUUCGGGUUGUCUCGGUCAAUGCAUUGAGUUAUGUCGACAAGUCAUGAAUCUUAAACAAGUCAAGAUUCGAGGGAUUACAAGAGAUGGCAAGUAAUAAAGGUUAUCAGAAAUAAGCUUGCCCUAAGGGAGUCUAAUUUGAAGUCGUUGUUUGCUACCUAUAUGUGUUAAAUAAUCAAGACCGAACAUAUUUUCCUCCUACUUUUUUUAGUUGGACUACUAUUGUUGUUCAUAUGGCCUUUGGAUUGGUGCAUUAUCAUGCCCGGCUAUCAUAAGAGGAGGUAGGUUUGAGUCAUUUAAUCUAUGCGUGUUCUUGUCUUGUCGAGUCUGGUUCCUAGGUGUUUUGUGUAUAUUUAAGCACACUAGGGGGGGCUCGAGGUUUUUAACAACGUGAAACUACACAUGUGAGAUGUUAGUUGGGAAGAAAUAAUGUAACAGAGGGUGUUGUUUGUAUCCUCGGUUAAAGUUGUGUGUCUGCAUUGUCGCAUUUGUUCGCAAUAUUUUGAUGCAACCGACUGGUGGGGGAAAUCCAACAAGGUACCAACGUGUCAUGAACCUUUUAGAUUUGGAGGCAUUAGGAAUGAAGCUUAAACAGCAUAAUUAAGAACCACUACCAAUUUACUCUAUCUUCCGAUGCUGACGGCGGAUGGGGGUGUUGGUCAAUGAGCUCCUUUUCGUAUGCAUCGAUGGGUUCGGCCAAUGGCCUACGACUCCUAGCACUGUGCACCCCACACUCUGUGAUGCCCUAACUAUGUUCUACAAGAAAAGCGACAAAUCCCUUUUUUUCUUGUGGAACAAUGAGUACUAAGUUUUUCACAAUUUGUCGAUCGGGGGGUCACUAAUGAAUUCUGAGACAUUAGUUAUAUUUUCCCGUCAAGGCCCUGAUUGGAAGCCAUGUAAAAUGUUACACCCGUAAAAAUAAUACUAGUGUAUUUCACUUGCUCGUGGAGGAUACCACGGUAUUUACAAGGGACAUCCUUUCAGGUUGUAAACCAAUGUUUGGAUAAGAGAAAAUAAUCCACUCGUAACUGGGAAGGUGAACUAAACUAGGAAGUUAGCUUAGUAUGACCUGAUUGCUGAACAAAAUUGUUGAUCAACACUUGAUAUAAAACACAUGAUGUUAGUUGAUCUACUUCCAUGAAACCAUCUUUAUUCAUAUCACAAUGAACAUCGCGAUGUAUACCAUAACAAAGGUGAGCUAUUCUAUUUUCUUAACCAUAACAAAUGGGAGCUAUUAAUUCAAGGUCCCAACAAAUAAUAGCUAAUAUCAACGUAAACGUAAGAAAUCGGCACAUGAAAGCCCAACAUGCAUGAUAGGUUGUAAACAAAAGCUUGUGAUGGCAAGUGGCAAACAACCAUCCAUUUGGUUUCUUUGAAAUAUCCCUCAUUUUUAUAGUUCUUAUAGAAAAUCUUGCUAGGUUAUUUGCAAGAAAGAUCUCAGGACCUUAAUGGAUCAAAUUGCUUGCAAGAACUAGAACCAAUUAGAAGCGGUAAUUGCACAAAAUUGCCAUGGGGUUCCAUAUAGAUCCUGCACUAAAAAGUAUAAUGUAUCAUGGAUUGCAAUGAGGUAAAUACCGGUGUUGUUCUAAAGAAUGAAUACAAUGCUACUAAUUAAUAAAGUGCAUAUAAAUCAAACCAUUCGUGUGCUUGGAGUAGAAGUUAAUAUUUGAGAACAUAACUUAUGUUGCUAAUUAUUAUUACGAGUCUAGACUCAAAACAUAUAUAAACUCAAGAUUGAUGUUGUAAUUUCCAUCAGGGAGAGACAAUUUAAGAGGGACAAUUUGCAUUUGUUGUGUACUUAACCAUUCUUCAUCAGCUCUCUGACUCAAGAUUACGUUGUGAAAUACAAUUGCUGCCAUGAGAAUUUUCACUUGAGUGUCAAUUGGGUAAUGCGUGCCGACUUUUAAAAUUGGGAAUCACAUCUUCUAGACACCAACUGCACGCUCCGUAUGGUUCCAUUGACGGGCAUGCCUUACAUUGAAUGGUUAUUUCAGGUUCUUUGGGCGAGAACCACCUUGACCUUUAUCUUGUAGAUGAUAUCGAACUUCACUUUACUGAGCUAGAAACUUUGGGGUGUUUGCACAGCCUUCGUCAAUAAAAUAGUACUUCCUUCAUCACAAAAUAAGUGGCUUAACUUUGUACUAACCUUGGGGUGUUUGCAUAGCCUCCGUCCCAAAAUAGUACAAAGUUCAACUUUGUACAAACUUUAAAAAGUUAGCACAAAGUUGAGUCACUUAUUUUGGGACAGAGGGAGUACUUGACUGUAAAUACAUGGAAGCCCGGUGCAGAUUUCAAUACCAAAUAGUACCAAUAUAUGGGGACAUCGAGCUGCUCCUGAGUUGCAUAUGCACCAGGAUGAACAGUAAAAUCCAAUAUAAUAGUAAAAAUGGAAGAAAAAGAUACAACAUGCAUGUCUGAAUGCCCUACUCCAGUGCAAAAUUUUGCUCAGGAAAAAUUGUUACUUUGAAAAAGGUUAUUUUUAAAGCAUUUGUUGGGAAACGCUGCAUGGAAAACAAAAAAAAUUCUAUGCACACGCAAUGAUCUAUCCAUGGAGAUGCAUAGCAACAAAGGGGAGAGUGUGUCUAUGUACCCUCGUAGACCGAAAGCGGAAGCGUUUGACAACGUGGUUGAUGUAGUUGAACUUCUUCUAGCUCCGACUGAGGGAGUCCUGGACUAAGGGGUCCUCGGGCGUCCGGCCUGUUGGACAUGGGCCGGACUAGUGGGCUGUGAAGAUGCAAGACCGAAGACUCUCUCCCGUGUCUGGAUGGGACUCUCCUUGGCAUGGAAGGCAAGCUUAGCAUCCAAAUAUGAAGAUUCCUUUCUCUGUAACCGACUUUGUACAACCCUAGUCCCCUCCGAUGUCUAUAUAAACCGGAGGGCUUAGUCUGAAGGACGGAUAUAGUCAUACAGGCUAGACUUCUAGGGUUUUAGCCAUUACGAUCUCGUGGUAGACCAACUCUUGUAAUACUCAUAUUCAUCAAGAUCAAUCAAGCAGGAAGUAGGGUAUUACCUCCAUUGAGAGGGCCCGAACCUGGGUAAACAUUGUGUCCCCCGUCUCCUGUUACCAUCGACCUUCGACGCAUAGUUCGGGACCCCCUACCCGAGAUCCGCCGGUUUUGACACCGACAUUGGUGCUUUCAUUGAGAGUUCCACUGUGUCGUCCUCAAAAGGUUUGAUGGCCCCUUCAAUCAUCUGCAACAAUGCUAUCCAAGGAGAAGUCUUCCUCCCCGGACAGAUCUUUGUGUUCGGCAGCUUCGCACUGCAGGCCAACUCGCUUGGCCAUCUGGAGCAGAUCGAAAGCUACGCCCUUGGCCGUCAGGUCAGAUUCGGGAGCUUGAACUACGUCGCGGAUAUCCGUGGAGACUUGAUAUUCGACGGAUUCGAGACCACGGCAGCUGCUCCCCGUCACCACGAUGAACAUGACUUGAAUCUGUCAUCGGACCAUACCCAGGAGAUAGCACCUGUAACUGCUCUGGCCUUAGAUCCGGAGCAGAUCGCGCCAUCCGAAGACGAGAAGCUCAACCCCGCCACGGAUGCCGGAGUCCCAGCGGCGUUAGAGCCGCACACAGACCAAACCUCGAGUGGAAUCUGUCAUCGGAGCCUCGGACUCGUUUCUGGCUAUAGGUUCCGAACCAUGUGCAUCGAGCUCGAUCAGUCUUUGAUCGUCGAAUUCAGCUCCGCGGACAUUUUUCGGCACUCGCCUUUGGGCGACGUGUUAAACUUGUUAAAAGCACUAUCCUUAGCGGGGGGCUCGUAGCCGAAUUAUAUCCGAUUCGAACUGGAGGCUGAUGACGGAGAACUUCGCUUCCCACCCACCGCCCACUUCAUAGCCACUAUCGAAGAUUUAACCGACAUGCUCGAUUACGGCUCCGAGGACGUCGACGGUAUGGACGACGAUGCCAAUGAGGAUCAGGGCCAAAACCCGCCGUUUACCGGACGCUGGAUGGCCACCUCUUCUUACGACGUGUACAUGGUGGAUACACCUAAAAAACCAAUGACGAUGACAAAGAAGAUCCAGUUGAGGAUGAACCUCCUGUGAUACAGCCAAAAUGUCGGCAUCAGCGGCGCCGCUCUAAGUCACGUCGUGGAAAAGACAGCAUUACUGGCACGGGAGAAAAUAAUACUCCGGACGAUGCCUAAGAUAAUGAAGACCCCGUGGAGAUAACUUCCAAAUAGGAGGAACGGAAAAAUGGGCAAGUUAGCCCUGAUGAACAGGCCAUACACGACAACUCGGAGGACAGUAAUUAUCUUCCACUCUCCGAGGAUGAGGUGAGCCUCGGCAACAAGGAUUUCAUCGUGCUUGAGGAACCUCUCGAGCAGGAGCGCUUUAAGCGCCGGCUAAUAGCCCUGCAAGGAGCCUGAAAAAGAAGCAUCAGCAGCUUCAAGCUAACCAAGAUCUGCUCAACGAUAGAUGGACUGAUGUCCUAGCAGCCGAAGAAUACGGCCUCAAGCGCCCAGCCAAAAGUUACCCGAAGCGCAAAUUGCUACCUCAGUUCGAUGAUGAGGCACCGGAGCCCGUACCAUCAUCGCGUAAUGCGGCUGACCGACCACCACGCGGUCAGGAUAAAGCGGCAACUCAAGCCGAACACCAGCCCGCCCCGCCUCACGCCCGGGCCGAAAACCGCAGAUAGACUCCAUCGGAGCUACGUCGCGAUGUGGCCCUAUAUAGAGGCGCCGCACACCCUCUUUGCUUCACUGACGAAGUAAUGGAGCAUGAAUUCCCAGAAGGGUUUAAACCCGUGAAUAUUGAAUCACACAAUGGAACAACUGAUCCCGCGGUGUGGAUCAAGGAUUUUCUUCUCCAUAUCCAUAUGGCCCGUGGAGAUGACCUCCACGCCAUCAAAUACCUCCCAUUAAAACUCAAAGGGCCAGCUCAGCACUGGUUAAACAGUUUGCCUGAAAACUCAAUUGGCAGCUGGGAGGAUUUGGAAGAAGCCUUCCGCGACAACUUCCAAGGUACAUAUGUCCGGCCACCAAAUGCCGAUGACUUAAGUCACAUAGUUCAACAGCCCGGAGAGUCAGCCAGGAAAUUCUGGACUACUGAAGGAAAUAUGCCCUAGAGGCAAUAAUAAAGUUGUUAUUUAUAUUUCCUUAUAUCAUGAUAAAUGUUUAUUAUUCAUGCUAGAAUUGUAUUAACCGGAAACUUAGUACAUGUGUGAAUACAUAGACAAACAGAGUGUCACUAGUAUGCCUCUACUUGACUAGCUCGUUGAAUCAAAGAUGGUUAAGUUUCCUAGCCAUAGACAUGAGUUGUCAUUUGAUUAACGGGAUCACAUCAUUAGAGAAUGAUAUUGACUUGACCCAUCCGUUAGCUUAGCACGAUGAUCGUUUAGUUUGUUGCUAUUGCUUUCUUCAUGACUUAUACAUGUUCCUAUGACUAUGAGAUUAUGCAACUCCCGAAUACCAGAGGAACACUUUGUGUGCUACCAAACGUCACAACGUAACUGGGAGAUUAUAAAGGUGCUCUACAGGUGUCUCCAAUGGUACUUGUUGAGUUGGCAUAGAUCAAGAUUAGGAUUGGUUACUCCGAUUGUCGAAGAGGUAUCUCUGGGCCCUCUCGGUAAUGCACAUCACUAUAAGCCUUGCAAGCAAUGUGACUAAUGAGUUAGUUGCGGGAUGAUGCAUUACGGAACGAGUAAAGAGACUUGCCGGUAACGAGAUUGAACUAGGUAUUGAGAUACCGACGAUCGAAUCUCGGGCAAGUAACAUACUGUAACAGCCUGGUUUUUGGCCCUUUUCUUUUUCCUUUAAUUUAAUUGGUUUUUGCUCUGUUUUUCUUUUUGGAGUGGUUCUGUGGCCUUGCCACCUGGGAAAUCAUCCUCAUUCCCCCUCCCUAGUGGCUCAUCUUUCUGAAAACCUUGCCAAGAUCAUGUCACUCCACUGCUUGACCAAACCCUAAUUUCUUUUUUCUAGGGAAAAUUCCUUUUUCUAUUAAAGGAAUAACCAUGUCUGCCCUAGGUUGUGAAGCAACCUAUAUUUCUGUCCAUCGAAAAAUUCCCAAAUAAUUCUCAUAAUUUCUUUGGUUCAUAUAUUGCUCAAAUAUUCCCAAACUUUCCUGUCCUGGACCAAGAAUAAUUCUCCAAAAAUUAUUCUUCAUUUCUGUCUAGUGUGGCUUUCUGUGAAGGAAGUGCCACCUAUCCUUUCCUGAUUGCUCCCAAACCUUUUGGGCAUUUUCUUAUGUCCAAAUAAUGGCCUCAUGCCAAAAUUCAACUUUAUUUGCCUAGCCAAUCAUCCUUAGCAAUUUUUCAAACUUUCUGUCACAUAGAAGGCAUUGUGAAGGAAGUACUAGCUAGGUUUAUCCAAAUGAGUUGAAAUUUUGCACACUCCUUCACGUGCUCAUAUUAUCCCACUCCUACAAAUUUCAGCCCCAUACAAUCAUCUAUAUGUGCACAGGACCAAAUCUUUGCUUCUGGUAAAAUUUUCAGGUUGUGAAGCAAGUGCAUUUUAUAUUGCUUCAAAAAUCCAGAUAAAUUGCGAGAUCAUGCUCCUACCUAUAUAACAUCUCUACACCAAAUUUGGCACCAUUUCAUUAAGCCAAUAUUUCUCCAAAAUUAUUGCAAGUUUCUGGUCAGCAAGGAUGUUUGUGAAGCAAGUACCAUUUUGGUGAAUCCAAUUGGUAUAAAACUUAUACAGCAUCUUUAAAUGAUCAAAUCAUCAUCCUAUGCCAAAUUUGAGCUCAAGUUUAUGCUCCAUGUGAGUGCAUCAUCAAAAUCUUAUUUCUGGACCAAAAAUGCAGUUGUGAAGCAACUAUAUUCAUUACUGGCCCAAAUCUUCUCAAAGUUACCAGGAUGAAAGUCCUUCUUACCCUAAACCUCGCAGACAACUCCAUUGCUCCCAAUCUCCUUCCUGUUUAUCAGCAGUUCAUGACCAAGUUUACUACAGUAAACUUCAAAGGUUACUUACCAUUUAACCAGAGCAGUUUUCAUCGAUCUACCACCGCAGUUGAAACCUCCCCUGGAAGAACUUACCACUAGACGACAUGUUCAAGCCCAUCUUCCCCACUACAUGCCAGUGCACGCGGUGGCCGCGUUAAUGGCAUCACAGUGCACGCACUCUGUGUGCAGUGGCCGCAUCCAGUGGCCGUUUGUGCUUUGGCACCUCCUCCCCUCGUCACCUUCGUGCGCGUGACCAUGUCCAUUGUCUUCCUUUCGUCGUCGUCGUUCCCCUAGACCCCUCUCCCCCUUCGUCUGUUUCCUCACCGACGCUCACCGACGGUUGCCGCCGAACGCCCACGGGGGCACAGUGCUCCGUUUGGCUUCGAGCUCACUUCGGCCUCUUCCUCUGCUCUCCGGCGUCGUCUACCCCUCUGUGAUCUCUGAAUCAAUGGCUCGUCGUGUUCCCGCGCCCUCCCGUGCUCGCUGAGCUCGUCAGAGCCUUGGCCGGAUCCCCGCGGCGACACCCGAGCUCGGCCUCCCUCGCCCCGGCUAUCAGUAGCCCUCCCCCGACCCUUCGAGCAACACAUCGGCCUCCCCACACUCCACUAACCCUCCCCAGCCUCUCGUUUGAGCUCAAGAUGCUCCGCUGCGCUUCAUUCCCUGCCUCGGCCGCCGCCUCGGGUCCUCCCUUUUCCGAUGACCCAGGCCAUCUCCCUCGGCUCCACCACCUCCAGAGGCCUCCACCACCACUACCGAACCACCCCAUCGCCUCUCCUCCUCCUCCCGUGGCUUGUAGCCGCGAGCUCACUGGUGGCCGACGGCAUACUCCGCUGCAGUCGAUGCCCCGCUUUUCCCCAAGCUCCACAGCGGCCGAGACCUACAUGGGCGUGCGUGCCUCGGUCUCCUAAACCCGCCGGUAGGCCGGGUGCCGUCUGAGGUGACCUAUGCCGCCGGCAAUCGCCGUCGGGUGAGCUCCUCCCUCGGCCAGGCCCGCGUACGCGGGAGGAAGAAGAAUGGAGCCAGGAGAGAGAGAGAAAGCCCGCGGGACCCGCUCGUCAGCGACCCAGCACCACGGACCCUGCUGCCACGCGGGAUAAGUGGAAACGUAUUUCCGGUGUUUACGUUUUUGGUAAGAGAAAGCGUAAACCUCCGCGGCCUGUGUCCAGAAUACGUUUUCCUUGUUCGAAAGCGUAUUCCCUGUCUACUUCGGCUGAAAGUGCGUUUUCUUUUUGCAGAAAGCGUAUUUCGCGCGAAUGCGUUUUAAGUUUUCUCAGUCAGGGGCUUGUUUGUAGAAAACAUUUUACAGAUAGGUCCAUGGCAGAAAAACUAUCAUAUCUUUUUACCCAUAGCUCCAAAUCAGGUGAAUCCAAAGCCCACUUCUUUGUCUCAUCGAGCCCGUUCUGUUGGUAAUAUUUUCAUGAUGUUUUGACAUUCUGAAAAUGACCAUUUUGCCCUUAUGCUUAAUCAGCCCCUCCGAGAGAGAACGUUUUCCGGCGAUUCUUUUCGCAAGCUUCUCGCACUUUGUCCCGGUGAUUUCUUCCACCCCAGGCAAGCCACAACCACCAUUUGCAUGAUAGACAUGCAGUAGCUUUGGUUUUCAACUUGAAUCUUUAAUAACUGUAUGAUUGUUUUGCUACUGUUGUCGUUAUUUCGGUUAUGUUUAUGGAUCGGUGGUUACCGUCAUGCUACGUUUUCUUGCACUCUGUUAUUAUGUUCUACUUGCUACUAUUACUUUCAUAUUGCCAUGCUUGAUAAUAGUACAUGUUGGGUUGGUCAUGUUCUUUGGGGCAUGACUAACGUCGGUUACCGAGUACCGUUUAAUAUGCAUGUUUCCUUUGCUGUUAGUUGGAUAAGUAUUUACUCGGUUAUGUUAUUGAUGUGUUCUUGCAUGGUAUUCAUUGUUGAUGCUAGUGGUCAUGUUAUGAGUAGUGUUGUACUUCUAAUAUUCAUGCUCAACAUUAUGGUAUGCUCAGUUGGAUAUGAUUCAUUGUUGAUAUGGUGGAUAGUUAUGUUGCACCCCCAUGCUUAUGUUGAUAGCAUGAUCAUGCCUUGUAAUUGCAUCAUGUUAUUUUUCUCAUGGCUCAGCAUAUUGCAUUCAAGUUUAGCCGGAUUAAAUUGAACUUGAACAACUGUUGGCUGAGUCAUGGUGCCACCAUAUCGAGCUGACCAGUGCAACCACGCUUACCUUUAUGGGAAGGUCCUAACUGGGUUUAUUGUCAUGCCUCUCACCGGUGCCUCCAACAAGGGAAGGUUAUGGGCGCGCGGUACCCUGAUCAGGUAGGCGGACAUAAGCCUUGUGUGGCCGUUAUUGUUGUUAUGGAUCCUUGUCCCCGUUUGGGACCAUUUUUGCCACGAUGUUGGCCGUUUUGCCACGACGGUGGCCGUUGGUGUCUUUGGUAGACACGGGGCCACCCAGGACUAGCCCAGUGGGGAGUGAGUCGGAGUGGCCGGGAGAGUGUCAUGGCAGUAGAUCAGUUUUGUCGGAAUGCCGUUGGUCCACCCGAAUGGGAGUGCGAGGCCAUGGGUUCCGUAGUGUGGGUACAGUGUACUAACCUCUGCAGAGUGUAUAUUAAAUCUAUCGAUAGCCGCGCCCGCGGAUAAGGGCCCAGUUCGUAGUUGGUCACACCAUGAGUCAACAGUAAUAAUAUUAAUGAUGUGCUUAAUAACAACCACGGUUCGAUGAUGAGAUAAGUUGGUUGUGAUCGCCGGAAAGACCACCGUUUGAGAUCAAGUGUUGGUCAUGGUUGUGAUCGCCGGAAUGAUCACCGUUUGGUUACGAGGUAACCCGUUGAACCAAGAGUGGUUCCGUUCGUGAUCAUGAGAUGAUCACUGUGGUAUCGAGGAUACCGAGUUGUUGGAUAUUCGUGAUGUUGUGUGAGAAUCGUGGGUAAAGAUCAAGCUCCUUGUGGUCAUUUAAUGAUUACUACGGUAUUUUUUAUACCAAGCUUGAUUUGAUCCUGAGAUGAUCAUGAUGAUGUCCGAGGUUGGUAAGUCCUGCAUGUGAUGGUUACGAGAUAACCCGAGCAGAAUAAGUGGUGCAUAUAGUGUCAUCAUGUUGCAUGCUAGUAUCGUCAGAUUUAUAUGUUCAUGCCAUGCUCAUAUUGUUCUAGCGGUAUUAUGUUCAUGUUGUUCAUGCCAUGUCAUCCUGAUGAUCUCAUGAUAAUUCCUGCUUAACCUGUAAUUGCCAUGCUGUUGUAUGUCUUGAAUGCUUCUGGUAAUUGUGAGCUUGCAAGUACAUUCAAUGUACUGACCUGGCGUGUCAUGCCAGUUUGCAGGUCAUGCCGGAUUUGAUUGCUUGCUUGUCGUGGUUUCCGUUCAUGCGAGCUAGGAUAAGCGUUCCAGCCAGAGUAGCUACGGAGUGGAGUUCACCACCAUCAUCGUUGUUCCACUGCCAGUAGUUUUUCCGCUGCUUCGAGUUGUUCUGCUGCUUGCAUAGAGCAACUGAGGAUGGCGUAGUGUCGCCGUGCCGAUGUUAUUCGUUGUAAUAUCGGAGACCUUGUAUUCAUAUUCGUGUAAUAAUAGAAAGUUGCUUUGUUCUAUGCUGAGCAGUGUCGUAUUCCAGAAGACUUCUCCUCGAUCUCUGGGCUAGAAUACGGGGCGUUCCGGUUUCUUUGAGCCGGGUUGCCACAGCGCUUGGUAUCAGAGAAGGUCUGGCUAUAGGAUGCCCAAGUCAGUGCGAGCGGUAGAAAUCGGUAGUUUAAAGUCCGUCUCGUUUAUUGCAUUUGGUUGCUGCAUUUGUUUGUUGCAUAACAUGCAUAUAGCCUUAGUAUUUGUUGCUAACGGUUUAUCUGGUGAGUGUAGCUGGCAUCGGUUCAGAUCCACUACAGCUCAACCUUUGCAUUUCUCCAGUUUUCUUUUCUUGCUCGUUCUUCGGUGUUUGGUGUCAUUUCUGUCCCAGCAGAGUGAUGCCAAGUGAUCCCGACACUGUUUGCAAAAAUGGUGCUCAGGUAUCUCGCCGAUAUCCUCCUUUCAGCCCUGCCUAUCGUUUCGGUGAUGGACCUGCUUCUAUCCCGAAUCACUCUUUCAUUUUGUCAUGUUAGCAACCCUUAAUGAUCUUAGUUAUCAAGAAAGGGCAAUGUCAGCAGCCUCAGUUUUCCCCCGCUAUCCUAUUCCUUGGACGAGUACGGAUCUUUUUCCGUCUGCUUGAUAAUAAUGUGGUUGCGAUCUUCGUGUCCCACUGCAGGUUUAUCGAGUGCGUCCUCGCCUCCAAGCUAGUCCAGGUUGCUACCUGGCUAAGCUAGCACUUGGUGUAGCGCUGUUUACACCAAUUCUUCCACACAUUUAUUCGUCCUCGUGCACACCGUCACAACAUGCUAGAUCGUAGAACCGGAGAUCCCGCGAGAGUUGUGUGUUUAAGUAGGCAUGCAUAUUGUGUGACUAGUAGUAAUAUGUGCCAUUGAUUGUGUGUGAAUUGAUUGUUGCUGUGUGCUUUUGUUUAGUUGAGUUUUCUUUUGCUUCUUUCUUUUGGGACCCGGUGUUACAUUAUUUUUUCCCUAUAAAGAGUUGCUCAUCAACCAACACCGGACUCAAAGAAGCAACAAGGAGUUUAAAUAUUUGGAAACUCAGCUAAACAGAAUGGAAUUCUCAGCCGACUAUAGUGAAAUGGGGAAUAUCUGAUUUUGAGGCUGAUAAUCAAUUUUGCAUCAGUGUGCACUCCUCCCAACAGUACUGAUAAGUCAGGUCUACAUCAGUACAAAAUCCUCACAGCAGUAAUGAUCAAGUCAGCAGCAAGACAAGUCAGGUACAAGAUCAACGGUAUAUUCCAGUCAAAGGUAUGGAUCAUAUACAAAAUUUUGGAUCAGCAAUGCAUGAUUCUUGAAAUAUGUUAUCAUCCGAAAUAAAGUCAGAAUGUGAUACGCUCAAGGAAGACAGUCAAACAAAUUUUCUCAUGUAAAUAAUCAGCCACAAGAUAUUAUGGACAUGUGUGUAGAUUUCAGUCUGUAUAUUAGUAUGAAGCUUUGGAUGUAAGAAACUCAGUCUUCUUCCACACGUUAUCGGAAGAAAUUUAUGAUGCAAGGCUCCUCAAAUUUCCUCAGCAUAAUAUGUGAACAAUUUCCGGUCCAAGAUACCCGGUCUUUCUCAGCAAGACACCUCAGUAAAAGCUUCUGACAGGCGGAAAUGAAUUUUCUCAACAAGCAAACCCGAGGAGAAGCUUCUCAAGUAUGGAACUCAGGCUUCUCCAGCACAAUAAUCACACCCAGUUUCGGGUGUAAGCUAUAGAGCCUUCCUCUGCACGAUACCCAGACAAAAGAUUUGAGCAGAAGUUAACAAGUCUUCCUCAGCAAGAUACUCGGAUGGCUUCUCUCGUAAGCCACUCAGUCCACAUCAAUACCACCGUAUUGCACCAUCCUGGGAGAUUAUGCGGUGAGUUGGCAAUAGAUGGCAGUACAUUUCAAGGGUCAGAUUUGCAAUAAUUUUGUCAGGAGCACAAAUCAGUCAAAACAUAUGUCUACCUCAAGAAUCAAGUGUUUGGUUGCAUAUGAUUCUUAUAUAUGGUGAGCAUGCAUCCCCAGUCAUAUCAGUCACUCAUACGAGGUACGACAAGGAUCCAACAUAUAUACCUAAGGAAAGUAAGGAUCCCCCAACCUCAUGAAUGAUGCAAAUGAAGAUAUGCAGAGAUACACAUCUUGUGUAAUACAAGGAUCUACAAGAUCUGGAUAAGACAUCACAAAAUCAGUAGUCUUGACAGUGGACACCAAGGUCAAUAUUCCCGCACCGACAAGGAGAUCUCAUGAACUCUUGUAUGGUUGGCCUCAACAAUGAGCUCUGUACAGCUACAAGCCCCGAGAAUAUGUCAUAUAAGUGCGGAACCCAAGCACCAGGGAUAAUGACGAAAAUAUUGCCCUAGCCACGACCAUGGUCAUACGAAGAAUCAAGGAUCUAUGUGGCCAACUUAUUUCAGUAAGAUAUCCUGACCAAGAAAAUCAUGACUAUCAAAAGGAUGAGACUGAUAGCAAAGGUAUGAUGAUUUUUGCACGACCAUCAGGGUCCGGAUACCCAAGUCAGUUAGUGGCCAGAUUACAUAUGGAGCCACAAAGGCAUACCCUCAGUGGAUUACUCUCCUCUACAAGGACUUCAUAUCCCACUGACCCGCUUAAAGAAAAAAUGGUUAGUGCGGAAUAUCCAAAUUUGUUAUGUCAAGUCCAAGGUUCUUUCGCAACCUCAGCAGUUUGACUUUAGCGACAGUAUAAAGCAUCACACAGCUUAUUACCACAUCUGGGUAUACCGACAACAUGGGCAAAUAAAAAAUCGAACAAUCAGCUCAGACCAGGUAUAUCCACUUGUGUAACCAAGUACCCGGACAGCCAGUCAGGAAAAGUAUCUUCCCACAAGCAUACCUGUCGGGACAGUCUCAAGAUGUUAACAUUUGAGGUAUGCUACAGUUAUAAGUUUAUACCCUGUUAUAUUUCUCACGACAGAAGGCAGUCAAAUCUUUGGUAGAUAUCCCAUGAUCGAGCCAAAGAAAUAAAUCAAAUAAAUCAGUACCACUUAUGAGCAGUCAGAUCCCGUCAGAAGAUGGCCAUGAUUCUCGACAUUUAUGGAACCAAGAAUUCAUGUACUUGUUUGAGUAACCUGGUAGCAAAAGUAAAAAGGUUUUCAUGACCAAAAAGAAAAUUUAUGCUCAGAUCCAUUGGAUAUCCCCCCAUGUAUGGAGAAUCAACGCCAGUAAAAAGGAAUUGGUAUAUGAGCAAAGACCCGUCAGAAUUUGGGGAAAGGUGAAGCAAGCCACCCCAGAGCAAGGUAAGUUAAUCAUACGAAAUUCUUAAGAGAACAAUAAAUAAAGGAAAAAAGGAUACCCGAGUUGGAAACGGUGUCCUAAAGUCAUACUUGUUCCUUGAGCAACCAAAUCUCGAGGACGAGAUUUCUUUAAGGGGGGAGGUUUGUAACAGCCUGGUGUUUGGCCCUUUUCUUUUUCUUUUAAUUUAAUUGGUUUUUGCUCUGUUUUUCUUUUUGGAGUGGUUCUGUGGCCUUGCCACCUGGGAAAUCAUCCUCAUUCCCCCUCCCUAGUGGCUCAUCUUUCUCAAAACCUUGCCAAGAUCAUGUCACUCCACUGCUUGACCAAACCCUAAUUUCUUUUUUCUAGGGAAAAUUCCUUUUUCUAUUAAAGGAAUAACCCUGUCUGCCCUAGGUUGUGAAGCAACCUAUAUUUCUGUCCAUCGAAAAAUUCCAUAAUAAUUCUCAUAAUUUCUUUGGGUAAUAUAUUGCUCAAAUAUGCCCAAACUUUCCUGUCCUAGCCCAAGAAUAAUUCUCCAAAAGUUAUUCUUCAUUUCUGUCCAAUGUGGCUUUCUGUGAAGGAAGUGCCACCUAUCCUUUCCUGAUUGCUCCCAAACCUUUUGGGCAUUUGCUUAUGUCCAAAUCAUGGCCUCAUGCCAAAAUUCAACUUUAUUUGCCUAGCCAAUCUUCCUCAGCAAUUUUCAAACUUCUGUCAGACAGAAGGCAUUAUGAAGGAAGUACUAGCUAGGGUUAUCCAAAUGAGUUGAAAUUUUGCACACUCCUUCAUGUGCUCAUAUUAUCCCACUCCUACAAAUUUCAGCCCCAUACAAUCAUCUAUGUGAGCACAGGACCAAAUCUUUGCUUCUGGUAAAAAUUUCAGGUUGUGAAGCAAGUGCACUUUAUAUUGCUUCAAAAAUCCUGAUAAAAUACCAGAUCAUGCUCCUACCUAUAUAACAUCUCUCCACCAAAUUUGGCACCAUUUCAUUAAGCCAAUAUUUCUCAAAAAUUGUUGCAAGUUUCUGGUCAGCAAGGAUGUUUGUGAAGCAAGUACAUUUUUGGUGAAUCCAAUUGGUAUGAAACUUAUACAGCAUCUUUAUAUGAUCAAAUCAUCAUCCUAUGCCAAAUUUGAGCUCAAGUUUAUGCUCCAUGUGAGUGCAUCAUCCAAAUCUUAUUUCUGGACCAAAAAUGCAGUUGUGAAGCAACUAUAUUCAUUAUUGGUCCAAAUCUUCUCAAAGUUACCAGGAUGAAAGUCCUUCUUACCCUAAACCUCGCAGACAACUCCAUUGCUCCCAAUCUCCUUCCUGUUGAUCAGCAGUUCACGACCAAGUUUACUGCAGUAAACUUCAGAGGUUACUUACCAUUUAACCAGAGCAGUUUUCAUCGAUCUACCACCGCAGUUGAAACCUCCCCUGGAAGAACUUACUACUAGAGAACAUGUUCAAGCCCAUCUCCCCCGCUACAUGCCAGUGCACGCGGUGACCGCGUUAAUGGCAUCACAGUGCACGCGUUGUGUGUGUAGUGGUCGUUUAUGCUUCGGCACCUCCUCCCCUCGUCGCCUUCGCGCGCGUGACCGUCUCCAUUGUCUUCCUCUCGUCGUCGCCGUUCCCCUGGACCCCUCUCCCCCUCCGUCUGUUUCCUCACCGACGGUCACCGACGCUCGCCGUCGAGCGCCCAUGGGGGCACAGUGCUCCGUUUGGCUCCGAGCUCACUUCGGCCUCUUCCUCUGCUCUCCGGCGUCGUCUACCCCUCCGUGAUCUCUGAAUCAAUGGCUCGUCGUGUUCCCGCGCCCUCCCGUGCUUGCUGAGCUCGUCAGAGCUUUGGUCGGACCCCGCGGCAACACCCGAGCUCGGCCUCCCUCGCCCCGGCUAUAAGUAGCCCUCCCCCGGGCCCUUCGAGCACAACAUCGGCCUCCCCACACUCCACUAGCCCUCCCCAGCCUCUCGUUUGAGCUCAAGCUGCUCCCCUGCCAUUCCAUCGCCGCCUCGGCUCCUCCCGAUUCCGCCGAACCUGGCCAUCUCCCUCCGCUCCACCACCUCCAUAGGCCUCCACCACCACUACCGAACCACCCCAUCGCCUCUCCUCCUCCUCUCGUGGCUUGUAGCCGCGAGCUCAUCGGUGGCCGACGGCAUGCUCCGCCGCGGUCGACGCCCCGCUUUUCCCAAAGCUCCACGGCGGCAGAGUCCUACAUGGGCGUGCGCGCCUCGGUCUCCUGAACCCGCCGGUAGGCCGGUCGUCGUCUGAGGUGACCUGUGCCGCCGGCAAUGGCCGUCGGGGCGAGCUCCUCCCUCGGCCAGGCGCGCGUAUGCGGGAGGAAGAAGAAGGGAGCCAGGAGAGAGUGAGAAAGCCCGCGGGACCCGCUCGUCAGCGACCCAGUGCCACGGACCCCGCUGCCACGCGGGAUAAGUGGAAACGUAUUUCCUGCGUUUAUGUUUUUGGUAAGAGAAAGUGUAAACCUCCGCGGCCUCUGUCCAGAAUACGUUUUCCUUCUUCGAAAGCGUAUUCCAUGUCUACUUUGGCUGAAAGUGCGUUUCCUUUUUGCAGAAAGCGUAUUUCGCCCGAAUGCGUUUUCAGUUUUCUCAAUCAGGGGCUUGUUUGCAGAAAACAUUUUAUAGAUAGGUCCCUGGCAGAAAAACUAUCAUAUCUUUUUACCCAUAGCUCCAAAUCAGCUGAAUCCAAAGCCCACUUCUUCGUCUCGUCGAGCCCGUUCUGUUGGUAAUAAUUUCAUGAUGUUUUGACAUUCUGAAAAUGACCAUUUUGACCUUAUGCUUAAUCAGCCCCCUCCGAGAGAGAACGUUUUCCGGCGAUUCUUUCCGCAAGCUUCUCGCACUUUGUCCCGGUGAUUUCUUCCACCCCAGGCAAGCCACAACCACCAUUUGCAUGAUAGCCAUGCAGUAGCUUUGGUUUUCAACUUGAAUCUUUAAUAACUGUACGAUUGUUUUGCUACUGUUGUCGUUAUUUUGUUUAUGUUUAUGGAUCGGUGGUUACCGUCAUGCUACGUUUUCUUGCACUCUGUUAUUAUGUUCUACUUGCUACUAUUACUUUCAUAUUGCCAUGCUUGAUAAUAGUACAUGUUGGGUUGGUCAUGUUCUUCGGGGCAUGACUAACGUCGGUUACCGAGUACCGUUUAAUAUGCAUGUUUCCUUUGUUGUUAGUUGGAUAAGUAUUUACUCGGUAAUGUUAUUGAUGUGUUCUUGCAUGGUAUUCAUUGUUGAUGCUAGUGGUCAUGUUAUGAGUAGUGUUGUACUGGUAAUAUUCAUGCUCAUCAUUAUGGUAUGCUCAGUUGGAUAUGAUUCAUUGUUGAUAUGGUGGAUAGUUAUGUUGCACCCCCAUGCUUAUGUUGAUAGCAUGCUCAUGCCUUGUAAUUGCAUCAUGUUAUUUUUAUCAUGGCUCAGCAUAUUGCAUUCAAGUUUAACCGGAUUAAAUUGAACUUGAACAACUGUUGGCUGAGUCAUGGUGCCACCAUAUCGAGCUGACCAGUGCAACCACGCUUACCUUUAUGGGAAGGUCCUAACUGGGUCUAUUGUCAUGUCUCUCGCCGGUGCCUCCAACGAGGGAAGGUUAUGGGCGCGCGCUACCCUGAUCAGGUAGGCGGACAUAAGCCUUGUGUGCCCGUUGUUGUUGUUAUGGAUCCUUGUCCCCGUUUGGGACCGUUUUUGCCACGAUGGUGGCCGUUUUGCCACGACGGUGGCCGUUGGUGUCUUUGGUAGACACGGGGCCACCCAGGACUAGCCCAGUGGGGAGUGAGUCAGAGUGGCCGGGAGAGUGUCAUGGCAGUAGAUCGGUUUUGUCAGAAUGUCGUUGGUCCACCCGAAUGGGAGUGCGAGGCCAUGGGUUCCGUAGUGUGGGUACAGUGUACUAACCUCUGCAGAGUGUAUAUUAAAUCUAUCGAUAGCCGCGCCCGCGGAUAAGGGCCCAGUUCGUAGUUGGUCACACCAUGAGUCAACAGUAAUAAUAUUAAUGAUGUGCUUAAUAACAACCACGGUUCGAUGAUGAGAUAAGUUGGUUGUGAUCGCCGGAAAGACCACCGUUUGAGACCAAGUGUUGGUCAUGGUUGUGAUCGCCGGAAUGAUCACCGUUUGGUUACGAGGUAACCCGUUGAACCAAGAGUGGUUCCGUUCGUGAUCAUGAGAUGAUCACCGUGGUAUCGAGGAUACCGAGUUGUUGGAUAUUCGUGAUGUUGUGUGAGAAUCGUGGGUAAAGAUCAAGCUCCUUGUGGUCAUUUAAUGAUUACUACGGUAUUGUUUAUACCAAGCUUGAUUUGAUCCUGAGAUGAUCGUGAUGAUGUCCGAGGUUGGUAAGUCCUGCAUGUGAUGGUUACGAGAUAACCCGAGCAGAAUAAGUGGUGCAUAUAGUGUCAUCAUGUUGCAUGCUAGUAUCGUCAGAUUUAUAUGUUCAUGCCAUGCUCAUAUUGUUCUAGCGGUAUUAUGUUCAUGUUGUUCAUGCCAUGUCAUCCUGAUGAUCUCAUGAUAAUUCCUGCUUAACCUGUAAUUGCCAUGCUGUUGUAUGUCUUGAAUGCUUCUGGUAAUUGUGAGCUUGCAAGUACAUUCAAUGUACUGACCUGGCGUGUCAUGCCAGUCUGUAGGUCAUGCCGGAUUUGAUUGCUUGCUUGUCGUGGUUUCCGUUCGUGCGAGCUAGGAUAAGCGUUCCAGCCAGAGUCCCUGCGGACUGGAGUUCACCACCGUCGUCGUUGCUCCGCUGCUAGUAGUUUUUCCGCUGCUUCGAGUUGUUCUGUUGCUUGCAUAGAGCAACUGAGGAUGGUGUAGUGUCGCUGUGCCAAUGUUAUUCAUUGUAAUAUCGGAGACCUUGUAUUCAUAUUCGUGUAAUAAUAGAAAGUUGGUUUGUUCUACGCUAAGCAGUGUCGUAUUCCAGAAGACUUUUCCUCGAUCUCUGGGCUGGAAUACGGGACGUUUCGGUUUCUCUGAGCCAGGGUGCCACACAUACCGAUGACAAAGGGAACAACGUAUGUUGUUAUGCGGUUUGACCGAUAAAGAUCUUCGUAGAAUAUGUAGGAGCCAAUAUGAACAUCCAGGUUGCGCUAUUGGUUAUUGACCGGAGACAUGUUUCGGUCAUGUCUACAUAGUUCUCGAACCUGUAGGGUCCGCACGCUUAACGUUCGGUGACGAUCGGUAUUAUGAGUUUAUGUGAUUUGAUAUACCGAAGGUAGUUCAGAGUCCUGGAUGAGAUCGGGGACAUGACGAGGAGUCUUGAAAUGGUCGAGACGUAAAUAUCGAUAUAUUGGACGACUAUAUUCGGACAUCAGAAAGGUUCCGAGUGAUUCGGGUAUUUUUCGGAGUACCGGAGAGUUACGGGAAUACGGGGGAGAAGUAUUGGGCCUAAUGGGCCAAGUGGUGGAAGAGAGGAGGCCGGGCGCGCGGCCCCCCUAGCCCAAACCGAAUUGGACUAGGGGGCCGGCCCCCCUUUCCUCCUUUCCUCCCUCUCCUUCUUUCUCCCCUUCCCCCUUCCUUUCCUCCUCCUAGUAGGAGUAGGAAAGGGGAGUCGUAGUCCUACUCCUACUAGGAGGAGGACUCCUCCUCCUGGCGCGCCCUACAGGGGCCGGCCGGCCUCCCCCCUUGCUCCUUUAUAUACGGGGGCAGGGGCACCCAAGGACACAAUAAUUGAUCAUUGAUCUUUUAGCCGUGUGCGGUGCCCCCCUCCACCAUAAUCCACCUCGGUCAUAUCGUAGCGGUGCUUAGGCGAAGCCCUGCGUCGAUGGCAACAUCAUCACCGUCAUCACGCCGUCGUGCUGACGGAACUCUCCCGUGAAGCUCUGCUGGAUCGGAGUGGGCGUCAUCGAGCUGAACGUGUGCUGAACUCGGAGGUGUCGUACGUUCGGUACUUGGAUCAAUCGGAUCGUGAAGACGUACGACUACAUCAACCGUGUUGUCAUAACGCUUCCGCUUUCGGUCUACGAGGGUACGUGGACAACACUCUCCCCUCUCGUUGCUAUGCAUCACCAUGAUCUUGCGUGUGCGUAGGAAUUUUUUUGAAAUUACUACGUUCCCCAACAGGUUCCUAACUAAAAAUAACCAGAUCGUCGACUAUCCGGAUGCCGAAGCCCUAGCGGCCUUUAAACACAGCAUCCGCGACGAAUGGCUCGCCCGCCACCUCGGCCAAGAAAAGCCGAAGUCCAUGGCGGCCCUCACGGCACUCAUGACCCGCUUUUGUGCAGGUGAGGAUAGUUGGCUGGCCCGUAGCAAAAACACGGCAAGCGAAGCGGGCACCUCCGAAGUCAAAAACAGCAACGGCAAGCUCCGACGCAACAGGCACAAACGUCCAAGCAAUGGUGACAAUACCGAUGACACGACAGUCAACGCCAGAUUCAGUGGCUCCAAGUCCGGUCAGCGGAAGAAGCCAUAUAAAAGAAACAACCUGGGACCAUCUAGCUUGGACCGCAUACUCGACCGUCCGUGCCAGAUCCAUGGCACCCCAGAAAAACCAGCCAACCAUACCAACAGGGAUUGUUGGGUUUUUAAAUAGGCCGACAAGUUAAAUGCCGAAAACAAGGAGAAGGGAUCGCAAAGCAAGGACGAUGACGAGGAGCCCCAGCCACCGAACACAGCGGGACAGAAGAAGUUUCCCCCUCAGGUCAAAAUGGUGAACAUGAUAUACGCUACCCACAUCCCCAAGAGGGAGCGCAAGCGCGCGCUCAGGGACGUCUAUGCGAUAGAGCCGGUCGCCCAAAAUUUUAAUCCAUGGUCUUCAUGCCCGAUUACCUUCGAUCGUUGGGAUCAUCUGACCAGUAUCCUUCAUGGCAGUUGGGCCGCACUGGUCCUUGACCCAAUAAUUGAUGGAUUCCACCUGACGCGAGUCCUCAUGGACGGUGGCAGCAGCCUCAACCUGCUCUAUUAGGAUACAGUGCACAAAAUGGGCAUUAAUCCAUCAUGGAUCAAGCCCACAAAGACUACCUUUAAAGGAGUCAUACCAGGUGUAGAGACCCGCUGUAUGGGCUCAAUCACACUAGAGGUUGUCUUCGGAUCUCCGGACAACUUCCGAAGCGAAGAGUUAAUCUUCGAUAUCGUCCCCUUUCGCACCGUCUAUCACGCACUGCUUGGACGAACCGCAUUUGCUCGAUUCAACGCGGUGCCACACUAUGCUUAUCUCAAACUCAAGAUGCCCGGACCACGCGGCGUCAUAACAGCUAAUGGAAACACGGAACGCUCCCUCCGCACCGAGGAGCACACCGCUACCUUAGCAGCAGAAGUACAGAGCGGCCUUUUCAAGCAGAACCUUAAUUUGGCGGCCGAGCUCCCGGAUACUGUCAAGAGAGUCCGGACUAUUCUGCAGCAGGACAGCUCGGCUCGUCAAGAGCUCGACUAGCAAUUUGGCCUCUGUCCCAGUCUCGACCAAGUGGCAACAUUCGUACCGCGCGUACAUAACUACGCACUCAAAAUACCAUGGGCAUAGACAGAUGCAUAACUAGUUUGUGAUCCACAAUGCAGCUCGACCGCCCCCGGACACACAUACUUUCACUGUUUCCUUUUUCUCCUUUUCAGGUUUCUUUUCCACAGGCCCUCCCUGAUGGCCUGAUCACCGGUCCUUUCGAAGGAUAAAUACACCAAGAUGGCAAGAAGCACAGACGUAUAGGGGAAUUUCUAGGUGGUCUCUUUAACGAUCACUCUAACUGUUUCCAGGACCCACAUGCAACUCUCCCUUGGUUGUGGCAUGUUAAAUAGCCUUUUUCUUAUUGCACUAUUUGUAUGAAUGCGCUUUGACGUAUUAACCAGAUUAUAAUGAAAACAGUUUGUGGCCCAAAUUCUGCAGCCCUAGCUUACUACCCUUUCUUCUUUCCUGUUUUCCUUUUCUGUUGAUAACUUUAUCAGAUAGCACCCGUACACUUUGGUACGUUUCAAUUUGCCAGGAGCUUCAUAGCGCCCCGCAAUACGGCAACAAAGUCCAAACACUUUUUACAGUAUAGUUCGGCACCCCGAAUUUAGCAUUAUAUGCAUUGGCUCCGAAUCAUGUCUUUGGUCAAUAGUUGGGUUGCCCGGAUCCUGUGCUUGCUACCUUACGUUUCGUUAUAUCGGCUAGGGUAGUAAAGGGAGAACUACUGCGAUUGUGCCUUGGUUUACCCGAAUGAGCACCUCAGUAGAGAAAGCCAAAAACUGACUGUCAUGAUGCGGCGAGAGCCGGUCAGCUCUUCGUAGGUCUCAAAUCUUUAGAGAUUUUUUCCGCAUUACGAGAGGGAUCGGUACUUACCCGAUCGGGUGUUUACAGCAUCCUAGUUCGGAUACUAGGGGUUGCGCCUAUAUUUUUAUUGUCAAACUCCUAUGGCUAAGUGAGGGUGCUAAAGCCGCAUAGUCCGAUUGCCUGGUUCGUUGCGCUAAACACCUCCUUAAAGGACCAAACAAUUGGAUCAAGAGUGUUUAGAUUACAUCCCGAACACCCCCGUACUACCUAUGUGAGGGCAGAAGCCGACGACUGGCCAACUCUCAGAUUUCACACAACACGGCCGCACAGGAGGUGAAACUUUUUAAACAAAAAUUAUAUUACAUAAUGACUUUGUUUCAUCAUACAAGGCAGGGACAACAUGAAUGUAUUCAUUCGAAAAUAAUGUCUUGCGCACAUUGCGUCGCCACAAUACGAGACCCCUCCCGGACGUCUUCAAAAUACCGCUCGGGCGUGCGGUGCUCCUUGCCCUCAGGCGGUCCCUCGGUCACAAGCUUGACGGCGUCCAUCUUCGCCCACCACACCUUGACGCGGGCAAAGGCCAUGCGCGCGCCCUCAAUGCAGACCGGCCGCUUGACGAUGUCCAGCCGAGGGCAGGCAUUUACCAGCCGCUUCACGAGCCCGAAGUAGCUGCUGGGUAUAGCUUCGGCAGGCCAUAGCCGGAUUAUUAAGUCCUUCAUGGCCAGUUCGACCACCCUAUGCAGCUGGACUAGCUGUUUUAGCUGAUCGCUAAAGGGCACCGGAUGUUCUGGCGCAAGGUAUUGCGACUAGAACAGCUUCUCCGUUGAGCUCCCUUCUUCGGCUCAGAAGAAUUCCGCAGCGUCAGAAACGCUGCGCGGCAGAUCCGCAAACGCCCCUGGAGAACUCCAAAUCCGGGUUAGUAAAGAUACUUCUUCUCCACAUACUUGCUUUGCAUACUAAACGCCUUACCCGCCACGAUCUUCUUGGCCUCCUGGAUCUCCUGGAGGGUGCCUUGGGCUUCAACCCGGGCCGCUUCCGCGUUUUGGCGAGCCUUGGCGAGUUCGGUCUCUUGAGCCGAAACAUCGGGCUCCAAGGUCUCGCAUUUCUUCACGGCAUCCUGGAGCUCUUGCUGGACCUCAUCAAGCCUGGCCUCGUGCUUCUUACGAGCGGCUUGUUCCUUGGCAGCUCUCUCCUCAGCCUCGGCCAGGGCCUUUUUAAGGACCUCGACCUCGGUUGCCGCUCCUACAAAUAUUAUGGCACUACUGUCAAUACACAUCAUUCAUUCUUCCUGAAUAUACAGCAAGUCGCUGUUGGGGAACGUAGUAGUUUCAAAAAAAAUCCUACGCACACGCAAGAUCAUGGUGAUGCAUAACAACGAGAGGGGAGAGUGUUGUCCACGUACCCUCGUAGACCGACAGCGGAAGCGUUAUCACAACGCGGUUGAUGUAGUCGUACGUCUUCACGAUCCGACCGAUCAAGUACCGAACGUACGGCACCUCCGAGUUCUACACACGUUCAGCUCGAUGACGUCCCUCGAACUCCGAUCCAGCCGAGUGUUGAGGGAGAGUUUCGUCAGCACGACGGCGUGGUGACGAUGAUGAUGUUCCACCGACGCAGGGCUUCGCCUAAGCUCCGCAGCGGUAUUAUCAAGGUGUAAUUUGGUGGAGGGGGGCACCGCACACGGCUAAGAGAUCUCAAGGAUCAAUUGUUGUGUCUAUGGGGUGCCCCCCUGCCCCCGUAUAUAAAGGAUCAAGGAGGAGGCAGCCGGCCAAGGGAGAGGCGCGCCAAAAAGGGGGGAGUCCUACUCCCACCGGGAGUAGGACUCCUCCUUUCCUUGUGGGAGUAGGAGAAGGGAAGGGGGAAGGAGAAAGAAGGAAGGGGGCGCCCCCUCUCCCUAGUCCAAUUCGGACUAGCCCAUGGGGAGGGGUGCGGCCACCCUUUGGGGUCUUUCUCUCCUUUCCCGUAUGGCCCAUUAAGGCCCAAUACGAAUUCCCGUAACUCUCCGGUAUUCCGAAAAAUACCCGAAUCACUCGGAACCUUUCCGAAGUCCGAAUAUAGUCGUCCAAUAUAUCGAUCUUUACGUCUCGACCAUUUCGAGACUCCUCGUCAUGUCCCCGAUCUCAUCCGGGACUCCGAACUCCUUCGGUACAUCAACAUACAUAAACUCAUAAUAAAACUGUCAUCGUAACUUUAAGCGUGCGGACCCUUCGGGUUUGAGAACUAUGUAGACAUGACCGAGACACCUCUCCGGUCAAUAACCAAUAGCGGGACCUGGAUGCCCAUAUUGGCUCCUACAUAUUCUACGAAGAUCUUUAUCGGUCAGACCGCAUAACAACAUACGUUGUUCCCUUUGUCAUCGGUAUGUUACUUGCCCGAGAUUCGAUCGUCGGUAUCUCGAUACCUAGUUCAAUCUCGUUACCGGCAAGUCUCUUUACUCGUUCCGUAAUACAUCAUCCCGUAACUAACUCAUUAGUCACAAUGCUUGCAAGGCUUAUAGUGAUGUGCAUUACAGAGUGGGCCCAGAGAUACCUCUCCGACAAUCGGAGUGACAAAUCCUAAUCUCGAAAUACGCCAACCCAACAAGUACCUUUGGAGACACCUGUAGAGCACCUUUAUAAUCACCCAGUUACGUUGUGACGUUUGGUAGCACACAAAGUGUUCCUCCGGUAAACGGGAGUUGCAUAAUCUCAUAGUCAUAGGAACAUGUAUAAGUCAUGAAGAAAGCAAUACCAACAUACUAAACGAUCGGGUGCUAAGCUAACGUAAUGGGUCAUGUCAAUCACGUCAUUCUCCUAAUGAGGUGAUCCCGUUAAUCAAAUGACAACUCAUGUCUAUGGCUAGGAAACAUAAUCAUCUUUGAUUAACGAGCUAGUCAAGUAGAGGCAUACUAGUGACACUCUGUUUGUCUAUGUAUUCACACAUGUAUUAUUUUUCCGGUUAAUACAAUUCUAGCAUGAAUAAUAAACAUUUAUCAUGAUAUAAAGAAAUAUAUAAUACUUUAUUAUUGCCUCUAGGGCAUAUUUCCUUCAGUCGCAGCAUACCUUGCUUGUCCUCCAGCUGCCUUUUUACAAGGCCGAGCUCUUCUUCGGCCCGCUCCAGACUCUGCUUUAGUCCGGAGACAUCCACAGCAUGAGAGGUGGCGGCCAGCAACGACGCCUGCUUAUUCAUAUAAGACAUCUUAUAGUAAGUUUUCUGCGAAAAUAAAUUGAUCCUCUGUCUGGCUUUUCUUUCCGAACACCGGACAGUGUCUCAGGGGCUACUGUCUAUACUAGGACUUUUUCUUUUGCAUCGCUUACCUCAAAGCCUGUCAGCAGGCUGCCGCAGGCUUCGGUCAGUCCGCUCUUGACGGACUGAACCCUCUCAAUCACCGUACCCAUAAGGAUACGGUGUUCCUCCACAAUGGAAGCGCCUCGUAGCGCUUCCAGCAGAUUAUCCAGUGCCUCUGGUUGGACAGAGGUCACCGGCGGGAUAGGCACACCUCCUUCUCUCAAAGGAGGCUGCUCGCCAGAUUCCAGAGCCGUAUAGGUCUCCGGAACCGUAUUCGGUUGGGGGCCGAACUGAACAUGGCCCCCAUCGCCAGUCUCCAUGGGGAUCUGCUCCCCCAUGUGUCCGGCGGCCGAGGUUUCGCCCUCUAGCGUCACCCUGACGGCCUCCUGAACCUCUCCCUGGCCUGGGAAGGUCCUUUGGGACAGCACCUCGUCGUCGCCCUUGGCCGUGGGAGAGUGAGUGGCUGGCGGUGGCUCGCUGGCCAUUGCCUUUGAAUCCAAUGAACCACCUGAUGAGGAUCGCAGGGAGCUGUCGUGGGCCGUACUGCAAUAGCGUAAUUAAACAUGUUAAUACCAUGAAGAGGAGAGGCCGAAUGCAUGGACAUAUCCGGGUAUUUAGUACUUACCAUGCGGCCAGGGGCUUGCUUCGGGGGCGUCGCUCGGGGCUGCUAUCGACGUCCCACGCGGACUUAUCCGCGAGGGGGCCCUUCCCCCUCUUGGGCGCCUCCGCCUCCAGAUUUGUGGAGGCCGCCGUCUUCUUCUUUCCCCCAUCAGGGGGAGAGUUGCUUUCUUCCUCCUCCUCGUCGUCGUCUUCGGCGGCAGAGGAGUGAGUCUUGUCUUCGGACGACACGUCCGAAGCUCCCUUGCGGCGGGGGCCGCUCCGGACCCCCUUGGCCUUCUUCUCCGGCGCCUUGUAGGGCGCCGGAACCAGCAUCUUCGCCAGGAGCGGGAUGACUGGUUCAUCGGGCAGCGGAGCCGGACAUCGAAUCCGCUCCGCUUUCUCUGUCCAUACCUGAAAAAAUAAAUAGUGAAGUUUUAGAUAUCUUCCUUGAACAAGCAAGUAGAGGAUGCACCUUGAUGUGAAGGACUUACCGCACUGGCAGGAUGGGCUAGAUUGUGCCCGCAGUCCGAGACUAUGUCUGGCGGCGUCUCAUUGCCUUUAAAGAGCAACUUCCAGACAUCUUCGUGAGUGGUUCCGAAGAGCCUCUCCAAGGUCUGGUGCUUCUCCGGAUCAAAUUCCGAUAAAGGGCAUGUUCGGCUCUGGCAUGGAAGGAUCCGGCAAACUAGCAUCACCUGGAUCACGUUGACGAGCUUGAUGUUUUUAUCCACCAUGCUUUGGAUGCACGUUUGCAGCACUAUCAGUUCGUCCGACGAAGACCAAUUCGGGCCCUUCUCUAUCCAGGAGGUGAGCCGCAUUGGAGCUCCGGAUUUGAACUCGGGAGCCACGGCCCAGGUGAUGUCGUGGGGCUCUAUGAUAUAGAACCACAGUUUCUGCCACUCUUUGAUGGUCUCCACAAAAGUACCCUUGGGCCAUGUGACAUUGGGCAUCUUGCUCACCAUGGCACCUCCGCAUUCCGUGUGUUAGCCAUCCACCACCUUCGGCUUCACGUUGAAGAUCUUGAGCCAUAGUCCGAAGUGGGGAGGAAUGUGGAGGAAGGCCUCGCACACGACAAUGAAUGUCGAGAUGUUGAGGAAGGAGUUUGGGGCUAGAUCAUGGAAAUCUAGCCCGUAAUAGAAAUAAGUCCGCAGACGAAAGGGUGGAGAGGAAACCCUAACCCGCGGAUGAAAUGGGGGAUGAACACCACCCUCUCGUUGGGCUUCGGGGUGGGGACGACUUGCCCCUUGGCCGGAAGCCGGUGAGCGAUUUCUUUCGCCAGAUACCCGGCCUCCCGAAGCUCGGUGAUGUCCUUCUCCUUAAUGGAGGAGGCCAUCCACUUGCCUUGCCCUCCAGAUCCGGACAUGGUUGAGUGCUUUCUUGAGGCAGAAAAAAUGAGGACUUGGGCGCUGGAGCUCAAGAAUGGAAGGGCAGAGAAAGAGAGAAGGCAUGGGUGAAAGAAGGGAAUCCUUAUCCCCUUAUAAAGGCAGUGAAUAUCAAGCGCCUCCCCACUCGCCUUAAAACUCGCCUGUUCCCAAGGGCGGUGCAAACAGCGCGGUUGGAUUACUCACGCCCGUAUUGAUGAGAAUCCCGCAAUAAGGGGACACGAUCUCUGCUUCGACAAGACGUGCCAAUAAAGACCGCGUCUCGAAACGUGGGACGGCAGAUGAAAACGGUUCGAAAUAGUAACCAGGUAGACGUGAUGUCACAUUGCAAAAAGUUGUCAGCGGAUUUGACUCAUGAAAUAUUAUACUCUCUACGGUUGUGUGUGUGGUACUUGUGUUGCAGAUCCGGACACGUUCGUUGCGUCCGAAGACUAUCUUGGAGUAUUCGGAAAGGGGAACCCGCCUUGCAAUGCCGAAGACAAUCUGCGCGGCGGACACCUCAUCAUUGACUAAGGGGCUACUGAGGGAGUCCUGGACUAAGGGGUCCUCGGGAGUCCGGCCUGUUGGACAUGGGACGGACUAGUGGGCUGUGAAGAUGCAAGACCGAAGACUCUCUCCCGUGUCCGGAUGGGACUCUCCUUGGCGUGGAAGGCAAGCUUGGCGUCCAAAUAUGAAGAUUCCUUUCUCUGUAACGGACUUUGUACAACCCUAGUCCCCUCCGGUGUCUAUAUAAACCGGAGGGCUUAGUCUGAAGGAUGGAUAUAGUCAUACAGGCUAGACUUCUAGGGUUUUAGCCAUUACGAUCUCGUGGUAGAUCAACUCUUGUAAUACUCAUAUUCAUCAAGAUCAAUCAAGCAGGAAGUAGGGUAUUACCUCCAUAGAGAGGGCCCGGACCUGGGUAAACAUUGUGUCCCCCGUCUCCUAUUACCAUCGACCUUAGACGCACAGUUCGGGACCCCCUACCCGAGAUCCGCCAGUUUUGACACCGACACCGACCAAUCAAGCACCGAACGUACGGCACCUCCGAGUUCUGCACACGUUCAGCUCGAUGACGUCUCUUGUCCUCUUGAUCCAGCAAGAUGUCGAGGAAGUAGAUGAGUUGCGUCAGCACGACGGCGUGGUGACGGUGAUGGUGAAGUGAUCCGCGCAGGGCUUCGCCUAAGCACCGCCCGAAUAUGACCGGGGGUGUAAACUAUGGAGGGGGGCGCCGGACACAGCUAACAAUUGAUGUUGUGUCUUCUAGGUGCCCCCCUCCCCACAUAUAUAUAGGUGGGAGGGGAGGGGAGGCAGCCAGGGGGCGCCCCAAGUAGGACGAAUCCUACUUGGGGUCUUCCCCAAUUCGGCCUCCCCCCCCCCUUCCAUAAUUGCCGGAGGGGGGAAAGGGAAGGGGAAAGAGAGAAGGAAACGGGGGGCCGAACCCCCUCUUUCCCUUCUCCCACUCAGCUUCCUUCCAUAGGAGGGGCGCGCCACCCCUUGUGGGCUGGUGUGCUCCCCUCUCAUGGCCCAUAUGGCCCAUAUAUUCCCCCGAGGGGUUCCGGUACUCCGAUAAAUACCCGAUACACUCUGGAACACUUCCGGUGUCCGAAUACUAUCAUCCUAUGUAUCAAUAUUUACCUCUCGACCAUUUCGAGACUCAUCGUCAUGUCCGUGAUCUAAUCCGGGACUCUGAACAACAUUCCGUCACCAAAUCACAUAACUCAUAUCAUACUAAAUCGUCAUCGAACGUUAAGCGUGCAGACCCUACGGGUUCGACAACUAUGUAGACAUGACCAAGACACCUCUCCGGUCAAUAACCAACAGCGGAACCUGGAUGCUCAUAUUGGCUCCUACAUAUUCUACGAAGAUCUUUAUCGGUCGAACCGUUAUGACAACAUACGUUAUUCCCUUUGUCCAUCGAUAUGUUACUUGCCCGAUAUUCGAUCGUCGGUAUCUUCAUACCUACUUCAAUCUCGUCACCGGCAAGUCUCUUUACUCAUUCCAUAAUACAUCAUCCUGCAACUAACUCAUUAGUAACUUUGCUUGCAAGGCUUCUUAUGAUGUGUAUUACCGAGAGGGCCCAGAGAUACCUCUCCGAUACUCGGAGUGACAAAUCCUAAUCUCGAUCUAUGCCAAAUCAACAAACACCUUCAGAGAUACAUGUAGAGCAUCUUUAUAAUCACCCAAUUAUGUUGUGACAUUUGAUAGCACACAAGGCAUUCCUCCGGUAUCCGGGAGUUGCAUAAUCUCAUAGUCGAAGGAAUAUGUAUUUGACAUGAAGAAAGCAAUAGCAAUAAAACUGAACGAUCAAUAUGCUAAGCUAACAGAUGGGUCUUGUCCAUCACAUCAUUAUUUUAAUGAUGUGAUCCUGUUAUCAAAUGACAACUCAUGUACAUGGUCAGGAUACCUUUACCAUCUUUGAUCAACGAGCUAGUCAAGUAGAGGCUCACUAGAGACAUAGUGUUUGUCUAUGUAUUCACACAUGUAUUUAGGUUUCUGAUCAAUGCAAUUCUAGCAUGAAUAAUAAACAUUUAUCAUGAAUAAGGAAAUAUAAAAUAACAACUUUAUUAUUGCCUCUAGGGCAUAUUUCCUUCAGUCUCCCACUUGCACUAGAGUCAAUAAUCCAGAUUACAUUGUAAUGAUUCUAACACCCAUGGAGUCUUGGUGUUGAUCAUGUUUUGCUCGUGGAAGAGGCUUAGUCAACGGGUCUGCUACAUUUAGAUCUGUAUAUAUUUUGCAAAUCUCUAUGUCUCCCUCCUUGACUUGAUCACGGAUGGAGUUGAAGCGUCUCUUGAUGUGUUUGGUUCUUUUGUGAAAUUUGGAUUCCCUCGUUAAGGCAAUUGCUCCAGUAUUGUCACAAAAGAUUUUCGUUGGACCCGAUGCACUAGGUAUUACACCUAGAUAGGAUAUGAACUCCUUCAUCCAGACUCCUUCAUUUGCUGCUUCCGAAGCAGCUAUGUUCUCCGCUUCAUACGUAGAUCCCGCCAUGACGCUCUGCUUGGAACUGCACCAACUGACAGCUCCACCAUUCAAAAUAAAUACGUAUUCGAUUUGUGACUUAAGAGUCAUCCGGAUCGGUGUCAAAGCUAGCAUCGACGUAAUCAUUUACGACGAGCUCUUUGUCACCUCCAUAAACGAGAAACAUAUCCUUGGUUCUUUUCAAGUACUUCAGGAUGUUCAUGACCGCUGUCCAGUGACCCACUCCUGGAUUACUUUGGUACCUUCUUGCUAGACUUAUGGCAAGGCACACAUCAGGUCUGGUACACAGCACAGCAUACAUGAUAGAACCUAUGGCUGAGGCAUAGGGAAUGACUUUCAUUUUCUCUCUAUCUUCUGUAGUGCUCGGGCAUUGAGUCUGACUCAAUUUCACACCUUGCAAUAAACACAAGAACCCUUUCUUUGACUGAUCCAUUUUGAACUUCUUCAAAACUUUGUCAAGGUAUGUGCUUUGCGAAAGUCCUAUUAAGCGUCUUGAUCUGUCUCUAUAGAUCUUGAUGCCCAAUAUAUAAGCAGCUUCACCGAGGUCUUUUAUUGGAAAACUUUUAUUCAAGUAUCCUUUUAUGCUAUCCAGAAAUUCUACAUCAUUUCCAAUCAACAAUAUGUCAUCCAGAUAUAAUAUUAUAAAUACUACAGAGCUCCCACUCACUUUCUUGUAAAUGCAGGCUUCUCCGAAAGUCUGUAUAAAACCAUAUGCUUUGAUCACCUCAUCAAAGCGUAUAUUCUAACUCUGAGAUGCUUGCACCAGUCCAUAGAUGGAUCGCUGGAGCUGGCACACUUUGUUAGCACCUUUAGGAUCAACAAAACCUUCUGGUUGCAUCAUAUACAACUCUUCUUUGAGAAAUCCAUUAAGGAAUACAGUUUUGACGUCCAUUUGCCAAAUUUCAUAAUCAUAAAAUGCGGCAAUUGCUAACAUGAUCCGGGCAUACUUAAGCAUCGCUACGGGUGAGAAGGUCUGAUCGUAGUCAACUCCUUGAACUUGUCGAAAACCUUUCGCGACAAGUCAAGCUUUGUAGACAGUAACAUUACCAUCAGCAUCGGUCUUCUUCCUGAAGAUCAAUUUAUUCUCUAUGGCUCGUUGAUCAUCGGGCAAGUCCACCAAAGUCCACACUUUGUUCUCAUACAUGGAUCCUAUCUCAGAUUUCAUGGCCUCAAGCCAUUUAUCAGAAUCCGGGCUCAUCGUAGCUUCUUCAUAGUUCGUAGGUUCGCCAUGGUCUAGUAACAUAACUUCCAGAACAGGAUUAUCGUACCACUCUGGUGCAGAUCAUGCUCUCGUUGACCUACGAGGUUCAGUAGUAACUUGAUCUGAAGUUUCAUGAUCAUCAUCAUUAGCUUCCUCUCUAGUUGGUGUAGGCAUCACUGAAAUGAUUUUCUGUGAUGAGCUACUUUCCAAUUCGAGAGAAGGUACAAUUACCUCAUCAAGUUCUACUUUCCUCCCACUCACUUCUUUUGAGAGAAACUCCUUCUCUAGAAAUGUUUCAUUCUUGGUAACAAAGAUCUUGCCUUUAGAUCUGUGGUAGAAGGUGUACCCAAUUAUUUACUUAGCGUAUCCUAUGAAGACGCACUUCUCUGAUUUGGGUUCGAGCUUAUCAGGCUGAAGCCUUUUGACAUAAGUGUCGGCAACCCAAAAUUUAAGAAACGACAGCUUAGGUUUCUUGCCAAACCAUAGUUCAUACGAUGUCGUCUCAACGGAUUUAGACGGUGCCCUAUUUAACGUGAAUGCAGUCGUCUCUAAAUCAUAACCCCAAAAUGAUAGCGGUAAAUCAGUAAGAGACAUCAUAGAUCGCAGCAUAUCUAAUAAAGUGCGGUUACGACGUUCGGACACACCAUUACGCUGUGGUGUUCCAGGUGGCGUGAGUUGCGAAGCUAUUCCGCACUGUUUCAAAUGAAGACCAAACUCAUAACUCAAAUAUAAACCUCCACGGUCAGAUCGUAGAAACUUUAUUUUCUUGUUAUGAUGAUUUUCCACUUCACUCUGAAAUUCUUUGAACUUUUCAAAUGUUUCAGACUUAUGUUUCAUCAAGUAGAUAUACCCAUAUCUGCUCAAAUCAUCUGUGAAGGUCAGAAAAUAAUGAUACCCACCGCGAGCCUCAACACCCAUCGGACCGCAUACAUCGGUAUGUAUUAUUUCCAAUAAGUCAUUGGCUCGCUCCAUUGUUCCGGAGAACGGAGUUUUAGUCAUCUUGCCCAUGAGGCAUGGUUCGCACUGCCGAGCCUAACUCAAACCAACUAGAAUGAACUCACUAAGAUAGGGAAUUGUGAUGCUUGUCCAUUCCGCUAUGGUACAUGGGAUGCUUUGAGGAAAGAAGAGGAACAACACUGGCGCUUGGAUCAUCGCCGUUUUGUCUCUCGGGUGCAUUGAUCACAAAUCGAUGUGGCAAGGCCAUGGAUCCUGUCGAGGGUCAUUUUGUCUUCACCAUAUCACUUGCAGGAUGCUCGCCACCACCUACCAAAGCCGCUAGACUUUAGUAAUGCAUUGUUCUGCACCUCGCCGACUCAUCAGUCUUUGUAUAUCUAGAGUUUACAUUUUUCUUGUGACAUGAGAGUUCAGUUUUGACUCGUGACCAAGAGAAAUGCCGCAAAUCUUGAGAUAAAUUAUGCAGUCGCUUCUUCAUGAUACAUGAAUUUAAUUGUAUCAGCCUGAAUUUAAUUGUAUCAGCCUAGCUGAGUGAGCAUGUGCACAAGAUCGAUGACCGGACUUUAUCUAUACAUAACUAGGAACGAUAAGUGGCACACAGACAGGAUGUGCAUGAAUAAUUUGAGAAUCACACCGUUAUUUUGUUUUGGUGUUUCUUCAAACUUGUUCGCCCAUGAAAUUUUCUUCUUCUAAGCAGCUAAGUUAAUGUGGAGUAGCUGGGGUUAGAAGAUUUUAUAAGUAAUUCCAUCUUCAAUGAUGAAAUCAAUUGGUUGUCCCCAGCUUAUCUCAUGUGCUUGGUUAAAUAGAGUUUGUGUGCAUAGCCAUGCAUACAUAAAGUUCGGCAUUCGUGUGUGUUGGUGUUCUUUUUGUGUGAACGUUCCAUGGGAGAAACAGAAUAUUUGGUACCAAAGUUUUAGGUUUUGAAUCCAAGCGAGGUGGCCCCUAGCAUCUUGAGGUGGUCGGUCGCCAUUUAGUAGAUUACCGAGGCAAAGAUGGCAAGGACCAAAUCAUUGGCGAGGCACAAUCAUCAUCAGUGGAAAGUUAGAUAAAUCAAGGAGUCAUGUGCAUGCAUAUUCAUCCAGUCGAUGUCAUGUCAAGUGUUGAUAUACAAGUGCAUUCCGAUCUGUGGUUCCAAUGCAGUUGAAGCAUAUCAAGGUCGAACCACUAUCCAGUGAGGUGUAUUACUCUGGAUGACAUCAUGUCAAGUGUUCAUAUCCAAGUGCAUGUCGAUAUGUGGCUCCUUCGCAGUUGAAGUGUUUCACAGUCAAACCAUUGUCCAGUCAGGUGUAUUACUCUGGGUGAAGAUGUGUGUGAAGAAAAGAUGGCAUGCUGUAUUGUGCAUGUCUCAGCGGGAGAUCAAGCUCGAGCAUGUAGUGGAAUGGUAAUCAAUAAAGGUGGGUGUGUCAACUGAAGUCAUAUCUCUACGUGAGCUCGUGUGGUUUCGGCCGGUAUGUAAGGAGGGAGCUAGCGUAGUCGGGUUAUCCCAAUCAAUGCAUUGAGUUGCAUGGACAAGUCAUGGAUCUUAAACAAGUCAGGAUUCGAGGGAGUACAAGAGAUGGCAAGUAACAAAGAUUGUUGGAAAUACUCGUAUACCCUGAUAAAGCCCGUUUUGAUGUCGUUGUUUGCUAGCUUGCCAUGUUUGAGAGUCGGAGAUUGAACAGGUUUUGCUACUACGUACUACUGCUAUAAAUAUAAGGUGUUUGGAAUGGUCCAUUAUCAUGACAAACUUAGUUGCGGUAGGUCUAGGUUUAAGUCCUUUGACUAGUCAUGUUGCUGUCCUGUUGGGAGUUGCGGUAGGUCUAGGUUCAAGUCCUUUGACAAGUAGUUAUGUUGCUGUCAUGUUCCUAGGUGUGCGUGUAUAUAUAAGCACACUAUGGGGCGAAGCUUUUUAACUAUGUGAAAUUGUAUGAGAGAUGCGAACUGGGGAGAAACAAGGAAACGAAACAGAUGGCACAACAUGUAUCCUUGGUUAAAGUUGUGUUUGCAUCAUAGCCGGUGGGAGAAAUCCAAUAAGGAAUCCAGCUUGUUAUGAACCUUUUGGAUUUGAAGGCAUCAGGAAUGAAACUUAACUGCCGACCUCUUUCCUACAGCCUGAGCGUCAAUCCCCUUUCCCGAUACAUCGAUGCGAAAGACCGAUGGGCUACAAACUAGUUGCGGUGCGCAGAGCCCUGGCGAUGCACUGACUCCUCAACUCAGCAAGAACACCAAGAGACGUGCAGGAACAUGAGUAAAUUGCAAAAAACCACCACAGUUGUGGACCCUAAAUCAAAAAACCACCACGUUUCGUUUUUUUUUUUUGCAAAAAACAUCCGGUUUCUGGGUGACAGUUUGCAGAAAGCACUAAUCGAUCAGAUCAACACUUGUUGAUGCUAAAUCUGACUGGUGGGUCCCUUCGUCAGUGCUGACGUGACACCAAAAUCUCACGGUGUUUAGCCUGUACAAGAAGCUGCACAUGGGACCCACACGUCAGCCUCUGUAGUUCUUCAUUACCCAUAAGUGCUGCCGGGGGAAAGGAAAGAAGGUGCGCAUCCGCAUCCGACCGGCGCACCACCGGCUCCAGCCACCGUCCUGCUCGUGAGCCUCCGCCUCGUCCCUCUCUGCUCCAGCGCGCGCCGCCUCCCGAGCUUGUCGACCACCGCGCCAUGCGCACCGCCGCCGGGAAGAUGCCGUCCAGCACCGUGCCAUGGGCGCCGCCACUGGGAAGCCAUCUACCGCCAGUGCUAGCGCGUCGCUGACCCUCGCCGACCUCGUCCGUUUACGGCGCCGCUCCAGUCAGCCUCCUCCACGCCGGCCACCUCAAGCCCGAGCGUGCGCUGACGCUUGUCCACGCAGCCACCGGAGCAUCCUCCAGAGGCCGCCAUGUCCUUCGUCCUCCCCAUCCCGCGCUGGAAUGGUUCGCUGAAGUAACUGGAGCAAAGCGACUCCAGGAUGACGCCCUCCUUUCUUCAUCUCCGACCGGACGCCGUCGUUGAUGAAAUUUUCUGCUGCUGCUGCUUCCCUGAUUCCUCCUACCUCGCCGUCGAGCUCCCAGAUCAAGGCCACCUCCUCUCCCCUAGUUUCCCCCUUGCCUGCUUCCUCUAUUGGUUGCCCUGCGGCCUCCCGAGCGCCAUGGUUGAGAGGACGGGCUCGAGCUCCGCCCCGUGCCCCGACUGCCCGUGCGCGCCCUGGUGCGGCGCAACCUCUCUGCUCGGCCUCCAUAGCUCGGCCGCGCCACCUCACACUCGGUCGCCCUGGACGCAUUCCUGCACCGCCGGCGACGGCGUUGUGCUCCUGCCGCUGGUGAGCUGGGCGGCCGGCGGGAUGCCUGCUAGGUGUUUGUCGAAAUUACUAAGACAGAACAGGGGUUGACUGGGUCACCUAACGUCCGUAUCCUCGCGCUCUGUUUGGCCUUGUGCCACGUCGAUCUGACAAUGGGAUCCACACGUCAGAUUCAGCGUCAAGCGGCUCUAAUCGAUUGAUCGGUGCUUUCGGUAAACUGUCAGCACAAUGCCGGUGGGUUUUUGCAAAAAAACGAAACAUGGUGGGUUUUUUAUUUAAGGUCCACAAUUGUAGUGGUUUUUUGCAAUUUACUCCAUGAACAGCAACAAACUGUAUAGACAGCAAAAGUAGUGCAACUGACUCCUGUAUACAGAGCAAAUUCGUAUAGUUGCCUCCAGUUAAGAGGAAAUUAGCACAAAAGACUUGCAGGUUGCAUUCCUAUAGCUCAAACAUAUGGCAAAGGCAGCUGGGCAGAAUGAGUAACCGACCAUUAUAAGACCAAAUAAUAUAUUGUAGAUCACAGAAACAAAAGCACGUUUGCAACCCACAGUAAAAGCAUUAAUAAUGACUCCAACCCUCUAGAGGAAAUGUGAUAUUUCAUCCAAAACAUGUCUAGUUCUGAAUACAAAAAACGCAUGCAUAUUCAUCAUCCGCUUCCUAAUGUGAAACAAGUUUAUCCUUCCAACACAGGCUAUUAUCAUCAAGUAGCUCAUUCAACCUAGUUCAUCCUUCUAACGAGCUGGUUGAUGUAGUUCUCACGGUUGCCAGCAGCACCACCCUCAACAUAGUGGUUCCUCUUCUUCUUCAGGCCGCCGAGCGGUGCCUU